UGCAGCAAGGUUGGUGUAGAAGCCCUUUGUAAUUGAUCCCCCCUCGGGCAGAGUACCAGUGAAGGCCUUCAGAUAGGAUCGCGAAAGAACAGAGACUUGCGACAUCAAAAAAGUUGUUUUGUUUGGUACUUUUGGGGGUUUUCCAAUAUUUAGGAAUUUAUAGUGCUGGAAUUAUGUCCGACGGAGCCAAGGGGGCCCACAAGACAUCAGGGCGGGCCUACCCCCCAGGGCACGCCCUGUUGUCUUGUCGUCUCCUCAUUUCUCUUAUGGACUCCCUCUGAAGCUUUCAGGGUAUCUUUUGGUCGAGAAAAAAUCGUCAAAAAGUUUUGUCGCAUUUGGACUUCGUUUGGUAUGGAUUUUCUGUAAAACAAAAAACAAGCAGAAAACAACAACUCACCCUAGACAGUAGAUUAAUAGGUUACUUUCCAAGAAUGAUAUAAAAUUUCAUAUAGAGCAUAUAAGAUUAAUAAUAUAAUUGCAUAAAACAAUAAAAUUAUAGAUACAUUGAAGACGUAUCAGGGGUGGCGGCAUAAGGGGUGGAAGCACGUCCCUAAGGCAGCCAAAACCUAACCCUAGAUCGUACAAUGCUCAUGGGCCCAAGUGGAGGAGAUUGUUGACGCGUAUCCCCGAUGGGCCCUGUCACGCGCAACGGCUUUAACUUAUUUUAGUAAUGCCAAUUUUCCUAGCACUAAGCCAUUACAUUAAGCUACACUACACAAACCACACCAGGCACGCACACCAUUUCUCUGUUUAUUUCGGUAAUUCACAUUGCAAGAACAUAUACUACAUGAAACGAUGGAACUUAUUUCACAUUUUUCUAAUUUCCAGUAAUAUAGUAAGCUACAGUUGGCACAUGAACCAGACAAACCUAAUUUAACUAAUCUACUCUAAUUCAUAGCGAUUCCAGAAAUUUCUAAAUUGGAGGCCAUGAGAACCCUAAACCUAAAUCNNNNNNNNNNNNNNNNNNNNNNNNNNNNNNNNNNNNNNNNNNNNNNNNNNNNNNNNNNNNNNNNNNNNNNNNNNNNNNNNNNNNNNNNNNNNNNNNNNNNNNNNNNNNNNNNNNNNNNNNNNNNNNNNNNNNNNNNNNNNNNNNNNNNNNNNNNNNNNNNNNNNNNNNNNNNNNNNNNNNNNNNNNNNNNNNNNNNNNNNNNNNNNNNNNNNNNNNNNNNNNNNNNNNNNNNNNNNNNNNNNNNNNNNNNNNNNNNNNNNNNNNNNNNNNNNNNNNNNNNNNNNNNNNNNNNNNNNNNNNNNNNNNNNNNNNNNNNNNNNNNNNNNNNNNNNNNNNNNNNNNNNNNNNNNNNNNNNNNNNNNNNNNNNNNNNNNNNNNNNNNNNNNNNNNNNNNNNNNNNNNNNNNNNNNNNNNNNNNNNNNNNNNNNNNNNNNNNNNNNNNNNNNNNNNNNNNNNNNNNNNNNNNNNNNCCCAGUGAUGGCUGCUAGUCAGAGCUGCCACUAUUGCACGGCCAGGGCUGCCGCCGUCCUAUGCGCCAGUGACCCAUGUGAUGGUUGUUGGGGCCCUGUCGCUAAGCUCUGGUUACCCAUCCAGUUGUCCACCCCCACGAACUCAUUCCCCUCGCCGUCGGUCCCUCCACCGCCAUUGACUCGCCAUCACCACUAGCUUUGGCCGCUGCCAUCGCAUGAGAGAGAGAGAGAGAGAGAGAGAGAGAGAGAGAGAACUAACCUAGUGAAGACGACCCACCGACAACGUCAGUGAAAGGCCGUCAUCCUUUCUCAGUCUCCCCCAUCCAAUGCGGCAAGUUCCAGUCAGAAAUUUGAUUAAAUCGGUCAUAAGAGUUUAUUAGAAAAUUAGUAAGAAAACCAGCGGAUUUAUGUAGCACCCAAGAAAUGUGCUAGCUAGCAAAUCUGCAAUCGUAUAAACUAGAAACCGGGAAUGACCUAUUCUAGAAGAUAACCAUAGGAAUGACCUUUUAAGUUUUCACUUGAAACCGAGGCUUGUGUUCGGGAUUGAACUUAAAAGCCUACAAAAUGUCUUAUAUUUUGAGACGGUGUUAAUAGUCUUUUGCAAUUUACUUGGAUUUAUCAGCUCAAUGAUUAGAUCUUUUAGUAUCUUAAAGCAACUCCAACGGGCCGACCCAAACGGACGACGCAUUUGUCUGCUUUAUGUCUGUUUGGGUCGGCCGCCCGCCCAGCUUCCGCCCUGUUUUGCAUUUGGGUCGGCAGUGCGCCCAACGCGCCGACCCAUUUUCAUGUCCGCACUCAGUUUUUAAAACUUUUAAAAAAGACCCGCGACCAUAGAUCAUGCCGGCGGCCAUAGAUCAUGCCGGCGACCCAUAGCUCAAUGAUUAGAUCUUUUAGUAUCUUAAAGCAACUCCAACGGGCCGACCAAAACGGACGGCGCAUUUGUCUGCUUUAUGUCUGUUUGGGUCGGCCGCCCGUCCAGCUUCCGCCCUGUUUUGCAUUUGGGUCGGCAGUGCACCCAACGCGCCGACCCAUUUUCAUGUCCGCACUCAGUUUUUAAAACUUUUAAAAAAGACCCGCGGCCAUAGAUCAUGCCGGCGGCCAUGUCUCAUGCUGGAACCAUACCAGCGCUGGCAUACAUUGCCAGCUUCAAAAAAUAUCACCACAUAGUUCAUGCUGGCGCACUCGCCAGCGGACGGGCCACAUGCCAUCACACAAAAAGGGGUGGGACUUGAGUUCGACCAUGCCAUCACUGCCCUGUGGCCAUGCCAGCACAUAAGCCAGCAUACAAAAAAGGAAGGCGCUCGUGGCCACGAGAUCACUCGUCGGUGAAUUUGAGCAUGUCAGCCUGCAUCUUCUCGAACCACGGCCUCUUCCUUGGCGACACGAUGUUGAGAUCCACCUUCAUGAUCUCCACCCCGGUGAUCAUGCUCGCGAGAGCCACUUCUUUCGCCUUGUCUUGGUGUUGGCGGCCUCGAUCUCGAGAAUCUUGGCUUGCUUCUCCGCCUCCAGCUCAAGCAUCUUGGUUUGCUUCUCUGCGUCCAUCUCUAGCCUCCUCCUUUGGAUCGUCACGAAGGCGUUCAUUUGCUCUUCUUUGAAACGCCGGCGCUCCUCCUCUCUUGAGUCUUUCUUGUUCAUCAUGCCCUCCACGCUUGUGAUCAAGGCGUUCUAUGCCGCACCCCGCUUGUCCUCCUUCUUGGAGUUGGUCUUCCCCCGCGGCUGAGCCGGCUCACCGUCCCCAACCUCCUCCAAGGCUUUCUUCCCCCCGCGCGACUUGAGGGCGAUAUAUUGCACCUUGAACUACUCCUCGUCUUUGAUGACCCUAAUGAAGGAAAUAUGCCCUAGAGGCAAUAAUAAAGUUAUUAUUUAUUUCCUUAUUUCAUGAUAAAUGUUUAUUAUUCAUGCUAGAAUUGUAUUAACCGGAAACAUAAUACAUGUGUGAAUACAUAGACAAACAUAAUGUCACUAGUAUGCCUCUACUUGACUAUCUCAUUAAUCAAAGAUGGUUAAGUUUAGACAUGAGUUGUUAUUUGAUUAACGGGAUCACAUCAUUAGGAGAAUGAUGUGAUUGACUUGACCCAUUCUGUUAGCUUAGCACUUGAUCGUUUAGUAUGUUGCUACUGCUUUCUUCAUGACUUAUACAUGUUCCUAUGACUAUGAGAUUAUGCAACUCCCGUUUACCGGAGGAACACUUUGUGUGCUACCAAACGUCACAACGUAACUGGGUGAUUAUAAAGGAGCUCUACAGGUGUCUCCAAAGGUAUAUGUUGGGUUGGUGUAUUUCGAGAUUAGGAUUUGUCACUCCGAUUGUCGGAGAGGUAUCUCUGGGCCCACUCAAGUAAUGCACAUCACUAUAAGCCUUGCAAGCAUUGUAACUAAUGAGUUAGUUGCGGGAUGAUGUAUUAUGGAACGAGUAAAGAGACUUGCCGGUAACGAGAUUGAACUAGGUAUUGAGAUACCGACGAUCAAAUCUCGGGUAAGUAACAUACCGAUGACAAAGGGAACAACGUAUGUUGUUAUGCGAUUUGACCGAUAAAGAUCUUCGUAGAAUAUGUGGGAGCAAAUAUGGGCAUCCAGGUCCCGCUAUUGGUUAUUGACCGGAAACGUGUCUCGGUCAUGUCUACAUAGUUCUCGAACCCGUAGGGUCUGCACGCUUAACGUUUCGUUGACGAUAUAGUAUUAUAUGAGUUAUGUAUGUUGGUGACCGAAUGUUGUUCCGAGUCCCGGAUGAGAUCAUGGACAUGACGAGGAACUCCGGAAUGGUCCGGAGAUAAAGUUUGAUAUAUGGGAUAAUAGUGUUUGAUCUCCGGAAGGGUUCCAAAAUUCACCGGAAGGAGUUCCGGAUGUUUCCCGAAAUGUUUGGGUACGAGAACACGUUAUUUGGGCCAAAGGGGAAAGCCCACAAGGUUUUUGGAAAGCGCAAAAGGAAGUUUUGCGGAGUCCAGGGGCCAGACGCCAGGGUCCCUGGCGUCUGGGUCCAGACGCCGGGAACCCUGGCGUCUGGCCCUGGAGUCCGAGAAGGACUCUUGCCUUUCGGGUGAAACCGACUUUGUGGAGGCUUUUACUCCAAGUUUCGACCCCAAGGCUCAACAUAUAAAUAUAGGGGCAGGGCUAGCACCAAAGACACAUCAAGAAACACCAAGCCGUGUGCCGGCAACCCCGUCCCCUCUAGUUUAUCCUCCGUCAUAGUUUCCGUAGUGCUUAGGCGAAGCCCUGCGGAGAUUUUUCUUCACCAACACCGUCACCACGCCGUCAUGCUGCCGGAACUCAUCUACUACUUCGCCCGUCUUGCUGGAUUGCGAAGGCGAGGACGUCAUCGAACUGAACGUGUGUAGAACUCGGAGGUGCCGUGCGUUCGGUACUUGGAUCGGUCGGAUCGUGAAGACGUACGACUACAUCAACCGCGUUGAUAAACGCUUCCGCUUAGCGAUCUUCAAGGGUAUAUACACUCUCCUUCUCGUUGCUAUACAUCACCAUGAUCUUGCGUGUGCGUAGGAAUUUUUUUGAAAUUACUACGUUCUCCAACAGUGGCAUCCGAGCCUGGUUUUAUGCGUAGAUGUCAUAUGCACGAGUAGAACACAAGUGAGUUGUGGGCGAUACAAGUCAUACUACUUACCAGCAUGUCAUACUUUGGUUCAGCGGUAUUGUGAGAUGAAGCGGCCCGGACUGACAUUACACGUACGCUUAUGCGAGACUGGUUUCACCGUUACGAGCACUCGUGCUUAAAGGUGACUGGCGGGUGUCUGUCUCUCUCACUUUAGUUGAACCGAGUGUGGCUACGCCCGGUCCUUGCGAAGGUUAAAACAGCACUAACUUGACAAACUAUCGUUGUGGUUUUGAUGCGUAGGUAAGAACGGUUCUUGCUAAGCCCGUAGCAGCCACGUAAAAUUUGCAACAACAAAGUAGAAGACGUCUAACUUGUUUUUGCAGGGCAUGUUAUGAUGUGAUAUGGUCAAGACGUGAUGCUAUAUUUUAUUGUAUGAGAUGAUCAUGUUUUGUAACCGAAGUUAUCGGCAACUGGCAGGAGCCAUAUGGUUGUCGCUUUAUUGUAUGAAAUGCAAACGCCCUAUAAUUGCUUUACUUUAUCACUAAACGGUAGCGAUAGUCGUAGAAGCAAUAGAUGUCGUAAUGACAACGCUAUGAUGGAGAUCAAGGUGUCGCGCCGGUGACGAUGGUGAUCACGACGGUGCUUCGAAGAUGGAGAUCACAAUCACAAGAUGAUGAUGGCCAUAUCAUAUCACUUAUAUUGAUUGCAUGUGAUGUUUAUCCUUUAUGCAUCUUAUCUUGCUUUGAUUGACGGGUGAUGUUUAUCCUUUAUGAUGAUGGCCAUAUCAUAUCACUUAUAUUAAGAUGAUCUCUCACUAAAAUUAUCAAGAAGUGUUCUCCCUGAGUAUGCACUGUUGUGAAAGUUCUUCGUGCUGAGACACCACGUGAUGAUCGGGUGUGAUAGGCUCUACGUUCAAAUACAACGGGUGCAAAACAGUUGCACACGCGGAAUACUCAGGUUAAACUUGACGAGCCUAGCAUAUAACAGAUAUGGCCUCGGAACACGGAGACCGAAAGGUCGAGCGUGAAUCAUAUAGUAGAUAUGAUCAACAUAUUGAUGUUCACCGUUGAAACUACUCCAUCUCACGUGAUGAUCGGACAUGGUUUAGUUGAUAUGGAUCACGUGAUCACUUAGAGGAUUAGAGGGAUGUCGGGAGUUCUUAAGUAAUAUGAUUAAUUGAACUUAAAUUUGUCAUGAACUUAGUCCUGAUAGUAUUUUGCAAAUUAUGUUGUAGAUCAAUAGCUCGCGUUGUUGCUUUCAUAUGUUUAUUUUGAUAUGUUCCUAGAGAAAAUUGUGUUGAAAGAUGUUAGUAGCAAUGAUGCGGAUUGGAUCCGUGAUCUGAGGUUUAUCCUCAUUGCUGCACAGAAGAAUUAUGCCCUUAAUGCACCGCUAGGUGACAGACCUAUUGCAGGAGCAGAUGCAGACGUUGUGAACGUUUGGCUAGCUCAAUAUGAUGACUACUUGAUAGUUUAGUGCACCAUGCUUAACGGCUUAGAAUCGGGAAUUCAAAGACGUUUUGAACGUCACGGACCAUAUGAGAUGUUCCAGGAGUUGAAGUUAAUAUUUCAAGCAAAUACCCGAGUUGAGAGAUAUGAAGUCUCCAACAAGUUCUAUAGAUAAAAGAUGGAGGAGAAUAGCUCAAGCAGUGAGCAUGUGCUCAGAUUGUCUGGGUACUACAAUCGCUUGAAUCAAGUGGGAGUUAAUCUUCCAGAUAAGAUAGUGAUUGACAAAAUUCUCUAGUCACCAUCACCAAGUUAGUAGAGCUUCGUGAUGAACUAUAAUAUGCAAGGGAUAACGGAAACGAUUCCCAAGCUCUUCGCGAUGCUAAAAUCAGCAAAGGUAGAAAUCUAGAAAAACAUCAAGUGUUGAUGAUUAACAAGACCACUAGUUUCAAGAAAAGGGCAAAGGGAAGAAGAGGAACUUCAAGACUAACGGCAAGCAAGUUGCUGCUCAAGUGAAGAAACUCAAGUCUGGUCCUAAGCCUGAGACUAAGUGCUUCUACUGCAAAGGGACUAGUCACUGGAAGCGGAACUACCCAAGUAUUUGGCGGAUAAGAAAGGAUGGCAAAGUAAACAAAGGUAUAUUUGAUAUACAUGUUAUUGAUGUGUGCUUUACUAGUGUUCGUAGCAACCCCUCAGUAUUUGGUACUAGUUCAGUUGCUAAGAUUAGUAACUUGAAUCGGGAGUUCCAGAAUGAACAGAGACUAGUUAAGGGUGAAGUGAUGAUGUGUGUUGGAAGUGGUUCCAAGAUUGAUAUGACCAUCAUCGCACACUCCAUAUACUUUCGGGAUUAAUGUUGAACCUAAAUAAGUGUUAUUUGGUGUUUGCGUUGAGCAUGAAUAUGAUUUGAUCAUGUUUAUUGCAAUACGGUUAUUCAUUUAAGUUAGAGAAUAAUUGUUGUUCUGUUUACAUGAAUAAAACCUUCUAUGGUCAUACACCCAAUGAAAAUGGUUUGUUGGAUCUCGAUCGUAGUAAUACACAUAUUCAUAAUAUUGAAGCCAAAAGAUGCAAAGUUAAUAAUGAUAGUGCAACACAUUUGUGGCACUGCCGUUUAGGUCAUAUUGGUGUAAAACGCAUGAAGAAACUCCAUGCUGAUGGGAUUUUGGAAUCACUUGAUUAUGAAUCACUUGAUACUUGCGAACCAUGCCUUAUGGGCAAGAUGACUAAAGACUACGUUCUCCGGAACAAUGGAGCGAGCAACUGACUUAUUGGAAAUAAUACAUACUGAUGUAUGCGAUCUGAUGAGCGUUGAAGCUCGCGACAAGUAUCAUUAUUUUCUGACCUUCACAGAUGAUUUAAGCAGAUAUCGGUAUAUCUACUUGACGAAACAUAAGUUUGAAAUGUUUGAAAAGUUCAAAGAAUUUCAGAGUGAAGUGGAGAAUCAUCGUAACAAGAAAAUAAAAAGUUUCUACGAUAUGAUCGCAGAGGUAAAAUAUUUGAGUUACGAGUUUGGCCUUCAGGUAAAACAAUGUGAAAUAGUUUCACUACUCACGCCACCUGGAACACCACAAUGUAAUGGUGUGUACGAACGUCGUAACCGUACUUUAUUAGAUAUGGUGCAAUCUAUGAUGUUUCUUACCGAUCUACCACUAUCGUUUUGGGGUUAUGCAUUAGAGACAACUACUUUCACGUUAAAAAGGGCACCAUCUAAAUCCGUUGAGACGACAGCGUUUGAAUUAUGGUUUAGCAAGAAACCAAAGUUGUCGUUUCUUAAAGUUUGGGUUGCGACGCUUAUGUGAAAAAAUUAACAUGAUAAGAUUGAACCCAAAUCGAAGAAGUGCGUCUUCAUAGGAUACCCAAAAUGUUGGGUACACCUUCUAUCACAGAUCCAAAGGCAAGACAUUCGUUACCAAGAAUGGAUCCUUUCUAGAGAAGGAGUUUCUCUCGAAAGAAGUAAGUGGGAGGAAAGUAGAACUUGAUAAGGUAACUGUACCUGCUCCCUUAUUGGAAAGUAGUUCAUCACAGAAAUCUGUUCCUGUGACUACUACACCAAUUAGUGAGGAAGAUAAUGAUGAUGAUCAUAGAACUUCAGAUCAAGUUGUUACUGACUCAUAGAUCAACCAGAGUAAGAUCCGCACCAGAGUGGUACGGUAAUCCUGUUCUGGAAGUCAUGCUACUAGAUCAUGAUGAACCUACGAACUAUAUGGAAGCAAUGAUGAGCCCAGAUUCCGUGAAAUGGCUUGAGGCCAUAAAAUCUGAGAUAUGAUCCAUAUAUGAGAACAAAGUAUGGACUUUGAUUGACUUGCUCGAUGAUCAGCAAGCCAUGUUAAAUAAAUGGAUCUUCAAGAGAAAGACGGACACUGAUAGUAGUGUUACUAUCUACUAAGCUCGACUUGUUGCGAAAGUUUUUCGACAAGUUCAAGGUGUUGAAUACAAUGAGAUUUUCUCACUCGUAUCGAUGCAUAAGUCUGUCCGAAUCAUGUUAGCAAUUGCCACAUUUUAUGAAAUCUGGCAAAUGGAUGUCAAAACUGCAUUCCUCAAUGGAUUCUUUAAAGAAGAGUUGUAUAUGAUGCAACCAGAAGGUUUUGUCAAUCCUAAAGGUGCUAACAAAAUGUGCAAGCUCCAGCGAUCUAUCAAUGGACUGGUGCAAGCAUCUCGGAGUUGGAAUAUACGCUUUGAUGAGUUGAUCAAAGUAUUAUUGUUUUAUACAGACUUUUGGAAAGGCCUAUAUUUACAAGAAAGUGAGUGGGAGCUCUGUAGCAUUUCUGAUAUUAUAUGUGCAAGACAUAUUGUUGAUUGGAAAUGAUAUAGAAUUUCUGGAUAGCAUAAAAGGAUACUUGAAUAAAAGUUUUUCAAUGAAAGACCCCGGUGAAGCUACUUACACAUUGAGCAUCAAGAUCUAUAAGAUAGAUCAAGACGCUUGAUAAGAUUUUUCAAUAAGUACAUACCUUGAUAAGAUUUUGAAGUAGUUCAAAAUAGAACAGUCAAAGAAGGAGUUCUUGUCUAUGUUGCAAGGUGUGAAGUUGAGUAAGACUCAAAACCCGACCAUAGCAGAAAAUAGAAAAAGAGAAUGAUAAGUCAUUCCCUAUGCCUCAGUCAUAGGUUCUAUAAAGUAUGCUAUGUUGUAUACCAGACCUAUUGUAUACCUUGCUCUGAGUUUGGCAAAGGAAUAUAAUUUUGAUCUAAUAGUAGAUCACUGGACAGCGGUCAAGAAUAUCCCUAGUAAGGACUAAGGAGAUGUUUCUCGAUUAUGGAGGUGAUAAAAGAGUUCGUCGUAAAAGUUACAUCGAUACAAACUUUUACACUGAUCCAGAUGACUCUAAGUCUCAAUCUGGAUACAUAUUAAAAGUGGGAGCAAUUAGCUAGAGUAGCUCCAUGCGGAGCAUUGAAGACAUAGAAUAUUUGCAAAAUACAUACGGCUCUGAAUAUGACAGACCCGUUGACUAAACUUCUCUCACGAGCAAAACAUGAUCAUACCUUAGUACUCUUUGGGUGUUAAUCACAUAGCAAUGUGAACUAGAUUAUUGACUCUAGUAAACCCUUUGGGUGUUGAUCACAUGACAAUGUGAACUAUGGGUAUUAAUCACAUACAGAUGUGAAUAUUGGUGUUAAAUCACAUAAUGAUGUGAACUAGAUUAUUGACUCUAGUGCAAGUGGGAGACUGAAGGAAAUAUGCCUUAGAGGCAAUAAUAAAGUUAUUAUUUAUUUCCUUAUUUCAUGAUAAAUGUUUAUUAUUCAUGCUAGAAUUGUAUUAACCGGAAACAUAAUACAUGUGUGAAUACAUAGACAAACAUAAUGUCACUAGUAUGCCUCUACUUGACUAGCUCAUUAUUCCAAAGAUGGUUAAGUUUAGACAUGAGUUGUUAUUUGAUUAACGGGAUCACAUCAUUAGGAGAAUGAUGUGAUUGACUUGACCCAUUCUGUUAGCUUAGCACUUGAUCGUUUAGUAUGUUGCUACUGCUUUCUUCAUGACUUAUACAUGUUCCUAUGACUAUGAGAUUAUGCAACUCCUGUUUACCGGAGGAACACCUUGUGUGCUACCAAACGUCACAACGUAACUGGGUGAUUAUAAAGGAGCUCUACAGGUGUCUCCGAAGGUACAUGUUGGGUUGGCGUAUUUCGAGAUUAGGAUUUGUUACUCCGAUUGUCGGAGAGGUAUCUCUGGGCCCACUCAAGUAAUGCACAUCACUAUAAGCCUUGCAAGCAUUGUAACUAAUGAGUUAGUUGCGGGAUGAUGUAUUAUGGAACGAGUAAAGAGACUUGCCGGCAACGAGAUUGAACUAGGUAUUGAGAUACUGAUGAUCGAAUCUCGGGCAAGUAACAUACCGAUGACAAAGGGAACAACGUAUGUUGUUAUGCGGUUUGACCGAUAAAGAUCUUCAUAGAAUAUGUGGGAGCCAAUAUGGGCAUCCAGGUCCCGCUAUUGGUUAUUGACCGGAAACAUGUCUCGGUCAUGUCUACAUAGUUCUCGAACCCGUAGGGUCCGCACGCUUAAUGUUUCGUUGACGAUAUAGUAUUAUAUGAGUUAUGUAUGUUGGUGACCGAAUGUUGUUCGGAGUCCCGGAUGAGAUCAUGGACAUGACGAGGAACUCCGGAAUGGUCCGGAGAUAAAGUUUGAUAUAUGGGAUAAUAGUGUUUGAUCUCCGGAAGGGUUCCGGAAUUCACCGGAAGGAGUUCCGGAUGUUUCCCGAAAUGUUUGGGUACGAGAACACGUUAUUUGGGCCAAAGGGGAAAGCCCACAAGGUUUUUGGAAAGCGCAAAAGGAAGUAUUGCGGAGUCCAGGGGCCAGACGCCAGGGUCCCUGGCGUCUGUGUCCAGACGCCGGGAACCCUGGUGUCUGGCCCUGGAGUCCAAGAAGGACUCUUGCCUUUCGGGUGAAACCGACUUUGUGGAGGCUUUUACUCCAAGUUUCGACCCCAAGGCUCAACAUAUAAAUAGAGGGGCAGGGCUAGCACCAAAGACACAUCAAGAAACACCAAGUCGUGUGCCGGCAACCCCGUCACCUCUAGUUUAUCCUCCGUCAUAGUUUCCGUAGUGCUUAGGAGAAGCCCUGCGGAGAUUGUUCUUCACCAACACCUUCACCACGCCGUCGUGCUGCCGGAACUCAUCUACUACUUCGCCCGUCUUGCUGGAUCAAGAAGGCAAGGACGUCAUCGAGAUGAACGUGUGCAGAACUCGGAGGUGCCGUGCGUUAGGUACUUGGAUCGGUCGGAUCGUGAAGACGUACGACUACAUCAACCACGUUGAUAAACGCUUCCGCUUAGCGAUCUUCAAGGGUAUGAAGAUACACUCCCCUUCUCGUUGCUAUACAUCACCAUGAUCUUGCGUGUGCGUAGGAAAUUUUUUGAAAUUACUACGUUCUCCAACACCUAAAACAAUGGGAGAGGUUGAAGCACUUGCUGUUGUGUUGGACCUUGAAUGCCUCCAAAGCUUGAAAUGCCUACAAAUGUUUUCAUGCAAGCAUAUUGGCAAAAAUGGUAUGCAAAUGAACACGCAAGCAUGAACUUUAUGACACAAACGAGGGCGGCUUGCUACCAUACCAUGUCUUGCAUGCCGAUGCCGCUCACGGGGCGGGCCUUGACGCUCUCAAGAGUGGCCCAAAACUUGUUGCACUCUUACUGGAUCACUCUCCAUCGCUUUGAAAUGGACACCCACCCGCGCGUGCUCACAAUUUGGUAGGGAGGAAACUUCUUGCGCUCAUGAAACUCCCGGUGGACACGAAUCCAAAAAGUUGAAUGCUUUUGUUCGACGCCUAUCUUGGGGUCUUGUCCAAUGUCUCUCCAACACUCGCAAAUAAGCUUUUCCUCGGCUGCCGUGUAUGCCUUCGUGCGCUUGCUCUUGCGCUUUGGCUUCGGUCCGGCGGCUUGGUUGGCGAGCUCGUCCUCAAACAAAGGCUCCACUUCGAUGUCGCACUCGUCCUCUUCCUCUUGCCCGUAGUCGUCCGGAAACUCGUGGUCAAGUGGGAAGCUGUCCAGGUCCAUCCCGACCUGAUCACGCAUGAAGGCCGACUGAUCCGGGAUCAUAGCCAGCGCCCGGCAUGAACACCCCGCGGCCGUCUUGGCUUUGUGUCUCGUCGGGAUCAUAGCCAGCGGCGGGCGCACUGCCCUCAAAGAUGAGGUUCUGCAUGUAGUCCUCAUCGCCGGCUGCCGACAUUCCGUCGAACAGGUUGCGGGCGUCCGGUAGCACGUUGGCCGACAUCUCCUGCGCGCGUUUCCUCGCUCCUCCAGAUGACGAGCCACUGGCUAUCAGUGUGGCGUUGAGGUCGAUGGGCGCGGGCGUGGGCGUGGAAGGCGCCACCACGCUCACGUCGGGCGAGCACUCCCCGGAGAGGCGGGAGGGCUGCGGGUACACGUGGAAGCCGGGCAUCGGGGUGCAAGCCGACGCGCGGGGCGAGCCGGGUAGAACCAUCUAAGGGAACGCGGACGAGCCGGUGCUGGCUGCGGCGGCCAUGACGGUGUUGACGAGGCGGUGCUGGCUAGGGUUUAACCCUAGCAUUUAGAGCGCCUCCCUCGUUGCUGCCGCGACGCGGGCAUUGGUGACCUCCUGCUGCGCGGUGGCGGCGACGGCGGCAACUGUGACGGCUUCAUCCCUCGCGUCCGCGGCGUGCCUCCGCCUUCCUCUUGGCCGACUCCGCCGACCGCUAUUCGGACAUCAGCGCCUUCUUUGGCUUGGUCGCGGCGGCGGUCUUGCGCGGGGCACGAGGCUUGCCUUUGCCGGAGGGGACGGUCUUCAUGUCGGACGAGGCGAGGAAGACGAGGCGAGCGGCGGCGUCGAGGUCGAGGUCGUCGUCCAUGCGGGUGUGGGACGGGAGCGCGCGCGGGCGGGAGGGUUUUGGGUGAAAUGGGGAAAAUGAUGGUGGCUGCCACCGACCGGCGGGCCCGGGGAGAGGAGUAGGCACGCGCGUCCGUCUCCUGUCCGCGCCGAUGCAAAUCCGGCUCAAAAAUGGGCGAGAAAUGGGUCGCCCGCGGACGAAAAGCGGACACGCGUCCGUUUGGGUCGGCGCGUUGGACCGCCGUUUGUGUCCGCGGCGAUCCAAACAGACGGCGGUGGACGAAAUGGGUUGCCCCGUUGGAGUUGCUCUUAAAGUUUUUUUUUCCUCGCGGUGAGAUCUCUUGUCUCUAUCUCUACUACCUAAAAGAAACGGAACGUUCCGUUUCCCCUCUUACGUCGCAGGCUUCGUCCGACCUCCUUCGAUCGCCCCUCCCCCCGUGCCCCUACGUUUUUUUUUCGCCCCUUCCAUCUCUGGUUUUCGUUUUACCGGUUUUCUACAAAACCAGCCUUAAAUUAGGCUCUAAUUUGUCUCCCCAAUUGCCUUAGGUUGGGCGGGCCAUACUAGGGUUUCCCGUCGACGCCGUCGUCUAGCCUAGCUAACUCCUGCCGCGUAGAUCUUGAGCCACCCUGCCCUGAAAGCGCAGAGGCGAUGUGGAGGGUUCCAGGACGGCAACAUCUUCCCUGCAGCUGGACCUUCGAUUGUGCGCUCCAAUUCUCUGCCGGAUGUUAGCGCAGCCUCGACCUUCACGACGCUGUCCGCCGCCAAGUUCUUCCGGCGGGUACGCGCACGUACAAUGCUUAGGCCAAACCAAGCUACUGGAUCGAUCUUUGGCUUUCACGUAGGAAAGCUAGCUAGCUAAACCAGCCAUCGGAUACGUCGGACAGCCCAGGAAACUCAGGUACACGAGAUCGUAUUCUUCCCACCACCCCUCUGCCGCCAUGAUCUUGAUCGUCGCGAUGCAGUCUCAGCUCACACAUGUCGAUGUAGAACUUGGCUCAGAUGGCAUGCUACACUUGGCCUCCUGUUCGGCCUUGACUCUUACUCACGCCAUUGACCUCCUCAUUGCCUAGAUGAACAUAUACAUACCUUCAGUUUGUGUCAUCAAAUUGUUGCGUAGUAGAUCCGAGGAUAUGCCCAGAGCAGGCACUAGAAGGAUACAAACGAUUCGAAUGCCCACUGCAGCCUUUAGGAAAAUUCAAAGUAUUCCCACUUUCCAUUUUCUGUUGGUAUUUUUAAUGUGCCGACUGCAAGAACUUUUUCUUCUUCAAACAUGCCCAUUUGUUUGUGUGUUUCUUGAUUGAUUCAUGGUUAAUAUUAUUUUGAUCGUGUUUCCAUGGUUAGUAUUGUUUGUUGCAUAGAAAGUAAUGAGUUAUGAUUUUGUUCCAUGCAAGAGCAAGGAGGCAAAAGCAAUCCCCAAAAGCAAGCAGAGUCUGAACAUUUGGUUCCUGACCAGCUGAACUUCUUUGUGAUAUCCUACGUUGUACAGGAUUGCUUCUCCUAUGUUGAGCCAAAGCGAAAUGCCAUGUGGUCAAUGUCGACGAUUCCUUCAUAUAGUUCAAGUAAGUAGCAACUUGCUAGAUAGAAUAACUUCUACAUGGGUGCGCAAGUUGUGCGAAAGCAUUUAACACCAACCAUUUGGAAUUUCAGAUACACACUCUUUAAGAUCACAACUGUUGAAACUUAUGAAAUUAAACGAGAUGGUCACAGAUUCAGUUUGUCACAUGAACGUGAGAGUAAAAUAAUACUCCCUCUGUAAGUGAUCUAAAACGUCAUAUAUUAGUUUAUAGAGGUAGUAAUUGCUAUGUAUUACCAUCGUAUUUUCGAGUACAAUUCUCUGCCCUGGAUGUUUAAUUUAAUAUAGGCAGUGCAUUUUCUGUUCUCGAGUGUACUACACCUUACAAAAAAACAAAAAACAAUAUCAAAUGUGAUCCAAAAACUCUGAAAUUUUGUGAUAUGAAACAUGAUAAAAUGUUUUAGGUUAUUGCAGAAUUUCAUCCACGAAAAACAUUUGAGGAGCUCUCGAAUAAAACACAAAAUCAUGCACUCAAAAAUGAAGAAAACAUUAACGAGUGAUUUUUUGUGAGAGCACCUCCAAUGCUAUUUGUGGCUGAAAUUUUGCAAGUAUCUAAAAGAUUUGAUCAUGUUUGAUGUCACAAAAAAAUGGAUUUUUGGAUAACGUUUGAUAUGUGUUUUGUCGGUUUUUUGAAAGCUCAGGUGUAUUACACAUGAGUGUAGCCACACCUUUCCGUUUAGUAUAACUCUCAAUAGCUUCAGAGAACAUCUUCUCUUUUUUGUCUGCUCAUAGUGACUUUCAUUGAGAAUUAGUACCUCCCAGAUUACUCAUAAUUUGGGACAGAGGAAAUAGAAUUAAUUAUAAACACAGUUAUUAGCUCAAAAUUAGUAUUUGUAAAUGUCGCAUGGUGGGCAUGAAGAUUUUAAAGGUAAAUGUUAGACAUAAUUGAUGUUGAACCAUUCGAACAUAUAUAUGUAUGCCCCGGUGCAACGCACGGGCAAUUACCUAGUUAUCUUAAAGUUCACUUAAUCCACAUGCGGAACAUGCCUGGCUGACGUCGUUUCACCACCGAAUUUAAAGUGGUUAUAAAAAUUGAUUCACCUUUUGGCUCUUGUCAUGUGCGAUCCCUUAGAAUAAUGUUCUCAGAGCAUCCUUUUGGGUCAAGAGAUUUACCGAUCACGUGUUGCCGCCCGCAGUGAACAGAAAAAUUGAACGUAUUUUAAAUGGUCCAAGAGAUCAAAACAAAAGUAGCCAUGCUAAUUGAGUGAGCGUUUCAUAUACUUUUAAAAUUUUCAUGAACAAGCUCUUAAAACGCAAUUUCUUAUGCAUAAAUAAACAUCUAUCAAAUUCGCAAAAGUAAUAUUUUGUUCCUCUAUGAUUUACAAGUGUUUAAAGGACCGGGACAUGUACAUGUGUUCUUCCGCAUAAAUACACACACAUGAGUAUCAACCCUUGUCAUGUGCAUUAGCAUAAUCCCCUUGUCCGGCCUUAGUGAGACUUGUUGUCGCACGGGAAAGUAGAAAUCAACCACCCACUGCAUGUGCCUCAGUCAUGAUCCACCCACGGGAAAGUAGAAUUGUAAGGUUGAUGCAAAACAAUCACGUAGAAUUUGAAUUUCAUCUAGUACUGUAGUACAGUAACAUGGAGCAUAUGGCGAGAGUUGGCAUCCACUGAUUGAUGGGUCACCGGAGCAAGGCGUUGAUUGGACUAACAAUCAGAUGAUCCCAGCACAUUCCCGUCAUUAAGAAAGGUUAUCCAUAUUUAUUGAAAGCAACAGAAAGAAACACAUCAUGCAAUUCCUCAUGAAAAGAACGUAAAGCAACCGGAUGCAUUUCUUUGUGGAAGGAGAACAAAUCAUGCACGGCCACGGCGAGGAAGCGCGUUGCGCACAUGGAAUAGUUCUCUUGAUUCAUGGGUAGGCUUAGUGGCUGGCGAAUCCCUUGACAGAGGAUUAUGUCUCCUCGGUAGGAGGCUACAUGAUACACUCGCUGUUUUUUUUUUCUUCUUCUUGUUUGGGCGGACCUGCAUUUUUCCCCAUGUACCUUUAUUUUUAGCUAAUUUCUCACGGGCACCAAUAAAUCUAUACUUGCAACCGAAACUAGGUGAUAUCCUACACCUUGUGGCAGAAAUUGAUUGACGAUACUUUCAUGAUAUUUGACUAUUUUGCACAUUAAUAUUUAGAUGGUUAAUAUGAGUACUAAAACUACAAACAUAUCUACUGUAUUGCAUUUAUUUAUUGAGGUGGGCCUUUUCCCAUGCACAUUUGCAUUAUGAGGUGGGUGUUUUUCAUGCAUGUUUACAUGAUGAGGUGGCAUUUGUGAAUAUUGAGAGAAAUAUGUUAAGGGGGGCUAGCUAUUUAGAUGUAGAAGAUUACAUUUUGUUUCUAUCUGCAAAAAAAAGAUUACAUUUUUUGGAUUUAAACAGUCCAAACUAUUCAUACAAUUGUGUUGUUCUCUUUAGGAAAUACUAUUGAGCAUGGGCAGCCUGGCUUACGACGGUGCCACAGGAGCGGAAGGAUUAUCACACAAUCUGCUUGCCAGUAUGUUUAGGAGGUUUGGAAGCAUAGAAAUGCCAUUGUCAUUGACAAUGCAGUUAGAGUGUUGUUGAGAAGAGUUUAUGAGGAGGGAUGCGUGUGGCAAUCAGCUGGGUUGUUUAAGGGUGAUGUGUCACCCUUCUUGCAGAGGUUGUUUAGGUGGGCAUACCGGGAUUGGUCGUGUUAAUCUGGCUAUAAUGCCACACCCUUGUAAAACGUGGGCAGUGGAUGGGUUUCUUUGCCCACGUGUCCUAUGAAUAUAUGAUGCACGUGCCUAUGUGUAUUCUAAAAAGACAAAUCAUAAGUAUCUGAGGGGGCAAAUUACUGAACUGUACAUUGCUCUGCCUCCAUGCAAGCACAAGAUCUCGCCUACUAAUUACAAAUUAGGCCAGGCCAACCCGUGGACUGGGGCGACGCGGGCGACGCCCGUGGCGUCCACCGCGUGCCUGCCGCCGGUGUCCAUCUCCGGUGAGGGGCGCGUAGGGGGAAGGUUUUGGGCACUCACGGAGUCUGAAGCGGAGGACGAAGACGACGGGGACUGCUCCAGAAGCUCGCCGGAACUCUACUCACCGACGCCGUCGUCGGUCAUCUGCGAAGCUUUCGAUCCAGGAUAUUCGGAAGACGAAGUGGCUGCGAUUGUCGAUGGCAUUGUGCCAAUUGAUGAUCCAGCGCGGCAAGGGUUGGGACCAGAGGACUAGAUCGAGAUCGUCCGACGCAUUGUUCAUAGACGGACGGCGGCAACGGCGGUCCGGCCAUGGAAGGGGCCGAUUCCAAAGGUAAUUCUACCAAAACCUACCUUGUCCGAUUUCUUCACAGAAGGUUCGUGGAAAGUAGUGAAGAGGAAGAAGUCUCGGCGAUCGUCGGCGGCGCAGGCGCCGCCGCCGGCGAUCGACAGAGCAGCCGUGAUCCAGGCCAAUCGGAUCUCGCGUUUGAAUUCGCUGCUUAGCGCUAAUGGGCUUCGUGAGGGCCCGUCCGCUAACAGACCUUUGGGCCAAGGGAAUGAGCUUUGGGAUGGGCCGGGAUUAGCUGGGUUUCGGACCCAGGCAAAACCGGUGGCCAUCGGAGUGCACGGGAUCGCAUCGGAUCGGGAGCUAUCUCAUGCACGUGCAUCGCCUCGCUGCCGAUACGUUGUUUCUAGGGUUCGCCGCCGUGGUAACGUCGGCUUUCCUGCUGCCUUGGUUCGACGUGUGCGGCGGGGGAAUCAGUUCUGUUGUGGCGGUCCGGUGGUAGCCGGCGAGGAAGACAUGCCGCCCAAGGCCCCGCCGCCGGCCAAAGGACCUCCUCCGGCGAAGCCGCCUGCGAGGGCCGAGCAAGGGGGUCCAGCAGCGGUUGUGCCGCCCUUGACUGCGGCUACGGCGCCAGCGCCGGCUACGACGGCCCCAGCCAGGGCUGCAGGGACUGCGCCGGUUGCGACGGCCACCGCCAGGGCUGCGGCGCCGCCACCGCAUGGGGCCGCGCCACCUCCGAUGCAGCGGCCGUGGCCUCGUCAAAUGGCGGCCGGGCGGGGAGGAGCUGCCACCGGUGCCGCCGGCGCGGGACGGGUGCGUUUGCGGGGGACAGCCGCAACCCUCCACGUGGUCAGUGGGGCGAUGAUGGAUACGAUGCUUAUGGACAGGGUCUUCAUCGGGGUUCUCGUCUACCGGUGGUGGGCGAGGUUAUGCUUGGACAGAUCAUGGUACUGCUGGCCAUGGUUUUCAAGGGCGGCCGGGGAACUUUGUUGAGGGCGCGGUUGGCCCGACCCGCUUCCGGGGCCGCUUCCGUGGUGGUCGUGGUGGCUAUCAGCGUCCUCCGCGUAACCUGCCUGGUGCCACGGGUUCAUAUGAUACUGAGAUGUCCACUGAUGUUGCUGGUCUAAAUCAGGCGGUGGUGGAGACGGCUAAGGCUCUCGCCGAUGUGUCUGUACCGAUGAUCGUGCAACCGGAUGAAACUGAGUCUGAUAAAGGUUCGGAGAAGGCCGGAGGUGACAAGCUGUCCAAGUGGGCGGCUAAGAAGAAAAAACUUGUCUGUUUCCGGUGCGGGGAGACGGGUCACUUCAUGGUUGAUUGCUCUGCUGAGUUAUGUGAUAUUUGUCGGAAACCUAAGCAUGUGGCGGCUGAGUGUCCGCUUCUUCUCGGCCCCAAACCGACACUUAAUAUCUAUGGGCUAUGUUGCUCGGAGUUGAUGUUCUUCGAGUCACCAUACGUGGCUCCGGUGGCCCCUGUCAUUGAAACCUCCUUCCUGGGGUGGUUAAGGUGGUCACUGGACCGCUCAUUGAAGCACAUAUUAUUCAGCAGUUAAGGGAGUUGGCUUCGGGGAAUUUCAAAUGGUCUUUAUUGAAACUUUCAGAUAAGUCUUACAAAGUGGAUUUCCCCUCUAAAGAGGAUCAGAAGAGCAUUCUAAAGUUUGGUAUGAGUCGGGUUACAGGAACUAGCUUCGUGUUGCAGUUUGAUGAGUGGAAAAAGAAGGAGCCACAGGGCACCCCUCUGACCCAGAUCUGGGUUCGUUUUUCGGGGGCACCCUCAGAGCCCUUGGAUGAUUUCUUUGUCACAUGGAGCUUGGGGUCCUUGCUCGAUAAGACGGAGCAGGUGGAUAUGCCCUUCACUCGUGCUCACGGUGUGGCUCGCUUGCUGGUUAGUGUGGCUAACAUUCAGUUCUUGCCGGACGUGGUCAGAUGGUGUCAUGAGGGUAUUGCUUACAUGUUGAAUGUCGAGUAUGAGGACCCGGACUUGUUUUAGGAUUUUGAGGAGGUGCUUCCUAUGGAUACUUCUGAGGGGGGAGGCGCUUCUGGAAACCAUGGAGAUGAUGCACCUAGUGAUGGUGACAGGGGUUCCAGGCCUGUGGAUUCGUCUAAGCCAGCAGAGUCGGCUCAGGGGAAAAUGCCGGUUUCAGCACCGUCCAACAUGCUUCAACUUGGUUCUGUAGGCGCCCCCUCAUCUUUGGAGUGAUCGUGUGGAUCUGGACGACCCGUCUGAGCAUGUGCCUCCGGUGAUUUCGGAGGUCGUGUGCGUUGAUGGUCCGGAAGGAUUAGCUGCACAGGAGGUUCACGCUUAUCCUCCUUCAUCGCCGGUGCCUCGGCAGGUGGUGAUGACUUAGCAGGAAGACUCGGCGGAGUUGGCUGGGAGUGCGGUCAGGCCCUCUCCUACCUUGCCAGCGCCUUGUUCGAUGGAGCUCAAGGCCCGCACAACUCCCUCUACCUCCGAGGCGGGUGGUGCCAUGCUGGGAGGGUCGGCCGCGGGGGGUGCUUCACCGACUAUUACUGCUACUGUGGCUCGGGCGGCGUCAUCUCUUUAUGUCGCCGGUGUGGCUGAGCAGGUGGUGGUCGGCUCGCCGGCCCCCGUUCUAGGUGGGCUGGGUGGCGCGACAGCUGCUACUGCCUCCUCACCGGUGAGCGUCGUGUGGGCGGUUCCGGAGCCAGCUGAUGGCGGGUCGCCCGUGGACGGGCUGCCGGUGUCGCCGCAUCGCUCUUCUCCUACUCUGGUGCCCGCGACCCGAGACGCCGGUGUGGGGGGAUGGGUGGGCGGCCCUUCCCCUUGCAGGGCUUCUCGCGAGGAGGUCAUCGCCUUUGGGGGUAUCCCGGACUUUGCUACCCAGGGGGGGCGGAUCAGCGGGAGGCUGCAGGAGCAGCCGGACGUCGAUGAUAUACAACUGAGGUGUGCAUUGAGGGCUGCCAAGUUGCAUAACUUCGAGACCUCCACCGGUAUGUCUGUUAUUAAGUCAAAUUCCAUUUUGCAUUUCUCUGAUAAUGAAAUCAUACAUAAUGCAAAUCAAUUAGGAAUUUCACUUGGUAAUAAUGAUCAUCAAAUUGCCAAAUCGGUUAAUGACAUUCUUGAUUUGGAAGCUGAGCGUGCGGUAGAUAUGAUUCGUCACAUUGCCGCAGUUAAACCUAUAAAUGAUUCGGAGAUUGAUGCGCUUGGGGUGAGGGUUCUUGAUGACAUGUGUGCCGAUCUUGACCCUGCAUGUCUAGAGACAGAGGAUGAUACCAAUCCUCAGACGUCUCUUCAUGUAGAUGAGCCUUUAGUGCUUGAUGCGGAGAAUGAGGGUGGUGACAUGGUUAAUGGUCAAACAAAGCCUAAGCGGACAUGGAAGCGAAAGGUCUAUCCAGUCUCCGCAGUGCGUAGGAGUGCUAGGAUCCGUACUGUCAAAAACUUUCAUGAUGACUUAUGAAAGGCAUUUUCUGGAAUAGCAGAGGUCUUAGAGACUUGGCUAAAAGGAGGUUUCUAGCGGAUGCUUCACUCGAACAUCAUUUAGAUUUUAUUGCUUUGUCUGAGACUGGAAGAAGCAAUUUCACAUCUCAAUUUCUUGCCACUUUGUCUGGGGGGUAGACUUUGAUUGGCAUUGCCUCCCACCUCGAGGAAGAUCCGGCGGGGUCUUACUUGGGGUUAAGUGUGAUACGUUGGAAGUCCGGAGUGUAGUCAUGGGCGAGUUUGCUGUUAAGUUUCGAGUUAGAACUAAGGCAGAUGGGUUUGAUUGGGCCUUGGUGGCAGUUUACGGAGCUGCUCAACCAGAACUCAAGCCAGAUUUUUUGGCGGAUCUGGUGCGCAUCUGUGGUAAUGAACAGCUACCUCUCUUAGUGGGCGGGGAUUUCAACAUAAUCCGAAGGCAAGAGGACAAGAAUAAUGCCAAUUUUGACGGUAGAUGGCCGUUUAUGUUCAAUACUAUCAUCGAAAGUUUGGAUCUCAGAGAGAUCCAGCUUUCGGGUAGGAAAUUCACUUGGGCUAAUUCGUUACCGGUUCCCACUUUUGAGAAACUGGACCGCGUGCUAGCUAGUGUCGAGUGGGAACAGAAGUUUCCCUUGGUAAUGGUGCACGCUUUGACCCAAGGUGUCUCGGAUCAUACACCGUUACUAGUCGACUCCGGAGUUCGAAAUUUCGUGGGUAACAAGAACAUUUUCUCGUUUGAACUUGCAUGGUUUGAAAGAGAAGGGUUCCUCGAGAUGUUAGCUAGAGAGUGGGCUAAGGACUCGGGAGGGAGGUCACCUAUCGACAGGUGGCAAUCCAAGAUUCGUCAUCUCCGACGGUUCCUUCGUGGCUGGGCUAAACACACGCAUGGGAUUUAUAAGGUGGAGAAGGAGCGACUCCUUCUGAUUAUUCAAAACCUCGAAGCUAAAGCAGAAACUUCUAUCUUGGAUUCCAAUGAGUUGGAAACAAAGAUAGAUGCAGAGAUGCAGCUUAAAAAGCUUCUCCGUGAGGAGGAAUUGAAGUGGGCAUUGCGAGCCAAGGUUUGCAAAAUCGUAGAAGGCGAGGAUAACACUCAAUUCUUUCACAUGAUCGCUAAUGGGAAGCAUCGUAAAAAGAGAAUCUUCCAACUAGAACAAGAUGAAGGGACGAUAGUUGGUCAGGACAAUCUCAAAGAUUACAUCACCAAUUAUUAUAAGCAGUUGUUUGGUCCCCCGGUAGAGACUUUCGUGUCGAUGGAUGAGUCUAGGGUUGAGGAUGUGCCUCAGCUAGAGACUGCCGAGAAUGAGCUCUUGACUGCUCUGUUCUCGGAGAAAGAGGUGUUUGAGGCUAUUACUCAGAUGGAGAAUAAUAAGGCCCCAGGACCGGAUGGGUUUCCGGCAGAGUUUUAUAAGAAGUGUUGGCAUUUUAUCAAGGGAGAUUUGAUGCCCAUGUUUCAGGAGUUUUUUGAGGGACAACUUCAAUUGUUUAAACUAAAUUUUGGGACAAUAACCCUUCUUCCUAAGAAGACUGAGGCUGUUCGGAUUGAGCAGUUUAGACCCAUAUGUCUGCUAAAUGUGAGUUUUAAAAUCUUCACCAAGGUGGGGACAAAUAGGCUUACACAAAUAGCACACUCAGUAGUUCAGCCAUCCCAGACUGCUUUCAUACCGGAUAGAAACAUCCUGCAAGGGGUUGUGGUCUUGCACGAAACGCUCCAUGAAAUCCACUCCAAAAAACUUGAUGGCGUAGUUUUUAAAGUGGAUUUUGAAAGAGCAUAUAAUAAAGUCAAGUGGCCUUUCCUUCAACAAGCGUUGCGUAUGAAAGGUUUUCAUCCGGCCUGGAGAAACCAGAUUGAUUCCUUUACGCAAAAAGGGAGUGUCGGGAUUAAGGUGAAUGAUGACGUGGGUCACUAUUUCCAAACACACAAGGGGCUGCGGCAAGGAGACCCUAUGUCACCGAUCCUGUUUAACAUAGUGGCUGAUAUGCUCACUAUUUUAAUAGGUCGGGCAAAGGAUGCAGGACAGGUAGGUGGCCUGGUUCCACAUCUAGUUGACGGCGGGUUGUCCAUUCUUCAGUAUGCUGAUGAUACAAUCAUUUUUAUGGAGCAUGACUUGGCGAAAGCAAGGAACAUGAAGCUGCUGUUAUGCUUAUUUAAACAAUUGUCUGGGCUUAAAAUCAACUUCCACAAGAGCGAAUUGUUUUGCUUUGGAAGAGCCAAUGAUGAACGGGAGUCGUAUCAACAAUUGUUCGGAUGUGAAUUGGGUUCUUUACCGUUUUCGUAUUUAGGUAUACCCAUUCAUCAUCGUAAGCUAUCUAAUAUUGAGUGGAAAUGUCUUGAGGAUCGGUUUGAAAAGAAACUGAGCUGUUGGAAAGGAAAGCUCAUGUCAUACAGAGGUCGAUUAAUUUUGAUUAAUUCGGUCCUCACUAGUAUGCCUAUGUUUCUCUUAUCCUUUUUCUUGGUUCCGGUCGGAGUUAGGAAAAGGUUAGAUUUCUAUCGAUCUAGAUUCUUUUGGCAAAUUGAUGAGCUUAAACGAAAGUAUAGACUUGCGAAGUGGGACAUUAUAUGCAGACCUAAGGACCAAGGUGGCCUAGGUAUAGAAAAUCUGGAAGUCAAAAACAUAUGUAUCCUUAACAAGUGGCUUUUUAAGCUGUCAUCUGAGACGGAGGCCACUUGGGCUCAGAUUUUGCGCAAUAAGUAUCUCUAUGCUAAAACUCUGGCUCAGGUGAAUGUGAGGUCUUCAGACUCACCAUUUUGGAAGGGUUUGAUGAGAGUUAAGCAACUCUUUUUCAACAGGUCUAAAUUUAUUGUUGGGAAUGGCACAACGACGAGGUUUUGGGAGGAUACGUGGCUUGGGGAGACCCCACUUGCACUUCAAUAUCCUUCUUUGUAUAACAUUGUCCAACGUAGAGAAGCCUAUGUUGCUAAUGUUUUACAAUCCGUCCCCCUCAAUAUCAGUUUUAGACGGACACUAGUUGGAAAUCGUUGGGAGGCCUGGCUCCAUCUUGUUCGACGUUUAAUGGAUGUCUGGCUGUCUCAAUAGCCAGAUCAGCUGCAUUACUAAGAACGGUGUGUUCUCGGUCAAAUCAAUGUAUCUAGAUGUCAUUAACUCUUCCGUCAUCCCCACAUCAUUACAUGUUUGGAAAGUUAAGGUACCCUUGCGUAUCAAAGUGUUUAUGUGGUUUGUGCAUAAACAUGUCAUUUUGACUAAGGAUAACCUUGCAAAACGUAAUUGGGUGGGCUCGUCUCGAUGUAGCUUUUGUGAUCAUAACGAAAACAUUAAAUACCUCUUUCUAGAUUGUCCUUUGGCUAAGAUUCUGUGGCGGUCGGUUCAUAUUGCGUUUAAUAUUGAUCAGCCCACCUCUAUUAGCAUGUUAUUUGGAACAUGGCUUGACGGGGUGGAUUCUGACAUUGCAAGACACAUUCGGGUUGGCGUUUGUGCGCUUUUGUGGGCAAUAUGGAACUGCAGGAAUGACUUAGUCCUUAACCGAUCAACAAACAUUCACUUUUUGCAGGUUAUCUUCAGGGCCACGGCGUUCAUCCGUAUGUGGUCGCUACUCACUCCGACGGAGGCCAGGGAGCGUUUGGUUACUGCGUCUACCCGAUGGGAGAUGGUAGUUCGGGAUAUUUUCAACCGGUUUGGAUGGUCAUGUAAUAGGAUAGGCAUGUAGUGCUCCUAUUGUUUUGCCAGCCGGUUGUGGCUUUGGGCCUUUCUUCUUUUCAGCUUUUGUUGAUGAUUGUACUACGACCUUCCGAGACUUUGUUACUGGAUUAUUCGUUUAAUAAUAUGAGCCGUAUGCAUCGUUCUAAUGCAGAGGCUGGGGUAAAUCCCCUUUUCCAAAAAAAAACUAAUUACAAAUUCAACAUUAGUUACAUACUAACUCCCUACUCAAUCAUGUCGAUCAACAACUUUGAAUAUACUUCUUGUAAGUGUUCUCCCCAAAAUUCAUUUUUCUAAUGCAAGUCCUUUUGGCAGCUGAUUCUUUCAUUGCAAAAAGAAAAGAACUCUCGGAAAUCCAAUUCGGCUCUUGGGAACAUAUACUCCUGUCCACCAAAAAUGUUUUUUUUGCAAAUGUCAAAAAAAAGAAAAAAAAAUAUAGAUGUGUUCAUUGUCACACCAAAACGUUACUUGCAAAAAUUUUAGGAGGAAGCUUAAAUAUUUUGAUCUGUGAAAAAAAAAACAAUUCGAACGACAAAUGUUGCCUUCAAAUAUUAAACUUUUUUUCACUGACGAAGCACCGUCAUCCCGUUUCGUAUGAAAAUUAUCAAACACACUUGUUACACAAGAACAUCUACAAAAAAAUCAAAAUUUAAAAUUUUAUUUACUAUUUAUUUUGAAUUUAGUGAUCAUUAGGAGCAUAUGCACCUCCGAGCCAAAACGGCCCUCCCAAGAACUCUUCACUAGUAAAUGAGAAUGAUACAAGCAUAUCGUCAAGGUCGACUCGUUAUUACUAUUCAUGUUCCAUCAAUUCAAAUCGUUGAUUGUAGAACGGUGGCACUUUCAAGAAAAAAAAAUGCUCAUAUAUGAUGUAAUGAUUUUAAUAUGGUCAUUAUGUUUCAUACGUUUCUUGUUAUUUUACUUUUUGGUUUUUCCUAUGAUACUUUGCCUACAAGAUAAUAUAUAUUUUGUAUGGGAGCUUUAUAGUGCGUUGCUAUAAAUGGGAAAGUAGUAAAAUGGACUCCGGUACAAAUGUUCAUCAGUUGAGUUUUCUCAUUUUCACGUUUCAAAAUUUUCUUAAAUUAUGUUCUGGAUGUUUGAUGACUUUCUUUUUCGGAGACAACUAUCUGAUGACUAGUCGUAACCAUUUUUUUUGCCAAUAUUGUAUUCAUUUGCAUGCUGCACAAAAAAACAUAUUUAUGCAGUUUACUGUAUAUUUUUCUCUUACAGAGCACAAACUUGUAUAUUUUGGCUAUAAUUUGGAUGUUCACACCACUUCUGACACUAUAUAAUAUAGUCAAGAGCCACUUCAGACACAACCUACAUCUCUCUUUAUAUUAACUUAAUGCAACUUAUGAAGAGAGAAAGAGGCGAGACCGGGAGGGUGCUGACGCGAGGGGGGUGGGAUGAAGAGAGGAAGGGUCGAGGAGCCGACACAAAUGUGAGACGAGGAGCCUGCUAGGUUUUCUUCAUGGGAGCUACCACCUUUUAUAGCUCAUGUCUGAAAUGACCAAAAUACCCUAGUGGGGUCAUGAUAUUUACAUUUAGUUGCAAUUGAAAUUUUAUGCAACGGCCCAAGUGAUCGUACACAUAAUCGGACGGCUCACAUCAAAACAACCCGAGAUCCAACAGACAGGAUUGCGAACGUAGAACGAUCGAACGGUCCAAAGUGCCUAAUCGCUCCUAGAUAUUCAUUCCCUCUUGCUCUUUACUCCUGGGAUAUCACGUGACCAUACCUAAUACUUAUAGAUGUCUAGUGGCUGGCCUACUGAAAGGAGGGUAGGGCACUGCUGCCACUUGUGAACUGCGUUGGCAUUUCCCCGAAGAGGAGAGGAUGAUGCAGUAUAGUAGAGAUAAGUAUUUCCCUUAGUUAAGAACCAAGGUUAUCAAUCCAGUAGGAAAACUAAGCAACACCUCAUUAGCAGCAAUUGCACACAAACAACCAAUCCUUGCAACCCAAUGCGAAUAAGGCGUUGCAAUCCCUUGACGGUUACGAGCAAGAUUAAAUUGUAUGGUAUUUGUUAGAUAAAUCGGACAAAAAUGCAAAAUAGCAUACGGUGGGUAGACAAAUUAGCAUACGGUGGGUAGAUAAAAUAGCAUACUUUUGGUUUUAGUAAAUGAUAAAAGAUAGACCCGGGGCCAUAGUUUUCACAAGAGGCCUCUCUCACUGAAAAUAGCAUACGGUGGGUAGACAAAUUACUGUCGGGCAGUUGAUAAAAAAGCAAAUAAUGAUAACGAUAUCCAAGGGAAUGAUCAAACAUAGGCAUCACGUCUGAGACAAGUAGACCGAGACGAUUCUGCAUCUACUUCUAUUACUCCACACAUCGACCGCUAUCCAGCAUGCAUCUAGAGUAUUAAGUUCAUAAAAAAUGGAGUAACGCCUUAAGCAAGAUGACAUGAUGCAGACAAGAUAAACUCACAUAUGAAUAAACCCCGUCUUUUUAUCCUUAAUGGCAAUGAUACAUACAUGACAUUUCCCUUUCUUUCACUGGGAUUGAGCACCGCAAGAUCGAACCCAUUACAAAGCACCUAUUCCCAUUGCAAGAUAAAUCAAUCUAGUUGGACAAACCAAAUAAAUAGAUCACAGAAGAAAUGUGAAGCUAUAUUAAUCAUGCAUAAAAGAGUUCAAAAAAACCUCAAAUAAUAUUCAUGGAUAGAUCAGAUCAUAAACUCACAAUUCAUCGUAUCCCGACAAACACACCGUAAAAAAAGAUUACAUAGAAUAGGGCUCCACGAACAUCAAGGAGAUAUUGUAUUGAAGAACACCGAGAGAGAAGAAGACAUCUAGCUACUAACUAUGGACUUGUAGGUCUAUGGUAAACUACUCACGCAUCAUCGGAAGGGCAGCAAGGUUGAUGUAGAGCCCCUCCGUGAUUGAUUCCCCCUCCGACGGAGUACCAGAAAAGGCCUCUAGAUGGGUUCUCUCAAGAACAGAGGCUUGCAGCGACGGAAAAAGUAUUUCGUGCACUUCUCUGUUGGUUUCUCGAUUUUAGAGAAUUUAUAGAGGCGGAGUUAGGUCAAACGGAGCCACGUGGGCCCCAAGAGCUACCAAGGCGCGCCCUGGUGCCUCGUGGACCACUGCUCCAUCUUCUCGUCCCCUCCCGAAGCUUCCAGGGUCUCUUAUGUCCAGGAAAAAAUCACUAGAAAAUUUCGUGACAUUUGGACUUCAUUUGGUACUAAUAUUCCGCAAAACCAAAAACAAGCAAAAAAAAAACUGGCACAGGGCACUAAGUUAUUAGGUUAGUCACAAAAAAGAUAUAUAGUUGUUUAUUAAUGUAUAUAGAACAUCCAAGAUUGAUACUAUAAUAGCAUGAAACAAUUAAAAAUAUAGAUACGUUGGAGACAUAUCAACUGCCACUGCAAGCGUCAUUGAAAGCUUCACUGCAGUUUGUAUUGGCUAUUAUGUUUUUGCAUCAUUUUUAUUUACUUGACAGUUCGCCCCACCUUAGAAAAAAUUGAUCCUCCGCAGACCGAUCCAUGGCAAGUCAGCGUAGGGUACUAGAGUAGUACUAUCUCUGUCCGAUUUUACUGUCCCUUGUAUUUUAGAUAAAAUUUUAACCACCUAUUUGACUAACAAAAAUACAAAUUAUACUACAAAAAAUACUGUUGGAUUUGUACUAAAAAAUGGUUUUCAACAAUAUUAAGUUUUGUGAUAUAGAGUUUAUAUUUUAUUAGUUAAAUCAAUGAUCAAACUUUAGCAUGAAAUGAGAGGUGAGCUAAUAAACUGGACCAAGAGAGUACUACUGAAUUUGCUCUUGAAAUGUCUCAGACAACGGUGGUUCUCCACCACUACUCAAACAAAGUCUAACGUUGUCGAGUUCAAGUGGAGGAUGUACCUUACCCUCGUGCGGCUCCGAGGGCUGUAUUGGGACGCCCAAAAAACCGGUGGCUUAAGCCCCCCUCCUACUCCUCUUCCCUCACCGCGCCGGAGUGCGUCGCCAGGCAAAACUCGGGUGGUGGUGGGCGGAGGUGGGGACGUAUUGCGGCAUGAUGGUGGCGGAUCUGGAGAUUCCAAGUCUUGGUAGGGUGGCAGUCUUGGCUCUGCGAGCUUUGGCAUGGACAUGGGUCGUCGGCCGCCCGAGGAUGCGCGCGUCUUCUCGGGGAGAUGCGAUAGAGGUGUUGUGGCGUGGAGGUGUUGUGUCUGCUUCGUUGGGUGGCCAACUGCUCCUAUGCCGCGCCGGUCAUCCAGUACGAUGGUCGUGCUUCAUUGGCCUUGUCCAAGAGAUGGUUGCUACUUGUGAGCUGUGUUGAGAUUUUCCCCGAAGAGGAAGGAUGAAGCAAUAUAGUAGUGGAUAGUAUUUCCCUUAGUGAGAAUCAAGGUUAUCAAACCAAUAGGAAAACCACACAAAAACCUAGUGAACAGUACCUACACACACAAGAGCAAAUACUUGCACCCAACGCAAGCAAGAGGGUUCACUAGUAUGCAUCGAUGCUAUACAAACGAUUUUUAACCCCUUUCCGCGAUGACAUUUGAAACCGUCACCAAGUGAGUGUGGGCGAUAGGGGGGUCCUUCCCACACGACCCAGAAACCGUCGGGGAUAGGCCCUCCUGGCACACUGACUGGGGCAAAAUGAGUUCGUGUGCGAUCUGGCGGGGCAUCGAAACCCAAUUGUUUCCAUUCGUAUGUACAUCCCACACGGUGAAUCCCCGAAAAACAUUUCCGUUCAUAUGUAUAUCACACACAGUCAAUCCAAGGAGAACAUUUUCAUUCUCAUGUACAUCCCACACGGUGAAUCCAGGGAAAACAUUUCCAUUUGUAUGUACUUCCCACACAGUCAAUUCAAGGAAAACGUUUCCUUUUGUAUGCACAUCCCACACAGUCAAUCCAGGAAAAACGUUUUCGUUUGUAUGUAUAUCCCACACAGGUUUAUGUAUAGACUCGUGUGUGAUACGUGUAACUAUCACACACGCUCUGCUUUGGUUAACCGUUUUCUUUUAUCAACUACAUCACACACGAUUUGAUAAAGAAAAUUGUGUGGUAUUGGGCUAUCCAUCACAAGCGCUUUUACUUCUAGAACCGUUUGCAAAGUUCCAUGACCCAUUUCGCAGGUUUAUUAGUUUACAAUUAAUAAUUCUAGUAUUACGCAAAUUCACGUUUCAUAUCGAACAGUUGUUUGCCAAUUUUAUAUCACGCACAUAGAUAUAUUUUAACAUCACAGUACGAUAGCUACCAGAAAAUAGCACAGUACAACAUAUAGAUAGUUCAACUUCAUAAGAACAAUAUUAGAACAAUAUAUUCAUUUCCCUAAUCGAGAUCAUCCAGACUCACCUUAUCCACCUCUGCUUUCAGUUCAGUAAGAACCUGUCUUGCACUGGCCAACUGGGAAAGUGCCUCCUCCUUCGCCAACAUCAUCUUAGCAAAGUCCGAUUUAAAAAAUCUGAGCUUAUUCUACACCUUUCUCUAAGCCUACCUCUGUACAUGCUCCAGAGCUUUGCUAGGCACAUCUUCAAAGACUGUGGCCAUUCUUGAUCAACCCACUCCAAGUAAGAACACUUCCGUUCAUCCUAUAAUAUUUAAAACUAGAUCAGUAACAAUUGUAGGGAAAAUGGGUUUAUAGCAACAUAGAAAAUCACCAAUACUUAUUUUGAAAAACUAAAGAAAUAGGUUAAUUAUGACAUAUCUUCUUAAAAAAAUCAAUGUGCAAAUGAAUUAAUUGCUACUAACACAACAACCAAAUUCUGAAACAUCAGAAGCUAAUUAACUACAACAACGCUACAAGUUCUUACUCAUGCACUAUAAAUAACAAAUUGAACAUUUUAAGAGAAAGGUAAAUAUAACUGCAACAGCAUAGCGACAGUGUUUGGAUGACAACAAAUUGAUACUAACAGGUGUGUACAUGCACAAAUUCAGUAACAUAGAACCAAUAGCACUAAGGCGUCCACUAUGUAUGCCAAAACCGGUGUAAAGACAGUUGUUGCUACAUCUCGCACCGGUGCCCUGCACUAGCGAGCCGAUGCAGUGGAAAAAAAUCAGGGACUCGAACUCCGGAGCACCUAGUUGCUCCGACGCCCAGUUCCUUCGUGCCAUAAAGAUUUAGUAUUUUACUGCUUGGCUGCUCGGAUGUGUGGACAAAUGGCUCCACAAACUGCUGAAGCGGUGCCAAAUAAUUUUCUAAUGGCACCGCUGAUGAGAUGGCAACAUUUUUAGAUACUAGGUACAAACUGUGACAUUGUCUUAGGAUGCGUUUGGUUGAAGGUGUUGUAUGAAUGGGUUGGGACCGUGAAAGUGUCUGAAUCACAUCUAACAAAUGAUUUGUAACAACGAAAGAGGGUCUAACCUUCUCUACACAUGCCAGAAACUUCCUCCCACUAUCCACAGAUUCAAAUGCAACUAGCUUCACGCAUGGAGAUUGAUGGUGACAACGAGAAGACAAAUCUUCAGCCACCCUGCUCCAUUCGUUGCAAGUGAUGGUCCUAGGGAACUACAAGAGGAAGAAUGACUCAAAUCGACCGCCAGGUAAAAAUUCUCCAUUUCAAGUCAUAGCUCGAGACAGAGAAGAGAGGCAUUCCCGGUGGUGAAGGAGUCGUCGUCGGAGGAGGGACCGCUAGAGAGGUCUUUGAAGAAGACCAUGGCGACCCCGGCGGUAGGAUGUGAGACGGCGAGAGCGAGGAAGCAAGCAAGGAAGCGGCUAUAGAUUAGGAAGGAAGGAAGGGGGAAACAGGGGAAAUGUGACUUGUGGUCGGGGAGAAAAGGGGGUGGGGAGGGGGAGGGUAGAUAUUUCGGCGGUAGGCCAAAAAAUUUGAAAUGUGGAGGGAAAAUUUGCGCGCGGUGCCACCGGACACCAUGAACUUUGAAUGAUAGUGUGCAUCGCAAAUGAUUCUUCUGCUUAAUGUGCAUGGGAUGAGUUUGAUAAUUGAAAUUUUGGUGGAAAUUUCCCCGUGUAUGUCAUUGCAUAAUUUAACAUCGCUUGCUAAUUUGGGCAAAGUAAAGAGCGUACAGCACACAGAUCAGACUUACUGAAUCGAGCAAUAUUAGUAAUUAAACAUAGAUAGUUCACCUAAACAUUGCUCUAACAAAAGACCAGCAUUAAAAACAAAGCCUAAGUACGAAUAAUUUUAACAAAUCCGCCACCGCGCCGGCCUAUGCAUCACCGGUGCGAGAUGAGACAUCGAUGACUUCUCCUGGCGACAUGCCGCCGUUGGUGGACUCCGCGUCCCCCUGCUGAAGUCGACCGCGUCCUCGUCCUCGUCCUUGGCACCGCCCUCAAGGUUGUAGUACUCAUAGUAGUGGCUGCGCCAAAGCUCGCAUUGGUACUCCACCGCCGAUUCCUCGACGAAAAGACUCUUCUCUACCUCGACCUAGGCCACACACAACUCCUCCUCCCGGCGCUCCUUGAUCUCCGCCGCCUCCUGCAUCCCCGGCUGCCGCUCGACGACCUCAUGAGGAAGCAGGUGCUCCAUGGCCACCACCACCUUUUUGGACGUGGGUUGCAUGCUGGAUUCCGAGGUGGCCUAGAAUAUCUUGGCGUGGAUGGCCUCGACCCGGGCGAGGGUGACAUCGUCGGAAAGGACGGCAACUCGAGCGCUUUCGUCGUUUGCAGUCGCGGUCGCAGCAGCAACUGCAGCUGUCUCGGCUGCUGCAGCUGCCCUUUCGGCUACCGCAGACGCCCUCUCAGCGGAAGCGGUUGCGCUCAAUGCUGAUGCGGCAGCACACUCGGCGUAGGCGGCGGCGCUCGGGGGGGUGGGGGUGGGGGACACGACCAUUGUACGGGCCUUCACGAAGCAUUUCCACGCCGUCAUCUUUGCAAGAAGGGGCUGAGGGAAUGGGGAUCGAGAUUUGUGAAUUCGGGGGUUGCCGACACUAGAGCACAUGAGCCGGCGGAGCUUAAGGAGGAAGACUUAAAUGGACCCGAAAUUUUCGUCGCAAGCGAUUCCUACAAAACAACUGUGUGUGAUGUUGUAGAUAUUUUUUAUUAGUUGUGAAAGACGAAUUUGGAGUAAAGUGGCAACGGAUGGUGUUUUAAAUGUACGAGAAAAUUUGUAGUACUAAUACAACUGUCAUGUCAAAAUUUGGAAAUUUUCAGGGGUCAUUUGACCUUUUAAGACAUUUAAGUGAUUUUCUAGCCAUUUAAUGACCGUAAUUGAAAUUGAACUACAUGUACAUGCAGCAGCUAACCAAAACGGUUUGAAAAGACAUAUUGUGUGUACUUGUGUGCGAUUUAAUUCCACGUGCAGUAAAUUGGAAGGAAUUUUCAAACAUUGGUCUAACGGCUAUGACACAAUUAAGUAUGGAGUGCCAUGGUAUUUAAAUUCCAAAAAAUUAAAAACAUGAAACCUUGCUUGAUGUAAUGUCAUACCAUCAAGAUGAUGUGGUACAAAAAUUGGCAUGUUUGACGAAAGUUUGGACACACACCCCUUACAAGCCGGAGCAACUCACUAGAAGGCUCAUGGUUCCGAGAGGGGAUAAUGCAUGUUUGAUCAUGAAUGGCAGAUAGCUUCCUCUUAGGGCCUUCAAAAAAUUUCUACAUGUAAUGUGCACUGAUACUAACUAUCAUGUGAAAAUUUGGAAAAUUUCAAGGGUCAUUGACCUUUUGAAGACAUUUAUAUGAUUUUCUAGCCAUUUAAUGACCAUAAUUCAAAUUUGAACUAGAUGUACAUGCAACGGCUAACCAUAACGGCUUGAAAAAUCAUGUUUGUAUACUUGUGUGCAAGUUAAUUCCAUGUGCAGUAAAUUAGAAUGAAUUUUCAAACAUAUUGGUCUCACGGCAUGGACACAUGCAUGGAGUGCCAUGACAUUUUAAUUUCAAAAAUAAAAUAAAAAAUGAUCAGGAAAACAUGAAACUUUGCUUGAUGUAAUGUCAUGCCACCAAGAUGAUGUGGUACAAAAAUUGGCAUGUUUGAUGAAAGUUUGGACACCCCCCCUCACAAACGGAGAAACUCUCUAGAAGGCUCAUGGUUCCGAGAGGGAACAAUGCAUGUUUGAUGACGAACGGCACAUAGCUUCCUCUUACGGCAUUCAAAAAAUUUCUACGUGUAAUGUGCACUGAUACAAACUGUCAUGUGAAAAUUUGGAAAAUUUCAGGGGUCAUUUGACCUUUUGAAGACAUUUAAGUGAUUUUCUAGCCAUUUAAUGACCGUAAUUCAAAUUUGAACUACAUCUACAUGCAAUGGCUAACCAUAACAGUUUGAAAAAUCAUAUUUGUGUACUUGUGUGCGAGUUAAAAAAUCAUCAGGCGAUGUAAAUAUCUGGUGUUCAAAAAAGAAAAUAUAAAAUCUAGCAAAACAACCGGCCCCACACGGUUGGCACUCUAUUUCAUGCAUUGAGGUUUGGAAGGUGAGUGGCGGGCUUUAUUAAUCAGACACAGUUCUGCAUUGGGAACCGUCAGCUAUUAUGUUCACAUACGGAUUUUGCUGCGGGAAUCGUGUGUAAUUCACACUACAGUAUUCGUAAAUUUCGACGACCGGCGCGUGUACUGUUCCCGUCGAUCUAGAUUCCGGCCGCCGAUAAAUACUACCUUGCUCACAUCGCCCCGUCUGCAUUCUCAUCUGGAUCCUCCCCUUGCUCUCUCUUUCUCUCUCUCUCUCUCAAAUCUCUGCCAUGGCGCUGCCGGUCUGCCCAUGCGCCGACGAGGAGUCACCAUCCCCCGAGGACGCUCACUCGAAGAGCAGCGACGAGGACACCUACGCGUCACCAGAUGAGAUUGCACCGGACCCCCCAACUUUGGAUUGGUUUUGGGGCCAGUACGAUCUUUAUCUUUGGAAGUCGCUGCCGCCGGCUGAUAAAGCCAGGCAAGUGGAUUUCAAGAAGAAGAUGGCGGAGGAAAAUGCUAGGUACCAGGCGGCCUAUGAAGCCCGUGUUGCCGCCUAGAAAAAGGAGGCAACACAGCUUUGGGGGUGGGUGCGUCGUUGUGCGGAGGAGGUGUGCGAAGACAUGUACUUCACGAGGAAGGCCAGAGGCGCUAGGCGCCUCGUCGCUGCGUGGAGCUGGGCCAAUAAGCUCCAGCGUGCCACCGAUGAGGAGCUCUGGUGGGCGCCCACAAAAAUGGUGAGAUCGUUCACGCGCGUCCGCCUACAAGAGGCAGAUCAGCACACCACAGCGCUGCGAGGUGGAGGAGGCGGAGUAUUGCCUCUGCUCUGGGAAGACGCCGCGUACCAGGGAGCUGCUGGCAAGGGGAUGCUGGAAUACUGGCCCCAGGGGGAUUAUUAGUUUUAGUAUUAUUCGUUUUCAAUUUUAUGCAUUGUACCUAGUAGUUAAGCAUCAUCACAUAUAUGUGAUGAUAUUAUAUAUAUUCUGUGAUGAACUAAUGAACAAUUAAUAUUAUACAUAUUAUGAAUUCCAUUUUCUAUGUGUUUUUGUAUACUAAUUUGAAUCUAUUUGUUAUCAUCCACAUGUAUAGAAUGGAAAACGUAUAAACACACAUUGGAACAUAACAUAUAAAAACGGAAAACAGAAUACACACAUUGAAACAGAGCAAUAUACAUAGCAAUAGUAUGAUUGCUGUGAAUACAUAGCUAUCCACGUCGAAACGACUCAACAAAAUAAAACGCGUCCAUGAGACCAUGAUCAGUAGCCCUUGCCUACGAUAGGUCUUGGCUCUGCCUGAACUCGUGCAGGAGUUCGUCCAAGCGGUCGACAUGCUCGCGGUACAUUUGGAGCGCGAUCUCAAGCUCCAGGUUGGCUAUUUCAUCGUAGAUCACCACCUUGAGGAUGCGACGGCCAUGUUCCACCUGGGCCAAGGAGGUGGUCGAGCCUACCGACCAACGCGUUGGCAUCGAGCGGGCUGCGGACAAGGUGAACGGCGCGACCCAUGCGAAUGGCACGACGGAUGUCUGGUGUUAGUACGGCGCAGAGGGCAUGUGCCCACUCUUCGCGAGGAAUGGGGGUACUGACGGGACGUGUAUCCAGCUGCGACGCCUAUCAACAGCAGGCAAGCAUCGAUGGAUCCGCUCUUGCAGUGCGGCACGCCGCGCCUCUCGCUCUGCAGCGCUCCAACGCUCUCGCCGUGCGGCAAGCCGCAGCCUAUCGGCACAGACACGCCUAGCUUGCUCUAUAGCACGCCAUCGAUCAUGUUGUGCGGCGAGCUGCAGCCUCUCAGUGCUGACAUGCCUAUCUUGAUCCGCGGCACUGAAGCGCCGUGCACCAAAGGUCUACUCAACCCUGGCGAUGACACACAUCACGACGUCGUCCAUCGUGUUGCCGGGGAGCGCCACGGCCUCGUCGGGCCAUGGCACCUUCUGGUUUUCCUUGUUGACGAGGUUGAUGGCAGAGUCGGCGCUUUGGUGCGUUGGCAUGCUUGGAAAAGGUGGAUGUGCUACAGGAUGCGCUUGUUGCCUCCGUGCAUCCUGUCGCGCCUAGGUUUAUGUGCAAUAUCAUCGAGUGGUGGGAAACAGGUGAGGAAAUGGCGAGAAACGGUGGCGUGUUCAUAGAAUGCCAUCAAUUAAUGGAAACUUAGCAUAUAAGGAACAUCGAGCUAGCACAAGAAGUAGAUGAUGAUGAGAUGAACACGGACCACACUAGGGAACCCAUUGGUGAUGAAUUCAUCAAUCGCAAACGGUUGUACACUAGCAAGCGUUUGCCCGCAACACACACGGCUUAUUCCAUCACUAAUAGGUCGGAUAGAUCAACUGUAUGCCACGUAUACACAUUGUCAAAAAAUAAUGCGGUAGACCUUCUUUAACAUAUGUUAGAAAAAAAUUAAAAUAAAAAACAAGGACCUCGAGGUUAAAUUAGCCGAGGGAAUGGGUCAUUUCAGCCAUUUGAACCGAAAUGACCCAUCCUAUCAGUUAAUUUAACAUCAACACAACUUCACAUUGAGUCACCUAUCUGCUGGCUGCUCCAGCCUGAGCACACUUAACUUGAGAGUUCUAUUAGAUGAGCUACUGGUGGAGCAACUAGUCCUUGCUGAUAUAGGAUGCCUCUUCGCAUCCUUAUGGCGUAUCCGGAUGACCGCCCAUCCCCUAAUGGCCAAUACAUGUUGUGUAGACAGAGCAUAUCACAUAUGUCUUAUUAGAAGCAAUCGUUUAUGUUAUUAUCGGUCUUCGCACACAUUUCUGAUUACAGACCUGUUUGCCGCGUAUCACAUACAUGUUGUUAUAUUGAACCGUUUCUGUUCUCUUGUCAACACAAACAGUUCAUCCGAGUGAACCGCAUGCUGUAUAUCGCACACACCUUGAUCUGGCUAACCGUUUCUUUUGUGUUGCCUAAUCACAAACAGUUCAUCCAAGUGAACCGUAUGCUGUGUAGUGCACACGCCUUCAUCUGGCUGCCUGUUUCAUUUGUUCCUCCUCAUCGCAAACACUUAAUUGAACUGAAACGUAUGCCCUGCAUCGCACACGGCACUAAAAUCUUAACCAUGUUUGAUGCAUCCAUCAUCGCAAACGUUUUGCACAUUUUUGACGGUUUUCUUACACCACUGUUUGCGAUUAUUGCAUCGCACAUAGUUUCUUGAAGGGUCUCUGAUCGUAGUGUCACGUAGCAGCAUCUUGCAGUAGUGGUUGUCAAUCCCCUUGAUCUUGUUACUUGCAAGGAUUAAAUCUGAUAGUGAUAGAUAGAUAAAUUGCAAACUAAAAUAUAAAAAUUGCAGCUAGGUUUAUUAGUAUGGUAAAAGUAGACCCGGGACCAUAGUUUUCACUAUAGGCUUCUCUCUAUAAAGAUAGCAUGCCAUGGGUAGAAAAAAUGCUAUUGGGCAAUUGAUAGAAAAGCGCAUAGUUAUGAUGUUAUUCAUGGCAAUGAUCAUGUAUAUAGGCAUUAUAUUCGUGACAACUAGACCGAAACUAUUCUGCAUCUACUGAUAUUACUCCACUUCAAGAGCGCUUCUAUGCUUGCCUCUCUACGUAUUAAGUUCAUAACAAACAGAGUAAUGCCUAAAGUAUGAUGAAAUAAUGUAUACAUAACGAGACCAACCAAUAUGAUUGAACCCCAUCGUUUUACCCUUAGUAGCAACAAUACAAAUAUGUGCCUCGCUACCCCUUCUAUCACGAGGUGAGGACAAUGCAAGAUUGAACCCACUACAAAGCACCUCUCCCGCUGAAUAUAAAUCAAUCUAGUUGGCCAAACUAAACAGAUAGAUCGGAGAGAAAUACAAUGCUAUAUACUCAUGCAUAAUUAAGUUUAGAGAAGACUCAAUUACUUUCAAUUAAUAAUAUGAUCAUAAAACCCACAAUUCAUCAGAUCCCAAAAAACUCACCGGAAAACAAGAUUACAUUGAAUAGAACUCCAUGGAGAUCAAGGAGAACAUUGUAUUGAAGAUGGGAGAGAAAAACAAGUCAUCUAGCUAAUCACUAUGGACCCUUAGGUCUGUGUUAAAUGCUACUUCUAAACUGCGUUGGAAUUUUCCCCGAAGAGGAGAGGAGAUGCAGUACAAUAGAGAUAAGUAGUUCCCUCAGUGAGGACCAAGGUUUAUCGAGCCAAUAGGAGAAUCAUGCAAAGCCUUGUGAAUAGCACCUGCACACACAAAAGCAGAUACUUGCACCCAGCAUGGGCAAGAGGGUUAUCAACCUCUUGAACUCGUUAAUUGCAAGGAUCAAAUAACAUAGUGGUAGAUAGACAAAUUGCAAAACAAAAUAAAAGAAAUAAAAUUGGAGCAAAGGUAUUUUGGUUUUUCAUAUGAUCAAAGUAGACUCGGGGGCCAUAGUUUUCACAAGAGGCUUCUCUCUCGAAUACAUAGCAUACAACGGGUGAACAAAUUACUGUUGGGCAAUUGAUAGAAAAGCACAUUGUUAUGACAAUAUUCAAGGCAACCAUCAUGUAUAUAGGCAUCACAUCCGAGACAAGUAGACCGACUCUUGCUUGCAUCUACUACUAUUACUCUACCAAUCGACCACUAUCCAGCAUGAAUCUAUGGUAUUAAGUUCAUAAAAAUAGAGUAACUCCUUAAGCAAGAUGACAUAAUGUAGACAAAGUAAUCUCAAUCAAUAUGAAUAAACCCCAUGUUUUACUCUUAAUGGCAACAAAGCAAAUAUGGAUCUUGUCCCUUUCUGUCACUGGGAUAUAGAGCACCAGAAGAUUGAACCCAUCAUAAAGCACCUCUGCAACUGAGGAUAAAUCUAGUUGGCAAAACCAAACAAAUAGAUUGGAGAGAAAUACAAAGCUUUAAAAAUCAUGCAUAAUAAUGUCUUGAAAAGACUCAAUUACUUCUCAUGAAUAUCCAGAUCAUAAACCCACUAUUCAUCGGAUCCCAACAAACAUACAACACAAGAAGAUUACAUCGGAUCGAACUCCAAGAAUACCGAUGAGAACAUGGUAUUGAAGAUCAAAGAGACACAAGAAUCCAUCUAGUUACUAGCUAUGGACCCAUAGGUUUGUGGUGAACUACUCAUGCAUCAUCGGAAGGCAACAAGGAUGAUGUAGAAGCCCUCCGGUAUUGACUCCCCCUGUGGAAGAGUACCGGAAAAGGCCUCCAAAGGGGAUCAUGGAAGAACAGAAACUUGAAGGCGACGGAAAAAAAGUGUUUCGGGUGGAUCUCUGUUGGUUUCCUAAUAUUUGAGAAUUUAUAGAAGUGGAAUUAGGCUGGACGGAGCCUCGAUGAGCCCACAAGACAAGGCACGGCCCCCUGGGCACGCCCUAUUGGCUUACCGUAUCCUCAUUCGUCAUCUAGUCUCCUCCCGGAGCUUCUAGGGUCUCUCUUGUCCAAAAAAAUCAUUAAGAAGUUACAUAGCGUUUGGAAUCCUUUUGGUGCUGAUUUUAUGGAAAACCAAAAACAAGCUGAAAACAACAACUGGCACUGGGUUAAUAGCUUAGUUCCCAAAAAUGAUAUAAAUACUAUAAAAGUGCAUAUAAAGCAUCCAAUAUUGAUAAUAUAAUAGCAUGGAACAAUAAAAAUAUAUAGAUACGUUGGAGACGUAUCAACAUCCCCAAGCGUAAUUCCUGCUCGUCCUCGAGUAGGUAAAUGAUAAAAACAGAAAUUUUGACGUGGAAUGCUACCUAACAUGUUUACCAUGUUAUCUCUUUUACAGUAUGAAUAUUUACAACAAGGCAUUAGUCUAAAAUUUGAUAUAAAGACAUCAAUACUCAGGCAUACCAACAAACAAUCAUGCCUUUUACAAUAAAAAUGCUAAAGAAUGCUAUCCCUCCAAAAAUCAUAUAGCCCAUCAUGCUUAGUCUUCCUAACACAAAAUAUUAAUCAUGAAAUACCCCAAUGACAAGCCAAGCAAUUGGAUCAUACUUUUUAACGCACUUUAGCCUUUUCAACCCCACCCAAUACAUGAGCGUGAGCCAUGGAUAUAACACUAUGGGUGGAAUAGAAUGCGAUGAUAGAGAUCAAUAAGGGGAAGUCAAAAAUAAAGAAAGUCUCGCAUCAACACAGCUCAUCAACGGGCUAUGGAGAUGCCCAUCAAUUGAUAUUAAUGCUAGGAGUAGGGGUUGCCAUGUAACAGAUGCACUAAGAGCUAUAAGUGUAUGAAAUCUCAAACUAAAACUAAGUGGGUGUGCAACCAACUUGCUUGCUAAUGAAGACCUCCGGCAUUUUGAGGAAGCCCAUCAUUGGAAUAUACAAAACAAGUUCUAUAACGUUAAACUCCCACUAGUAUAUGAAGUGACAACUCAGGAGACUCUCUAUAUGAAAGACAUGGUUCUACUUUGAAGCACAAGUGUGGAAAUUAAUAGCAGCAUUGCCCCUUCUCUCUUUUUCUCUCUUUUUUGUUGGACUCUUUUUAGGCCGCUUUUUUCUCAUCUGGUUCGUCAUCCCGACUUGUGGGGGAAUCAUAGUCUCCAUCAUCCUUUCCUCGCUGGUACAAUGCUCUAACAAUGAUGAUCAUCAAACUUCUAUUUACUUACAACUCGAUAACUAGAAAAAUAUGACUCUAUAUGAAUGCCUCUGGCAGUGUACCAGGAUGUGCAAUGAUCUAGUGUAACAUGUACAAAAAUGAUGAACAGUGGCUAAGCCACAAAUACUAUGUUAGCUAUGUGAUCAUGCAAAGCAAUAUGGUAAUAAAUGUGUAUGUCAUAAAAUGGAACGAUGGGAGUUGCAUGGCAAUAUAUCUCAGAAUGGUUAUGGAAAUGGCAUAAUAGGUAGGUAUGGUGGCUGUUUCGAGGAAGAUAUAAGGAGGCUUUUGUGUGAUAGAGUGUAUCAUAUCACGAGGUUUGGAUGUGAAGGAAAUAUGCCCUAGAGGCAAUAAUAAAGUUUUUAUUUUAUAUUUCCUUAUUCAUGAUAAAGGUUUAUUAUUCAUGCUAGAAUUGUAUUGAUCACAAACUUAAAUACAUGUGUGAAUACAUAAAUAAAAUACCGUGUCCCUAGUAAGCCUCUACUAGACUAGCUCGUUGAUAAAGGAUGGUUAAGGAUUCCUAACCAUGGACAUGUGUUGUCAUUUGAUAAUGGGAUAACAUCAUUAGGAGAAUGAUGUGAUGGACAAUACCCACCCGUUAGCUUACAUAAUGAUCGUUCAGUUUAUUGCUAUUGCUUUCUUCAUGUCAAAUACUUAUUUCUUCGCCUAUGAGAUUAUGCAACUCCUGGAUACCAAAGGAAUACCUUGUGUGCUAUCAAACAUCACAACAUAACUGGGUGAUCAUAAAGAUGCUCUACAGGUAUCUCCGAAGGUGUUUGUUGAGUUGGCAUAGAUCGAGAUUAGGAUUUGUCACUCCGAGUAUCGGAGAGGUAUCUCUGGGCCCUCUCGGUAAUACACAUCAUAAGCUUGGAGCAAAUGACUAAGGAGUUAGUCGCGAGGUGAUGUAUUACAGAAUGAGUAAAGAGACUUUCUGGUAACAAGAUUGAACCAGGUAUGAAGAUACCGAUGAUUGAAUCUCGGGCAAGUAACAUACCGAUGGACAAAGGAAUUACGUAUGUUGUCAUAACAGUUCGACCGAUAAAGAUCAUCGUAGAAUAUGUAGGAGCCAAUAUGGGCAUCCAGGUUUCGCUAUUGGUUAUUGACCCACGAGGUGUCUCGGUCAUGUCUACAUAAUUCUCAAACCCGUAGGGUCCGCACGCUUAACGUUCAUUGACGAUAUAGUAUUAUAUGAGUUAUGUGAUUUUGUGACCGAAUGUUGUUCGGAGUCCCAGAUGAGAUCACGGACAUGACAAGGAGUCUCGAAAUGGUCGAGAGGUUAAGAUUGAUAUAUAGGAUGAUAGUAUUCGGACACCGGAAGUGUUUCGGAGAGUACCGGGUACUUAUCGGGUCACCGGAAAAUAGUUCGGACACCCCCGACAAAGAUAUGGGCCUUAUGGGCCAAGAGAGGAAAUACACCAGCCACAAGGGGCUGGUGCGCCACCCAUAGCAGGCCAUCCUAAGGAGAAGAAGGGAAGGGGAGGGAAAGGAAAGUGUGGAUUAGGAUCCCACUUCCUUUCCUCUCACCCCCUCUUUCCUUCCCCCUUGGGAAUACAUGGUAGGGGGGCGCUGCGAGGGCAGGAGCCCUAGGGCCGGCCGGCCACCUAUGUGAUGCGCCAGGCUUCCUCCCCGCCCCCUCCCACCUAUAUAUAUGUGGGAGGGGACGCCUAGCACAACCCAGAUCAAUUGUUAGCCAUGUGCACCCCCCUCCACCGUUUACACCCCGGUCAUAUUUUCAUAGUGCUCAGGCGAAGCUCCGUGGAGAUCACAUCACCAUCACCGUCAUCACGCCGUCGUGCUUCCGGAACUCAUCUACUACCUCGCCGUCUUGCUGGAUCAAGAAGGCCUAGGACGUCACCGAGCUGAACGUGUGUAGAACGCGAAGGUGCCGUGUGUUUUGUACUAGAUUGGUUGUAGCGGAAGAAAGUUCGACUACAUCAACUGCUUUGUAAAAUGCUUCCGCUUACGGUCUACGAGGGCACGCAGACACACUCUCCCCCUCUUGUUUCUAUGCAUAUCCUCGAUAGAUCUUGCAUGUGCGUAGAUUUUUUUUGUUUUCCAUGCAACGUUUCCCAACAGUGGCAUCAUGAGCCAGGUCUAUGCGUAGAUGAUAUGCACGAGUAGAACACAGAGAGUUGUGGGCGGUGAUAGUCAUACUGCUUACCACCAACAUCUUAUUUUGAUUCGGCGGUAUUGUGGGAUGAAGCGGCCCGGGCCAACCUUACAUGUCCACGUACAUGAGACCAGUUCCACUAACAGACAUGCAACUUGUUUUGCAUAAAGGUGACUAGCGGGUGUCUAUUUCUCCUACUUUAGUUGAAUCGAAUUUGCCUGUGGCCGGUCCUUGAAGAAGGUUAAAAUAGCAAACUUGAUGAAUCACCAUUGUGGUUUUUGCUGUAGGUAAGAACGGUUAUUGCUAGAAGCCCGUAGCAGCCACGUAAAACUUGCAACAACAAAGUAGAGGACGUCUAACUUGUUUUUGCUGGGCAUGUUGUGAUGUGAUAUGGUCAAAACAUGAUGUGAUAUACAUUGUUGUAUGAGAUGAUCAUGUUUUGUGAAUUUAUCGGUAACCGGUAGGAGCCUUAUGGUUGUCUCUUUAUUGUAUGAAAUACAAAGGCCAUGUAAUUGCUUUACUUUAUCGCUAUGAGUUAGCAAUAUUUGUAGAAGCAAUAGUUGGCCAGACGACCACGACGCAAUGAUGGAGAUCGAGGUGUCGAGUCGGUGACGAUGGAGGUCUGCUUUGAAGAUGGAGAUCGAAAGCACAAGAUGAUGAUGGCCAUAUCAUAUCACAUAUUUUGAUUGCAUGUGAUGUUUAUCUUAUAUGCAUCUUAUUUUUCUUAGAACGACGGUAGCAUUAAAAGAUGAUUCCUUCACUAAAUUUCAAGGUAAAAGUGUUCUCCCUGAGUAUGCACCGUUCCUACAGUUCGUCGUUUCGAGACACCACGUGAUGACUGGGUGUGAUAGGCUCUACGUUCAUAUACAACGGGUGUAAGACAUUUUUACACAUUCAAAAUACUUGGGUUAACUUGACAAGCCUAGCAUGUACAUACAUGGCCUCGGAACACUGGAGACUUAAAGGUCGAACGUGAGUCAUAUAGUAGAUAUGAUCAACAUAGAGAUGUUCAUCAUUGAUGAGUACUCCAUAUCACGUGAUGAUCAGACAUGGGUUAGUUGAUUUGGAUCAUGUAUCACUAAAAUAACUUGAGGGAUGUUUAUUUAAGUGGGAGUUCAUUAGUAAUUUGAUUAGUUGAACUUAAAUUUAUCAUGAACUUAGUCCUGAUAGUAUUUGCAAAUUAUGUUGUAGAUCAAUAGCUCACGUUGUAGCUCCCCUAUUUUUGAUAUGUUCCUAGAGAAAAAAUAAGUUGAAAGAUGAUAGUAGCAAUGAUGCGGACUGGGUCCGUGAUCUGAGGAUUAUCCUCAUUACUGCACAGAAGAAUUAUGUCCUUGAUGCAUCGCUAGGAGACAGACCUAUUGCGGGAGCAGAUGCAGACGUUAUGGACGUUUGACAAAGCUCGCUAUGAUGACUACUUGAUAGUUUAGUGCGCCAUGCUUUACGGCUUAGAACCGGGACUUCAAAAACUUUUUGAAUGCAACGGAGCAUAUGAGAUGUUCCAAGAGAUGAAAUUGGUAUUUUAGACUCAUGCCCGUGUCGAGAGGUAUGAGACCUCUGGCAAGUACUUUUGCCUACAAGAUGGAGGAGAGUAGCUCAGCCAGUGAGCAUGUGCUCAGAAUGUCUUGGUACAACAAUCGCUUGAAUCAAGUGGGAGUUAAUCUUCCAGAUAAGAUAGUGAUUGACAGAGUUCUCUAGUCACUAUCACCAAGCUACUAGAACUUCAUGAUAAACUAUAAUAUGCAAGGGAUGACAAAAAUGAUUCCCGAGCUCUUCGCGAUGCUGAAAUCAGUGAAGGUAGAAAUCAAGAAAGAGCAUCACGUGUUGAUGGUUAACAAGACCAGUAGUUUCAAGAAAAAGGGCAAAGGGAAAGAAAGGGAACUUCAAGAAGAAUGGCAAGCCAGUUGCCACUCCCGUGAAGAAUCUCAAAGCUGGACCUAAGCCUAAAACCGAAUGCUUCUACUGCAAAGGGAAUGGCCACUAGAAGCGGAACUGCCUCAAAUACUUGGCGGAUAAGAGGGAUGGCAAAGUGAACAAAGUUAUAUUUGAUAUACAUGUUAUUGAUGUGUACCUUACUAGUAUUCGUAGUAUCCCCUAGGUAUUUGAUAAUGGUUUGGUUGUUAAGAUUAGUAACUCAAAACAGGAGUUGCAGAAUAAACGGAGACUAGUUAAGGGUGAGGUGACGAUGUGUGUUGGAAAUGAUUCCAAGGUUGAUACGAUCACCAUUACACACUCACUCUACCUUCGAGAUUAGUGUUGAACCUAAAUAAAUGUUAUUUGGUGUUUGCGUUGAGCAUGAAUAUGAUUUGAUCAUGUUUAUUGCAAUAUGGUUAUUCAUUUAAGUCAGAGAAUAAUUAUUGUUCUGUUUACAUGAAUAAAACCUUCUAUGGUCAUACACCCAAUGUAAAUGGUUUAUUGAAUCUCGAUCGUAGUGAUACACAUAUUCAUAAUAUUGAUGCCAAAAGAUGCAAAGUUGAUAAUGAUAGUGCAACAUACUUGUGGCAUUGCCAUUUAGGUCAUAUUGGUGUAAAGCGCAUGAAGAAACUCCAUGCAGAUGGACUUUUGGAAUCACUUGAUUAUGUAUCAUUUGAUACUUGCGAACCAUGCCUCAUGGGCAAGAUGACUAAAACUCCGUUCUCCGGAACAAUGGAGCAAGCUAAUGACUUAUUUGAAACAAUACAUACCGAUGUAUGCGAUCCAAUGAGUGUUGAGGCACGUGGCGAGUAUCGUUAUUUUCUGACAUUCACAGAUGAUUUGAGUAGGUAUGGAUAUAUCUACUUAAUGAAACACAAGUCUGAAACAUUUGAAAAGUUCAAAGAAUUUCAGAGUGAAGUGGAGAAUCAUCGUAACAAGAAAUAAGAUGUGAUCGUGGAGGCGAAUAUUUGAGUUACGAGUUUGGCCUUCAUUUAAAACAAUGUGAAAUUGUUUCACAACUCACGCCACCUGGAACACCACGGCAAAAUGGUGUGUCCAAACAUCGUAACCGUACUUUAUUAGAUAUGGUGCAUUCUAUGAUGUCUCUUACCGAUUUACCAAUAUCGUUUUGGGGUUAUGCAUUAGAGAGAGUUGCAUUCACGUUAAAUAGGGCACCAUCUAAAUCCGUUGACUUGAAACCGUAUGAACUAUGGUUUGGCAAGAAACCUAAGCUGUCGUUUCUUGGGGUUGCGACACUUAUGUCAAAGGGCUUCAGCCUGAUAAGCUCGAACCCAAAUCGGAGAAGUGUGUCUUCAUAAGAUACCCUAAGGAAACAAUUGGGUACACCUUCUACCACAGAUCCAAAGGCAAGAUCUUUGUUGUUAAGAAUGGAUCCUUUCUAGAGAAGGAGUUUCUCUCGAAAGAAGUGAGUAGGAGGAAAGUGGAACUUGAUGAGGUAAUUGUAUCUUCUCUCGAAUUGGAAAGUAGUACAUCACAGAAAACCAUUCCCAUGAUGCCUACACCAACUAGAGAGGAAGCUAAUGAUAAUGAUCAUGAAACUUCAGAUCAAGUUACUACUAAACUUCGUAGGUCGACCAGAGCACGAUCUGCACCAGAGUGGUACAGUAAUCAUGUCCUGGAAGUCAUGUUAUUAGACCAUGGCGAACCUACAAACUAUGAAGAAGCUAUGAUGAGACCAAAUUCUGACAGAUGGCUUGAGGCCAUGAAAUCUGAGAUAGGAUCCAUGUAUAAGAACAAAGUGUGGACUUUGGUGGACUUCCCGAUGAUCGGCAGACCAUAUAGAAUAAAUGGAUCUUCAAGAAGAAGACUGACACUGAUGGUAAUGUUACUAUCUAUGAUGUGACGGACAAGACCCACCAGUUAGCUUAGCAUAAUGAUCGUUCAGUUUAUUGCUAUUGCUUUCUUCAUGUCAAAUAUUAAUUCCUUUGACUAUGAGAUUAUGCAACUCCCGGAUACCAAAGGAAUACCUUGUGUGCUAUCAAACGUCACAACAUAACUGGGUGAUCAUAAAUAUGAUCUACAGGUAUCUCCGAGGGUGUUUGUUGAGUUGGCAUAGAUUGAGAUUAGGAUUUGUCACUCCGAGUAUCAGAGAUGUAUCUCUGGGCCCUCUCGGUAAUACACAUCAUAAGCUUGCAAGCAAAUAACUAAGGAGUUAGUCACGGGGUGAUGUAUUAUGGAACGAGUAAAGAGACUUUCCGGUAACGAGAUUGAAUUAGGUAUGAAGAUACCGACGAUCGAAUCUCGGGCAAGUAACAUACCGAUGGAUAAAGGGAAUUACGUAUGUUGUCAAUAACGGUUUGACCGAUAAAGAUCUUCUUAGAAUAUGUAGGAGCCAAUAUGGGCAUCCAGGUUCCGCUAUAGGUUAUUGACCGGAGAGGUGUCCCGGUCAUGUCUACAUAAUUCUCGAACCCGUAGGGUCCGCAUGCUUAACAUUCGUUGAUGAUACAGUAUUAUAUGAGUUAUGUGAUUUGGUGACCGAAUGUUGUUCGGAGUCCCGGAUGAGAUCACAGACAUGAUGAGGAGUCUUGAAAUGGUCGAGAGGUAAAUAAUGAUAUAUAGGACGAUAGUAUUCGGACACCUGAAGUGUUUUAGAUGGUACCGGGUACUUAUCCGGUCACCAGAAAGGAGUUUCGGACACCCCUAGCAAAGAUAUGAGCCUUAUGGGCCAAGAGAGGAAAAGCACCGGCCACAAGGGGCUGGUGCACCCCUCAUAGCAGGCCAACCUAAGGAGGAGAAGAAAAGGGAGAGGGAAAGGUAAGUGUGGAUUAGGAUUCCCACUUCCUUCCCUCUCCCCCCUCUUCCCUUCCCCCUUGGGAAUACAUGGCGACGNNNNNNNNNNNNNNNNNNNNNNNNNNNNNNNNNNNNNNNNNNNNNNNNNNNNNNNNNNNNNNNNNNNNNNNNNNNNNNNNNNNNNNNNNNNNNNNNNNNNNNNNNNNNNNNNNNNNNNNNNNNNNNNNNNNNNNNNNNNNNNNNNNNNNNNNNNNNNNNNNNNNNNNNNNNNNNNNNNNNNNNNNNNNNNNNNNNNNNNNNNNNNNNNNNNNNNNNNNNNNNNNNNNNNNNNNNNNNNNNNNNNNNNNNNNNNNNNNNNNNNNGCUAGGCUGCCUCCCCUCCCCCUCCCACCUAUAUGUAUGUGGGAGGGGCGCCUAGCACAACCCAGAUCAAUUGUUAGCUGUGUGUGGCUCCCCCUCCACCGUUUACAUCCCCGGUCAUAUUUUCGUAGUGCUUAGGCGAAGCCUUGUGGAGAUCACAUCAUCAUCACCGUCAUCACGCCAUCGUGCUGCCAAAAUUCAUCUACUACCUCGCGAUCUUGCUGGAUCAAGAAGGUUGAGGACGUCACCGAGCUGAACGUGUGCAGAACAUGGAGGUGUCGUGCAUUCGGUACUAGAUCGGUUGGCGUGCGAAGAAAGUUUGACUACAUCAACCGCGUUGUAAAAUGCUUCCGCUUACGGUCUACGAGGGUACAUAGACACACUCUCCCCCUCUCGUUUCUAUGCAUCUCCUUGAUAGAUCUUGCAUGUGCAUAGAUUUUUUUUAUUUUCCAUGCAACGUUUCCCAAUAGGAUGCACUGGUGAAGUUUACACCAACUCUCGAGAUGAUAAAGGGCAAUGCACGGUACCGAAGAGGCUAGCAAAUUGCAGAAAGGUAAGAGCGCGUAUAAUCCAUGGACUCACAUUAGUCAUAAAGAACUUACAUACUUAUUGUGAAAGUUUAUUAGUCCUCAAACAAAAGUACUACUCACAUGCCCCUUGGGGGAUAGAUUAGUAGGAAAAUAUCAUCGCUCGUCCCCGACCGCCACUCAUAAGGAGACACUGAAUAAUAAAUCAUGCUCCAACUUCAUCGCAUAACUAGAGACUAUAUGUGCAUGCUUCGGGAAUCACAAACCUUAACAUUAAUAUUCUUACUAAACCACAAUCAUUCACUAGUACAUCCACAUAUCACCAACUUAGUAACGCAAAUCUAUUGCAAGGAAUCAAACAUAUUAUAUUCAGUGAUCUACAUGAAAGUUUUUAUUAUAUACUUCUUGAGUACCUAUCCAUUAUGGACUAGUCUUAUAACCGAUGCAAAUUGCAGUAAUAUUUAUUAGCCUCUCAAAAAAUAUUUAAGUGAAGCGUGAGAGUGCAACUAUUUCUUUAAAAUAUAACCACUGCCUUACUCUAAAAGAUAUAGGUGAAGCACUAGAGCAACUGCCUAGCUCCAAAUAUAUAAGUGAAGAACAUAAAGUAUUCUAACAAAUCAUGAAUAAAUGGGUGUCCCUCUCAAAAGGUGUGUCCAAUAAACAAUGAUUGUGGUAAACUAAAAAGCAAAUAAAGCGAAAACUACUAUGGCACAAGACGCUCCAAGUAAAACUCAUAUCAUGUGAUAAAUAAAAAUAUAGCUCCAAGUAAUAUACCGACAGUUUGUAGACGAAAGAGGGGAUGCCAUCUAGGGCAUCCCCAAUCUUAGACACUUGGAUCUUCCAUGAAUAUUACCUUGGGAUUACUCAAGCUUAGGGUCUUGCCCCUCCUUAUUCCUUCAUCCAUUGUAAUCUCACCUAAAACUUGAAAACUUCAGCAUCCAAAACUCAGCAGAAACUUCAUGAGAUCUGUUAGUAUAACAAGCAAAUCAUAAACUUUAUGUACUGUUAUGAACCCAUUCAUAUUUUAUUAUUUCAUAAUACUUAAUUUAUUCUAACUUCUCCAUGACUUAAACCCCCGAUGUAAUACAUAGCAUCACUAAAACAAGCAAACUAUGCAACAAAAACAGAAUAUGUCUAAAAUAGAACAAUCUGCAAUGAUCUGAACAAAUGUCAUAUUUCUAUAACUCUAAUGAUUCUGAAAAUUUAGUACAACAUGGAAUUUUUUUAUAUAAAUCAUGUGUAAAAAGUUUAGAUUGAAAGCACGUUGCAGUGAUUUUAAAGAAUUCUGGACUGAGCACAAAAGUUUCUGUUUUUCACACAAUCAACUAUCAAACAAAUCAUCCCAAAGGCUUUACUUGGCACACACGCUAAUUAAAACAUGAAAACACAAUCAUAACAGUAGCAUAAUUAUUUAAGCACACCACAAAUAGAAAGUAAAAAGGAAAAUUAAAGAUAACUAUUGGGCCUCCUAACAAACGCUAUUGUUUUACACCCCUAGUUAGGCGUAAGACAUUGUUUCAAAUGUUGUCAUCUUUCAAGUCCAAUUCCUCAAUUAUAGAACCAUGCUUCCUAGGAGGCUCAGCAUUCAUGUUAGUAAUCGCACUCCUAGGGACAAAGUUAGGAAUUCAUUUUCAUAGACAGGUUCCUUUAUCAAAUCAAUGAAAUUGGGUGCAAAGUAAUCAUUUUAAUAUCUUCGUUCCCAUUACUAGAUGUUCCCCCCAUAUUCUUAGGCACGUACAUGAACUUGCAAUUCUUAUUAGGAGGAGUCCUUUCAAUAAUUUGAACGGGAGAAAAAUCAGAACCCAAGUUAUUAAUUACUUCUUCCAACUUAUCAAUUCUACAAGGACUUCGUUCUAUUCUCAUUAAUUAUUGGUUCCUUAUCCUUUAACAUUUUUAAGUGGUUCCUACUUUUGAGCCCAAUUGAGCAACAUGGUUAUGAAACUUUUUGUCUAAAUUCUCAAUAUGUUCAUUGGUAGGCAUUUUAUUCUCAAUAGCUUCUAGCCUUUUCAUUAAAUGUUCCAAAGUUAAAGUUGUUUCAUUAAUAAUAAUAGGUGGUGAUCCCACUAAAUUUAUCAUAGCAUUGAAAGUAUCCAUAGGGUGACUAAUCAAGAAAUUCCCUAUGGUAAUAGUGUCUAGCAAAAAUCUAUAUCAAGUAGUAGCACCCACAUAAAAUUGCGAAGAAGAACGGUGGUGGAUUGCUUACGAGUUGAUCUAUUUUGAGCACCGCAAAUCCUAUACCAAUCAUAUUUUAAAAUUUCUCCUCCCCUUUGUUUAAAAUUAAGCACUUCAUUUUUAGGGGUACAAGAGCUUGAGAAGAACUAGCCAUAGUGGCAAAGCAAGCAAACGAGCAAACAAAUAUUUUUGUGAUUUUAUAUUUAUUUUAUGAGAAGUGGGGAGAUGAAAAUGAGAGGCAAAGGCAAAUAUAAAUUAGCGCAAGUAGAUGAUAGUUUAUGCGAAGGUACUUGAUAGGUUUUUAUGAUGUUCCCCGGCAAUGACGCUAGAAUUCUCCCUGUCCCCGAAGAGGAGAUGAGAUGUUGUACAAUAGAGAUAAGUAUUUCCCUCAGUGAGAACCAAGGUUUAUCGAAUCAAUAGGAGAAUCAUGCAAAGCCUCGUGAACAGCACCUGCACACACAAAAGCAAAUACUUGCACCCAACACGGGCAAGAGGGUUGUCAAUCCCCUUGAACUCGUUAUUGCAAAGAUCAAAUCUCAUAGUCGUAAAUAGAUAAAUUACAAAACAAAAUAAAAGUAAUAAAAUUGCAGCAAAGGUAUUUUUUAUAUGAUUAAAGUAGACCCAGGGGCCAUAGUUUUUACUAGAGGCUUCUCUAUCGAACACGUGGCAUAUGGUGGGUGAACAAAUUACCGGCAAUUGAUAGAAGAGUACGUAGUUAUAAAGAUAUUCAAGACAAUGAUCAUGUAUAUAGGCAUCACAGCCGAGACAAGUAGACUGACUCCGGCCUACAUCUACUACUAUUACUCCACCAAUCGACCGCUAUCCAGCAUGCAUCUAUGGUAUUAUGUUCAGAAAAACAUAGCAAUGUCUUAAGCAAGUUGACAUGAUGUAGACAAAGUAAACUCAAUAAUGUGAAUAAACCCCAUUGUUUUGCCCUUAAUGGCAACAAUACAAAUACAUGUCUUGUCCCUUUCUGUCACUGGGAUAUAGAGCACCACAAGAUUGAAGCACUCACAAAGCACCUCUCCCACUGAAGAUAAAGAAAUCUAGUUGGCCAAACUAAACGGAUAGAUCGGAGAGAAAUACAAAGGUAUAAAAAUCAUGCAUAAUAAAUUUUAGAAAAGACUCAGUUACUUCUGAUGAAUAUUCAGAUCAUAAAACAUAAUUCAUCGGAUCCCAAAAAACACACCGCAAAAGAAGAUUACAUUGGAUAGACCUCCAAGAACACCGAUGAGAACAUGGUAUUGAAGAUCAAAGAGAGAGAAGAAGCCAUCUAAUAGCUAGCUAUGCACCCGUAGGUAUGUGGUGAACUACUCACGCAACAUCGGAAGUCAAUAAGGAUGAUAUAGAAGCCCUCCAUGAUCGAUUCUCCCUCUGACAUAGUACCGGAAAAGGUCUCCAGAUGGGACCGCGGAAGAACAUAAGCUUGCGGCGGCGUAAAAAGUGUUUGGGGUGGCCCUCUAUUUUCCCCAAUAUUUGAGAAUUUAUAGAAGUGGAAUUAUGUCAGACGGAGCCUCGAGGGGCCCACAAGACAAUAGGGUGCGGCCCCCUAGGCGCGCACUUUUGCCUUGCCAUCUCCUCGUUCAUCAUCUGGUUUCCUCCCGAAACUUCUAGGAUCUCUCUUGUCCAGAAAUAAAUGUCAAAAAGUUUCAUAGAGUUUGGACUCCGUUUGGUACUGAUUUUCUUAAAAACCCAAAACAAGCAGAAAACAAAAGCUGGCACUUGGCACUGGGUUAAUAGGUUAGUUCUCAAAAAUGAUAUAAAAUAGUAUAAAAAUGCAUAUAAAGCAUCCAAGAUUGAUAAUAUAAUAGCAUGGAACAAUAAAAUAUUAUAGAUACGUUGAAGACGUAUUAGUAAACUACUCACACAUCUUCGAAGGUGCGGAAAGGUUGAUAUAGAAGCCCUCUGUGAUCGAUUUUCCCUCCGACAGAGUACCGAAAAAGGCCUACAAAUGGGAUCGUGGAAGAACAGAGACUUGCGGCGGUGGAAAAAUUAUUGAGGGUGGCUCUUUGUUGGUUUUGGGACUCAUCGGAAUUUAUGGAAGUGGAAUUAGAUCAAACGGAUCUGCGUGAGACGCACAAGCUCACGUAGUCACGUGUCACCCCCCUAGGGGUGUGCCAUGUGAGCUUGUGACUCUCCCGUAAAUCUUCUGGCCUCCCCCAAAACUUUUAGGGUCUCUUCUGGUCCGGAAAAAAAUCACCAUAAAGUUUCAUUGUGUUUGAACUUCGUUUGGUAUUGAUUUUUUGAAAAUCAAAAAACAUGCAAAAAACAGCAACUGACACUAGGCGUUGAGUUAAUAGGUUAGUUCCCAAAAAUGAUAUAAAAUUUCAUAUAAAGUAUAUAAGAUUGAUAAUAUAAUAGCGUGAAACAAUCAAAAAUUGUAGAUAUGUUGGAGAUGUAUUAAUGGUGGAGCUCCGAGGUCGUGGUGGUGGCGCCUAAUGGAGGUGUGUCGGCACUCUGCAUCAAGGUCUAGCGUGGUGUGGCAGCUCUAGCCAGCGACCCGCGAGGCAUCUCAUCCUACUGCGGCUAUGAGGAUGCAAGAUUUGACCGCGGGGUUGCAAAUGCAUGGAUGUGUUGACCAGAGGAUUUCGAGGGUUGGGUGAAAACCCGUUUAUGGCCAUGGCUGGAGCCUAUGACGGCAACUUCGGUGGACGUCGUAACCUUCUUGAAGGCGUCGACUGGAUGCUCUCUCUUCCUAUGCGAGGGACAACUCCGGGGGAGACUCCAAACCCGACGGUUGGUUGUUGGCGGCGUGUUAAUGACGUUCCCCUCUCGAGGGCAUCAAUUUUGAAGGUUAAUCCGGUUAGAGGGGCCAGUGGGUGUGUUGGGAGGUUGGGCGAUGGAAGGCGUUGUUGUGGCGUCGAGACUUCUGUGGCCAGAUGAUUGGGCAAGUGAAAUCAAAGGCAUUGCGGUGGUUUCGGUAGUCGGCUCUUCUCCGACGUAUCCGUGUGAUUAACUUGAUUUGUUUAUUGCGGUGAAGUCGGAGCUGCGGCGGCAGGCCCCCUGUGGCAACGAGGACAGGCAUCAGGUGGUCUGUUCGGUGGUCUUCCAUGGUGCCAACCUGACAUAGUUCUUCUUUGGAUCUCUCCUUCAGAGUCGGAGCUGCGCUACCCUCGAUGCGGGUGGCUGAGUUCUGGCACAGAUCUUCAUGUGUUUCUACAUGGCCUCUGCGGUGAGGGUUGGGUCUGUGUUCGUCCACAGCAAAGUCAAAGUCGCUUGCUCAGCAAUUAGGGAUGGCAAUGACGCCUUCUAGGGGAUAAGUGAUGAUGAUGACGCAUGUGUGCUAGCUCGGCGAGACACACUCUGUAAAGGUGUGCGGGGAUGUCUGUGUGUGUGUCGAACAGCAGUUUAUGAUGAUUUUCGCUGGUCCUUCGCUAAUUAAUAGGCAAUUCUUUUUUCUUAAUUAAUGGGGAGGCAAAUUUUUUGCCUUUGUUUUUUUCUUUAAAAAAGUUCAAAAUGGACCGCCCGGUUAAAAGAAUGAAAAAUAAUAAUCAGGAGAGUCGAACAACUUGCAUAUAUAUAUCCGGUUGAUUACGUGCCCCUAUGAGAUACAUUGAGAAGAGAACAAGAGAGAUGACGACAUGAUUGGCAUCAUCAGCUGCUAGUGCAUCCCAUUUUAUUAUACGGUUGAUCGUUGUCUGGGCAUAUAUACACCGUAUUUUCACACGCGCAUCGCUGGAUUCAUGGAUGGACAUAAGGAGAGCUAGCAAGACGUGCCGUUGCAACCGCGUCAACAUAGCAAAUCUGAUAUGUAUAUCCUCCUCGUCUCAUGUUCAAGGGUUUUCUAACGCGCAUGUGCGUGUUAACCUACUGUUUGCUAUCACCGUCGGCACAAUUGCAACGGGAGACGCGGACGCGUACAGGUAAACAAGGUUUAACACACUUCGAAAAUUCAGUGCAGGCUGUUGCUAGUAGUCAAUCUAGAAACCUGGCAAUUAGCAGUUUGAAGAGUCUGAUAAGCUGAUGCGGUGCUGUGCUACUCCGGCGAUUUUCGCCUACUCAAAUCUAGAAACACUCCUCCAUCCAAAAAUGCUCUAGCCAUGUAAUCUAGUACUGCCUCCAUCCCAAAAUGUUAGAUUGUUUUUUACACUAAUGAUCUUAUAUUUUGAUGCGGAGGAAAUAUAGAAUAUGAGAGGACGCGGCAAUCUAUUUCUAUGAUUUUUUAUUCAUGUGUUUUAAAGAAUCCUACGAAUUAAAGAGGUCCUAAAAAUUCUAACAACAUCCACAACACCGCCGGCCCAUGGUGGCUCUAGGACCAUGGGGCGUGUUGGAUCCCGGUCCUCGCAGGUGGGAGGACUUCUUUAGACAUUUCUUCGAGUUUUGUUAGGGCUCGUGUCCUGCUCAGGAAGACGGGACGACGGCGGCUCUUUGAAGAUGGAAUAAGGUUCUCUCCGCCUAGCACUCGUCCCAGUGGUGCGCCCAGUAUCGUCGGUAGGCGUGUGGAGAUGUGUCUCCAGCGGAUCUGUCCAUGGUGGAUUUGCUUGGAUCUUCAGGUUAAAUCCUUCUAAUCAACGCUACUAUUCAACGGCGGCGGUUGUUGUUCUGGUCCUAUGAGGCCUUAGGACAAAGACUUCCCGACUGUCUACUACAACAAAUUUUGUCCGGUUCCGGCGUGGGAGGGGUGAUGAUGGCGGCGUAUCUUUGGCUUGCUUCAGUGCUUGUAGUCAUCGUUAGAAGGUCUACGAACUGGAUGUAAUUUUUAUUAUUUCUAACGUUCGUCGUAGUGCCAUGAUUGGAGAUAAAUAAAUCAAGAGUUUUCCUGCAAAAAAAUUACAUUCAUCAUGAAACAUUUUUGUACCACAUAUAUUAUAUUCCUUCCGUUCCUAAAUAUAAAUCUUGUUAAAGAUUCCAAUAUAAACUACAUACGAAGCAAAAUAAGUGAAUUUACAAUCUGAAAUAUGUUUAUAUACAUCCAUAUGUAGUUCACAUUAAAAUCUCUAAAAUAACUUAUAUUUAGAAACGGAAAAAGUAUAUUGUAGGUAUUCAGAUAUAGUUUUCAAAUAUACAUGAGUUUUCUAGAGCCUGAAUACAGGGAGAAGUUUUCCCAUGCUAGUCCGCAACGAUCACAUCGUAUGUUCCUCAAGCUGGGUGGCGAAGCACCCUAGCUACCUUUCUAUGAGGCCAAUUCCAACGCACGAUCCCAAAUGGUCCGGCUGCGUCCAUUUGGGCGCAAACGGACAGAACAGAUGGCCCAACGCGCGGGAGCAAACGGACCAAUGUCCAUUUUCGGCCUCUUUCGACCCAUUUCCGGCUUAACUUUGGACCGCGUUUGCAGCCGAACGGAGACGCGCGUACGGUGCGUGGAGCAUGUCCAUGUCCUCCCUUGACCCGCUCGUCCCGGACACUACAAAAAAAGAUGCAUCCAUGACAUUUUGGGCUGAACGGAUUUUUUUCCUGUCGUGCUUAUGACACUUCCAUGACGAUAAUUGUGCCAAAACCCGUUAUCAUCGUAGGUGUGGUGGGCUCCUACUUCUAUGACAAAAAAUCAUACAGAGAAUGGGCUUUUCGUCCUGGGCGGGUUCGGAAACGCAGCUACAUGACAUUCUUUGGGCCGUCCAUGACGGAAAACACCGUGGUAGAAGCGAGGGCGAGGAAAAUAUCAGGGAGUUCCCGGUUACAGUGGGUGGUCGGGGGCCAAGCGAUGCGCGUUUCUCUCGUACACGUAAGCGCGUAGGUGCGAGGCGUUAGGCUCUAACUGAACCCGAGCGAGGCGCUCGCCUACUAAACCCGAGCGAUUGCACUGUAGGCUAUGCGUAACUGAACCCGAGCGAUCAAUCGAUUUUGCUGUUAACUGAAGCCGAUCGAGCGAUUCCUUCGCUACUGCUGCUAACUGAAGCCGAUCGAACAUGCUGCCUCUUGAUGAACAGUGAGCGUUGUUGGGGGGUUGGAUGAACAGUUCCCGGUGGGGGGUUGGAUGAACAGGACCCCGUGGUAGUAGAGGCUGUUGCCGCUGGAUGAACAGGACCCCGAUCGAGCCGGUUGGGGGUGGAUGAAUAGGACCCGUGGAGGGCUGGAUGAACAGUAGCCCGUGGAGGGGUGGUUGAACAGGACCCCGUGGAGAGGGUUAGUUGAACAGUAGGCGGUGGAGGAGCGGUGGAGGCUGGAUGAACAGAAGCCCAUGGAUGAAUAGUCGCAGGUGGAGGCUGGAGGAGGUCGACGAUGGAUGAACAGUAGCCCGUGGAGACUGGAGGAGGUCAACGGUGGAGAUGAACAGUAGCCCAUGGAGUCCUGUUUUGCGGUACGCUACACCCCUCCUGAUGAACAGGACUCCCGUUUCGACCGUAGCGCUCUAACACAUGUCUGUUUCCUCCAUUUUGCGGUACGCCACACCCCUCCCGAUCAACAGGACCCCGUUUCAACCGCAGGCACUCAAACACAAGUCCAUUUCCUCUAUUUCGCGGUACGCCAGAUGUCGGCAUUUUGGGAACGGGGGUCCCCACACUUGCCUGCCUACGGCCUGCUGCGUGGCUCAACCAGUGGCCCAGUACGGCCCGUCUUCAUCGACCAACCACUCAAGACCCUUGCGAGGGGCCAAGCCUCGCGGGGCAGACGACGCAAGGCCUCCUCAGGAGUGGCCUCAUCAGGCAGGCUCACGAGGAGGUGGAGAGAUCAAGGCAAGGGGUACCUCGCGAGGUUCCCCUGACGCAAGCCAUGACGAUCAAGACCAGGCGGGCGCCAGCCCACGCAGUGUCCUCGUUUCCCCUUUGGUGCUAAGGGGGCAAGCACAGGCGCGGAGUACCGAGGCACCAGGCAAAGGUUUCCAUAUCGAUGCAACAAGACCAAGACCAGCAGGACGGCAGGACGGAGGUCACCGUGGAGCCCAAGACAGCGUCAUCACCAGCGCCUUUGGCAGGCGAAGACCACCUUUAGUCUGGAUAGCUUGUACUAGUUGUCCCCUUUCAAAAUGGCCUUUGUUGGAUCCCUUCCUGCUCAAUAUUUGGGAAGAGGACCAGGGCCUCUAUAAAUAGGGCUAGCCACCACAGUAGAGGGACAUCUAAUCCAAGGGCGACGGAUCGAAUCCUUCCAAAGCAGAGCACCACACCAGCUCAAGAACACCUCUCCUCACGAGGCCGUUCUUCCCUUGUACUGUUCAUCAUCAGCACAAGAGGCAAUCCACCAUCACACACAGGAGUAGGGUAUUACACCAAAACGGUGGCCCGAACCUGUAUAAAUCUUGUGUCUCUUGUGUUGUGAGUUCAUCGUGUUAGCUUAGAGAUCGCGGCGAGGCUGAGGGCGUGUUUCGGUAGGGAGAAAUCUUCAUGCGCACCCCUGUGUUCGAACCUUAAGGACGGGACUGAGCUCACUCAAGGGCCGGGACCUAAGGACGUAGAGCAUGAAGGAGAGUGUGGGGAAAAAAGGAAAAGCUCGCGAGGGCCUAACCUAGCUGCGCCACAGCUGCCGAUGCGCAAAUCAGGCGCAACGCAAAGGAACGACUCCAGACUACGGAGAUAAGUCUUGCGCUUGGAACAACUAAUCGUUGCAACGCAAAAUUUUCACUUGUUGUGGCUCUGUAAUGGCAACGUUGCCUUCCUUUAUCACCUCUAGGCGGCUGCUUGCACGCUAAAGGGGACCUCCUGAGCAUUGCGCCUCAGGGGCUCUUACUGGACCUCGGGCCGCUCACCUCCUGGCCUUGACCACGGCAUCACGACCUGGCAUACCAGCGACGGCUGCAGCCUGCCUGGGGACCGGGACCUGUCAGCAUAGAGCACCAAGUCGUCGCGAGGUUAGAAAGGGGGAACCAAGCCGGGACAGAACGAGCGCUCACAUGAUUUCAUAAUAAGGAUAACAUCAACAGAGGACAUCGCAGACCCUUUACACGCCCCCGCGGUGUGUUUUCUCGAUUCCUCGCAGGGAACAAAGGACGAGAAUCCUAAGGAGCCCUAACUACCCGCGCCUCCAUGGCCGACGCCAUCAUCAACAGUGGGCCACAAGAGACCGGCGCCAACCCCAUCCACAUCAGCCGCAACGAUGUCCUAAUGCUGCCGCCCUGCCCCGAGCAUAGCGCGAGCUCGGGGGCACGUAGCUAUCGUCGCUCGUAUUCAGAGUCUCGAAGAGCACAGAAGAGUCGCUGCCGCUGCCGAAGGAGCCUUUGGGGGAGCGAACGGCAGGCCCAGCUCCUGCCGCGACGAUCUCCCAACUGCCCCCUCCGGGGCAGCAUUCCAGGCGGUGGCCUUCCGCGUUAAAGACAUUGAAGAACAACAUGGAGGCGCCGUCGUACUCGAAAUGGAUCACGAGGGCGCCUCCUGUUCAGCAGGCCCGGGAGACCUCGCCCCAGCCUCGGGUCAUGAAUACCUUCCCGGGGCAACGACUUCAACCUCCGCUCCGGUCGCUAGAGCGCUGCAGCUGGUGUGCUGCAGCCAAAGCUUGAGAGGCCCCCUCAGCGGCAUCUCGGUGGCGAAGAACGAAGGGAAGCGGAUCCAGGUGCUUGGAGGCAUCACCGCAUGCAGCACGAGCUCGCGAGAGGAGUCCGCAGCGUGGACUCCAGGAGCGACGGCGCGCGCCGCCACGGCUCGUCGACCUCGCCUGCGGCGUGGGCGGCGUCGCUCGCCAUCCGUUUCUCCGGAGCCCUCGGCUUGGGCGUACAGGGGUAGCGGGAACCCAGGAGGUGGUCGCUCGCACCAAGGCCUCGUCAUCUCCAGCCUCGCAAUCUCGUCGCGGUGGCGGUGGGCCGGCCUCUUAUUCGGCGGGAGCAGAUCAGGUCCCUCCCGGGGAGCCUUCCCCUUCUCUUCGGCCAAGAAUCUACGGAUCGGUGCCAUUGGCAUGAAGAAUGGCGAUGGAGCAAGGGAGAAGAAGCAGGCGGAGCAAGAAGAGAUGGGCAACGGGGGCUCUCACCCCUCCUCAUUUAUAUUCCUAGGCAGGCCAACCGUCUACCUCCACGAUCGCAGGUAAUGAUGACUCUUUUUGCAUGCAGCAGGAACUCGUCAAAUCGGGCAGUUGCCGAGGCAGCAUGGGAAAGCGGAGACGCCCACGCCCAAUCAGUCGCCAUGCGUCAACCAAGGCCGCAGGCUGUUGGGGCCCGCGGUGCUCCGCACUUGCCCUUUGGCUUCGCUGCUAAGCCAAGUCCGAGCAUGCCUUGGGCCCGGGGGCUACUGUCGGCGUUCUGGGAACGGGGGUCCCCAAACUUGCCUGCCUAUGGCCUGCUGCGUGGCUCAACUAGUGGCCCAGUACGACCCGUUUUCAUCGACCAAACACUCAAGACCCUCGCGAGGGGCCAAGCCUCACAGGGCGGACGACGCAAGGCCUCCUUAGCAGUGGCCUCACCAGGCAGGCUCACGAGGAGGUGGAGAGAUCAAGGCAAGGGGUACCUCACGAGGUUCCCGAGAUGCAAGCCAUGACGAUCAAGACCAGGCGGGCGCCAGCCCGCGCAGUGUCGUCGUUUCCCCUUUGGUGCUAAGGGGGCAAGCGCAAGAGCGGAGUACCGAGGCAUCAGGCAAAGGUUUCCAUAUCAGUGCAACAAAACCAAGACUAGCAGGACGGAGGACAGCGUGGAGCCCAAGACAUCAUCAUCACCAGCUCCUUUGGCAGGCGAAGACCACCUUUAGUCAGGAUAGCUUGUACUAGCUGUCCCCUUUCAAAAUGGCCGUUGUCGGCUCCCUUCCCGCUCAAUAUUUGGGAAGAGGACCAGGGCCUCUAUAAAUAGGGCUAGCCAUCACAGUAGAGGGACAUCUGAUCCAAGGGCGAUGGAUCGAAUCCUUCCAAAGUAGAACACCACACCAGCUCAAGAACACCUCUCCUCGCGAGGCCGUUCUUCCCUUGUACUGUUCAUCAUCAUCCCAAGAGGCAAUCCACCACCACACACAGGAGUAGGGUAUUACACCACAACGGUGGCCCGAACCUGUAUAAAUCUUGUGUCUCUUGUGGUGUGAGUUCAUCGUGUUAGCUUAGAGAUCGCAGCGAGGCUGAGGGCGUGUUUCGGUAGGGAGAAAUCUUCGUGCGCACCCUAGUGUUCGAACCUUAAGGGUUUUGCCGGAACCCGAUAUCCGACACCAGACCCCUCCCGAUGAAUAGGAUCCUGUUUCGACCAUAGGCGGUCGAACACAAGGUCGUUUCCUCCGUUCUGCGGUACGCUAGGCCUUGUUUCGAUUGGCUGUUCCAUCCAAGCCGGUUGCCUCCCGAUUAACACGACGACGCAGUUUCUCCAUUGCGACCCAGCCGGUUGGCUACCGAUGAAUAGGACACCAUCGCUGCCUCUCCAUGUACACGAGCCCUGGCCGUACAUAUGCGCGAGUAGGCGUUCGAGACCCCGCCCGUAUGUACGCAUGUGGCUGUAUUUACUUUCUUGCACCUUGGCUGUACGUACAUGCACAUGCUACGUGCGCGCUUCUACUACGACACGUGCCCUUCCUUACUCGGCCACGGUUCAUUGCUGCACCCUUCAGGCAGACCGAUCGACCAGUAUGUACAUACAUGUUCGCGACCAGAAUGGCAACGCUACGUAUGCUUCGACCAGGUGGGUCCCGACUGUCAGGCACUUCCUUGCAUGCGAAGAUGUAGCUUGUGGGUCCUAGCAGUCAGGGGGGAAACGUUUUUUAAGUGAAAUACGGUGGCCCGUCUGGUGGGUCCCUGCUAUCAGGUGGAGGAAUCAUUAGUUUGCGCGUAAUAAGGAGGCACUUGCUUGCUGUGGCCGUGGACCCAGCUGUCAGCCUUUCCAUGUACAGUACUCUUCCAAUGGAAGUCGUUGCUUGACCACAUUGACCACGCCGCACCGAGAGCACCAAGGCGGUGGACGACGGCGAGGCCUAGGAAGGGGACGACGCGGAGCGGGGAAGAUGCGGCAGUGGAUGCCCACGUGGAGAGGAGAACGAGGGUUCACUGGUUCGGCUGCGGUGUGAGUAGAUGGAUAGCCUGGCUAGCGGUGGGAGUAGUGGGGGGCGGUGAGGACUCCACGGCAGCACAGCCGACCAUGGGAGGCAGGAGUAGGCGGCACGACCGGCGCUGGUUUGGGCGGCUGGAGCAAGAAGACCAGAGGUUGAAGAAGAACUACGGCUGUUGGAUGAACAUUGUACGGUCAGUAGAGGUAGAAUCAUUCAUAUUAACUAAGUUGACAAAGCCCUCCGCCCGCGUCAACUUAGUAGGCCCACAAGUCAGCCUCCGAACUGGUGCGCCCCAGAUGUCAGUGGGAGGAAUCAUUUUUUUCCCGUAAUAAGGAGGCAGUUGAUUGCGUGCGGCCAUGCCAGUGGAGGGAGUAGGGUGGGCCGGUGAAGCCUGUGCGGCAUCACAGCGGGCCACAAGAGGAGGGAGCAGGCAGUCCCGUCGGCGCUGGUUUAGGUGGCUGGAGCAGGAAGAUCGAAGAUUGAAGAAGCACGUCGGCCGUUGGAUGAACAUCCAACAGUCAGUGCUGCUAGAAUCGUGUGUUGACCGACAAAGCCUUGCGUAACAAAGCCAGCCUCGAAAACUAUGGCGUGUACAACCCAUUUGUUAUUAUUUUUAUAAUUUUUACUCAUUUUCUAAUUCAAAUGGAAUUUAUUGCAGCCCAUUUUCCAUUUUUAGAAUUGCCGCCCAUUUUUUGGUCAGUGCCAGGGUUAAAAAAUUGAACUAAAAAAUGUGCGAAAUUUUAAAAUUUUGCAUAUUUUUGCUGGGAACAAAAUAUUCUUAAUCCAAAAAUUAGUAGCCAUACUAAAACAAAUUUAAAAAUAAAUUAGUACUAUAUCAUGUUAAAAUCCAAUGAAAUAUAAAAUAUCCGUGAAGAACAAAAACAAAAAAGAAACUAAUUGCCCAUUUGCUAUAAUUUUUUUGGAAUUUGCAACCCCUUUGAUAUUACUUUUAGGAUAUACUGACCAUACUGUUUGGCCAGGCCAGAAUGCAUCCCUCCUCGUCUUGAAAGAUUUGCAGCCCAGUAAGUCGGAGAAAACAAAUAGGCCUAGCUUGGGUAUUCUUCAAAAAGAAAUAGUGGGCUACCUAUUUUCCCAAAGAAAAAACUGUUGGGCUAGUCAUAUUGUUAGGUGGGCCACAGAGACCGCACAACCCAGUUUAUAGCCUGCUCCUCUGAACAAAUCCUCAAAAAAAUGUUGUGCAAUUUUGUCUUGAAUUGAGUAUACGUUGACUACGAUAUGGGUCCCAAAUAUCAAUAGGGUGGAUUAGAGUAAAAAAUGAGGGGUGCAUCUUAGUAGUAAAAGAGGUGCUUGCUUGUGUUCGGGAGUGGACCGGGUGGGUCCGUACUUUCAUACUCACAACUACAGUCCUCUCCCGAUUCACUAUGUUGACAAGGCCGGACGGUGGCACCGCGGCGAGCGCACCAAGGCGGAAGAUAAAGUGUGAUCGCCAAUGUGUUGGCAUGGGUUGGACAUUCUUAUUGAUGGUUGCAGGAACUAUUUACGAUGUUAUUAUGAUUUUCAUGGGUUCGCUGGUUGCAGGAAAAAAUGGUGGGAGAAAGAAGACUGGUCGCUAUCUUUGCCUAAGAAUAAUAUCUACUGAAUGUAACGGCACUAUCAUAGAAAAUAAUGUCCUCCUGUUAAAAUUUGACUUUUCAAAUCAUGAAUUUAAAGAACUCGUGCAUGAACAUUUAGCUUUAUUUAUUUAGUUAUUUAGUUAUUCAUGUUUAGGGGACCAUGAGCAUGUACCUGGGCCGGAUUCAUGUGAGAGCCUCCCUUCUAGUUAAUUAUGGCCUCCUCUAUUGGGCCUUCAUCAAUGAGUUGCAUGUUAUCGACAAGUGGAAAAUGUGUUCCGUACCAAAAAUAGUAUGCGCUAUGUACAGUACGUGGCACUAAAGGAUCAGACUGUGCAAUGACUUCCAAAACAUUGUGUUUGUCGUUCCAAUAACAUAUUUAUUCAACCAACAGAUGAGAUAUACUACUGAUUGUACAUUGAAAACAGCAGCAACAGCAAUCAGGGCUGGGGAUGCAACAGAAGCAGUAAGCAGGCCAGAAGAGCAAAGACGCAGCUCUCUCUUCCAAACCAAACAUGAGCCAUCAUUACAAAAGGGCUACCAAAAAGGAACAAAUGUAUGCAUCAAACUAAAUAAAGAUCCUACUACACUAAGUGUACGCAUCUAACUAACUGGCUCAGUUAGACGUUACUAUUUAUUAAGCUGUGGAGAUUGGCUGACGGCUUGAACCAGAUGGGUGCCUGACGGGGGAAACUCCAGCCAGCAGAUCGAAGUUUGAUACUUGUGACCCUCUCUCCUACUUUGGGCUGCAGAGCGUGGCGGCACAUAUCAAGGUAUGGUGCAUGAAGAGACGCAUGGUACGCUGUGUACACACAGUUUUGCCUGAUGAACGAAACCGUGCUGCCAUCAUGAUCCUUGUCGUCGGUUGUCUCCUGGUUAAUUGGAUAAUUCAGUCCGAGAAAUAGAGAACGUGUACCAAGGCUACUUACUAGCCGCCAGUAAAAAAAUCCUGAAGUCCCAGAGAAGCUGGGAUCCUUCUUAAAGACCUUGUAUUGACUUUGAUUGUAUUCCGCGAAACAACACGUCCUGUACGUGCGAAUGAUCAUCAAUCAUUCGCGGUUGUCUGAUCGAGCCAGGAACCACCUGUAACUGUCAUGUCGCUUUUCUUUGAAAGGUUCUGGGAUUAGGAAGGGUCGGGACACCAGGUGGCCUACAACAUCAUAUCAAGUUGGAGUCAAAUAAAAAAGGGCUCUUACUGUAGUCGAUCUUAAAAACAACAUGUUAUGAGCAUGAAUAUUUUUUAGUAAAUGUUGACAGUAAUAUAAGAAGGCCAUCAUGAUAUCAUAGAAAAGUAACAUACUGCUGUAACAGCCGUUUGUAGCGAUGAGUAGAGUAGGCCAGCAAUAUGUCCAACCAUAGAAGGAGUCGACAUCAUAAAUGAAUCCCUUGUGUUCAAUGACAUCAGAGAACCAUGGAGGAUGUAUGAUCCGAUGGACGUGCAGAUUUAUCCAUUUACCACAGCGACCUGUCAGAUAGGUGAAACCGCGGUUGAAGAACACAAUUAGCCUGAAGUCUUUAUAAUUCACAGAUCUUGUGGGCACUUGGCAGAUUACAACCUUGAGCAAAUCAAACUUGGUAUCAUGUUGUCUACUGUAAGAUUCCGAGUAUUCUGGGCCACGGUGCCAAAGUAGUGCAGUUUUAAUCAAAGGAAGGGGGAUCAAUCGCCGGGUGUAGACCUCCACAAGCAUCCAGCUGCCGCAACCAUCGACGAGCACCAUCCAAGAUGUGUUCAUCCCGACCCGGUACAUACCGUUAAUGUAGUUGAGGGUGACAAGGAUCAGAUCGCAGUCAAGGGGGUUGAUGCUCGCCACCCUACAAUCGUUAUGCUACGUCACAUGCCGUUUCUGAAGAUCAGGCGACAUCAGCAAGCAAGGAGCUCGCUUAAAAAGCUCUGGCCUAAGGGCUUUGACUAAACGGUACAUCCCCACGAGCACGCGGCGAGCGGCAUGGUACUGAGAUUAUCCACUCGCGAAACAAUGAGCUUGAUUACCUCUGUGGGGAGCGAAUUCCAGCCACUCUUUCAGCGGAAGCUGCUCGGUUCUGCCAUUUUUAGUGCUUGGGUUUCAGAAGAGGGGGGAGGCGCCUUAGCGGGGAUGGAAGAAGAUUAGAUGAUCAUGUGCGGACAAAGAUGAAGAAGCGAAUAUGUGCUGUGGGAAGUGGAUAGGUGAUGAUGACUACAGCACGCCGCUUGACUUAUGAGACACAUACCAGCCGCGUAGGGUCAUAUCGAUGCCAGACAACUUGCUUGAGUGAUCACAGUACUAGUACUCCCUACAGUACCUACUACUAUGCCCUAGUUUGCAUAUAGAGUAGUGGAGUAGGACUCUGCUCUACUACUAGCACCGGAGGAGUAGUAUAUUCUAAUCUAAAAUAGUUACAAAUUUCAAUGCCCGAGUGUGGAACGACUAUGAACCGCCAUCGGUGCUUACUCCAAUCCCCAACAAACGUUCGCUGGGACACAUGGUAGUUGCAAAUGCCCGCGACGCAGUUAUAGUGCGUGUGUAAGGGUGGAGGUUUUUCCAAAUACUAUGGCUUAAAAAUAGGGCACCGUCAGAUGGAAAUCUAACGGUUACGUGGGAUUCGCCAGGAUUGAGGUCGUGGCGAACAAUCGCCAGAUAUCAUUACUAAAAAAAGGUUAAAACACCCAGGACUAUAACUUGCACCGGUUAUUAACAUAGUUGUAAAAUGGUCAAAGACCGUGUCUACAUGGUGUUUGGAAUUUAUAUGCAAAAAACUAGCAAGAUGCCCGUGCAUUGCACGGAACAUCAGAUGCAUUUUUUUAAAAAACAUUUGUUGUGAUUGACUCAUGCAGGAGUAAUCCCAUGUGUAAAAACUAAUGAUAUCUCGAGAAUUUUAUCGAAAAAAUGGUAACUUGAAAAUUUCAUCGCAAAAAUGAUAUCUCGAGAAAGAUGAGAGAUAAGGUGAGGAGGAGAGGGGCGUGGUGGUCGGAUUGGGCGGAGGCAUGGGCAUGGACGGCGCCGGCAGCGGCCACCAUGCCAGAUUGUUCUAGAGACUUCCUUUUUUAACCGCUCAACAAUGAGGUUGUGGGAGAUAAGGAUGAACGAGGCAAGGCCUUAUCUGUAAAUGUGGAGAGAUGUGCGGGUAUCUUUUGUAAAAUGGUCAUAGUUUUCUUUCUAUCAGUCAGAUAUAGAUCGGACGGUCUAUAUUACAAGAUGAUAUGCACACCAUCAUCACCAACUCGGCCCCUCGUGCUCCUAGUAGUAGUACUCAAGUUGGAAUUCCAAUUGCACGGCACAAUUUGUUAGGCAAAAAAACGAUACAGGGUGUAGGAAGUGGUUUGGGAAUUUGCAUGCCUUCCCGACCAUUGAGAUACUCCGUACAAAGCACUGUUCAAGAUAUCUUCCGAUAUUCCGAUAAAUCGGCCGAUUUAUCGCUUAUCGUGGUCAGACCGAUAAGAUAAAUCGACCGAUAAAUCAACCGAUAUGGCGAUAAAUCGGCCGAUAUGCCGAUAAACUGACCGAUUUACCCCUUAUCGUAGGUCGACCGAUAAGUUCCCGAUAAGCGAUAUCCCCAACAUUGGUACAAAGUAUGAUAGAGAAAUAACCACGGAGAAGGAAGCUAAAAGUAAACAAUCAAACGAGCAUUUUUGCAUUUGUUUUGCAUUGAAUUAUUUCAGAAGCUUGACUAGUGUUGUUUUUCUAAUUUUACAAAAACCGCAUCGUAAUGUUAAAAUGUGCAUUUGCACGUACAUAAGUAAUAGUAGUAGCAAAGUUUGCAAGCAUAGAGAGAGAGACGUAUAGUGCGAUAGUAUAUAGUAAAGUUUGUGCUAUAUGCAUGUACUUACAAAAUGCAUACAAAUACACAAGGUUUCCAAACUUUUCCUUUUACAUAUUUAAUUAAGGAUUCUAAUAAUUCCCGAACAUUCGGGAUUUCUCAUUUGCGUCCCAAAACUAAUGAGAUCGCCUUACGAAAUUAAAUUAUAUUCCUAAUAAAAGCCACGACGCUCGCAGAAGCGCUUGCGGCGCACCACAAGUGCCCUGGUGCGCGGUCGUUUCCAAAUGCGCCGACACAACGCCUAUUCCUCAGCCUGGCAACUCGCGAGGUGCUGAUUGGCGGCUUGCCGGCGGGCGAGCGCGAUCUCAUCGGUGUGGUGAUCCGGCGCCAACAUGUACUCCUCCUCGAUGGAAGCAUGCACCCGGUCCAUGUACCGCCAAGCGUAGAUGAGGCGCUUGGGCCCGAUUGCACUCAGGGCUUUGGCACGGGCUUCCUCCGCCACCCUCACGGCCCUCGCACGAGCCUUCUGCCAAAAAGCCAAUUGCCUGACUCUCUCGGACGCGACAUAGGCCUGCCAGGCAGCAUGCCUUGUGGCGCGCUUCUCUUCCUCGGCCUUCUUCUCCGCCUCUAUUUUGGCGCGCUGUGCCGGAGGCAAAGCCUCCCACAAGGCGACAUCCAUUUCUUUCCAAAGCUCCUCAAGGCUGGGGGGGGGGGCUCGGCGGGCGGCGCGGCAUUCUUGUAACGCCCCUGUUUCGAUGCGCCAGGUGUCUGCCAGUUAUUCGCCAUCCUUGCCAUGUCAUUUGUUUGCGUGUUGCUUUUUGUCAUGUCAUCAUGUGCAUCUCUUUUUGCAUACGUGUUCAUCUCAUGCAUCCGAGCAUUUUCCCCGUUGUCCGUUUUGCAAUCCGGCACUCCUAUGCCCUCCGGUGUUCCCUUUUGUCUCCUGUUGUGAACGGGUGUUAAACAUUCUCGGAAUGGAAAGUGAUUUUCCGAGUGGCCUUGGUAGAGCACCGGUAGACCGCCCGUCAAAUUUCAUUCCAUUUGGAGGUCGUUUGAUGCCCCAAUGUUUAACCGGGUAGCCGCAAAAGCCUCUUUUGUGUGUAGCCCAACACCCCUCCAAAGUGGCCCAUGAGCCCAUCCAUGGUAACUUUGAGUCUCUUUAGGAUAGUAUCGCAUAUUGGGCGUGACAAGUUGGUAUCAGAGCCUCGACCGACCUUCGGAGCCCCCCUUGAUUGGUCGUGUAGUUUGGUCGUUGUCAACUCUAGAAGAAAACUGUUUUCGGAGUCUAGUUAUAUCGGAGAGUAGGAAUUCUUUUUACUCCUCAGCCCCUUCGUCGCUCUGGUGAGGAAUCUUGACGUAGGUGUUUUGAACUACUCCUCUUCCCCGUCAAAUUUUUCUUUAGGAUCACGCAGUUGGUUUUCCGACCGUUGGUUCUCAGCUCUUUGCAUCCGGUGCAUUUCUCGUCAAGUUGACUCGAGCCUCUUCAUCUUUGCCAAGUUCAAUCCUCAGUUGUUUUCUUUUUCCCACCCGACCACCCCUUUUCUUCUCGAAGCCGGAGUCCCUAAUCGAGUAUCCAUCCUACUCGUGCGAAGUCUUUGCAUCCUUUCCUCAAUCAUUUCAACCGGUGUUUUUUUUCUCUUCAAGUAUUUGUCGGUUUCCCCUUCCAAGUUGCCUUUGUUUUUCCCGCCCUCCCACCCUUUUUCUUCCGGAGCCUGAGUCUCUUUCGACCAUCAAUGUCAUUCGUGUGGAGCCUCUUCAGUCUUUCAUCAAUUGUUCCAACCGGUGAAUUCUCUUUUGUUUGACAUUCUUCAUCUCUUUUUCUUUCCGGUGGAUUCAAUUCAAGUUUUUUGGGUUGAUCAUAUUCUUUUCCAUAGCUCAAGUGUUUUCCCUGCUCGUUUGCCUCUCGCCAUUCAAUCAUCCCGGAGUUCGGAAGACAUCUCAGGAGAUUCGUCAGUGUUCCAAUUAAUUCGAGGUGGUCACCUCAUUCAAAUAUUUCAAUUGUUCUGGUGCAUCAACUCCUCUUCAAUCCUUUCCAAUGGUGUUUUCUUUUAGUGGGCCGUAACCCACAGGUCUUUUCCCAGGAUCUUACCUGACUCUUCUAAUUAUUCCGGAGCUAUUCCCAAAUUCUUUUCAAAGUGUGACGUAAGAAUGAAUUUCAUCAGUCACAUGCCUUCUCCAAGAUCGCUUUCAAAAUUCUUUUCAUUGUUGGCUCAACCUUUUCGGUAUUCAUUCUCCCGGAGCAUCUUAACAAAUUUUGGUGGGGUUUCUCGUCGUCAUUUGAAGACAGAAGAAGAGUUUUUCCUCUAAAUCUUAUCCGUUCUCUCGAAGUUUCGUGGUUCUAGCUUCAUGUUAUCCUCUCAAAUUAUUCCAUUUGUCAGAUAUUCCUUUUCUUACCCAUCUGGAGUAUGUCAGAAGUUCUUUUCCCAUUUCUUUUCACCAGAGGCCAUCAUUCCAGAAGAAUUCUUUGUCCUCACAUUUCAGCUACCGUUAUCCAAUUAUCCCGGUGCUUCGUUCAAGUGUUCUUUAAUCAGCUCAUGAUCUCUUUGUUCUUUUGCAUCUAAAUCCCCUCUAGUAUAUUGGUUCUUCUAAUUCUUCCCGGUGAUUCAUUCUCUUUCAUCGGUCAUUUUCGAAUUCUUACGGUGGUUCGUCCAAGAUUCUUUUUCCUUGAUUAUCAUAUUAGUUAAUUCGUUCUUUUCAAUCCUACCGGUGAUUCAUGAAGACUUUCUCAAGUUUUGUGCUAUACUCUCCUUAAUCCUUUUCAAGAAGAAUAAGUAGUAUGUAAAAUCCGUUGCUUGUCAUCAAUUUAAUUUGAUGAAGGAUAAGCAUACAAUAAAUCUUAUUCUUAUUUCAUCCAAGUAAGUAAUCCCUUUCUUCGGAGUUUGUUCUUGUGAAUAAAUUCUAGUUCCAAGUGUUUUCAUCUUUUCUUUUCCGGAGUUCAAAUUUCCUCGGCCAUUUCGUCGGAACCUCCAUCUAAAUCACCGCAAGCCUCAUCUUAUUCUUUCUUCCUUCAUUCUAUCUCAUCAUAUUUUUGUCACCGGAGUUCUUCAUGGUGGUUCUUCAUGAUUUAAUUCAUUCUUCAAGAGUUCAUCAAGAUUCUUGUUGGUGGAGUUCAAGUAUCUUUUCUUCUCACGUCUCAAAGUGCAAUUAAUUCUCCGUAUUCUUUUAAAGUGGAGUUUUGCAUUUCUUCGUUCUUCUCGGCUAUUUAAUCCUUUUCGCUUGUGGUCGGAGAUCACCUCAUAAUUUUGAAAUGUUAUCUAUAAGUCCACAACAAGCAAUUCUUCUGUUGUUGAUUUCUCAACAACUUCGUUCAAUCUUCUCUUCAUAAGGAUACUUUUCAAAGUCAUUUGUGGUAGAAGCUGCCUUCUUCUUCUUCGUUCCUUUUCAUUCCACUAUUUCAAUUCUUCUGGAGGCAUUGUGUUGUUCCUCUCGGCAAGUAUAAUUCCAUCUUCUCAAGUUCAUGUUCUAUUCUUUCCCUUGUUCAGCCAGAGUGUUUCCUAAAUCCUUUUAGUCUUAUUCGUUUCUUAUCUCAUUCUAACAUGAGUGGUUUCAUAGUCUAUUUGAUUCCGUGAGCUUUCGAUUCUCGUCAUUCUCGUCGUUCCUCUCUUCUUCUCGAGUGCUCUCGAUUCUUUGCUUCUUCUCUUGAGUUCUUGUUUCACUCAUCCCUUUUCCCUUCCGUCUCGGUCCUAAGAUCUCGGGACGAGAUCUCUUGUUAGUGGAGGAUUGUUGUAACGCCCCGGUUUCGAUGCGCCAGGUGUCUGCCAGUUAUUCGCCGUCCUUGCCAUGUCAUUUGUUUGCGUGUUGCUUUUUGUCGUGUCAUCAUGUGCAUCUCUUUUUGCAUACGUGUUUGUCUCAUGCAUCCGAGCAUUUUCCCCGUUGUCCGUUUUGCAAUCCGGCACUCCUAUGCCCUCCGGCGUUCCCUUUUGUCUCCUGUUGUGAGCGGGUGUUAAACAUUCUCGGAAUAGACCGUGAUUUUCCGAGUGGCCUUGCUAUAGCACCGGUAGACCGCCCGUCAAAUUUCGUUCCAUUUGGAGGUCGUUUGAUGCCCCAACGGUUAACCGGGUAGCCGCAAAAGCCUCUUUUGUGUGCAUCCCAACACCCCUCCAAAGUGGCCCAUGAGCCCAUCCAAACCCCCUCCAUGCUCUCGAUCGUUCGAUCACGAUCGAGUGGCCGAAAACCGCUCCUCAUUUGGACUCUCCUAGCUCCCAGAAUCUAUAAAUAAGUCCCCUCCCCCGAAAUUCGCGGUGCAAACCCUAGCGUCUUCCUCCUCGCGCCGCCGGACACAUCCGUCCGUGCCGGACAUGUCCGCCGAACACGUCGCUCCGGCCAACCACAAGUCGACACAUCAUCGCCGCCGCCUCCCGCUCCAACCCCGUCUCGCCACCUGUCCCGCCGCUCCUCCGCACCGCGCCAGGCCCACCGGGCCCGGAUCGGGCCCGCGGGGCCCAUCCCGCCACCGCGGGCGCUGCCCCNNNNNNNNNNNNNNNNNNNNNNNNNNNNNNNNNNNNNNNNNNNNNNNNNNNNNNNNNNNNNNNNNNNNNNNNNNNNNNNNNNNNNNNNNNNNNNNNNNNNNNNNNNNNNNNNNNNNNNNNNNNNNNNNNNNNNNNNNNNNNNNNNNNNNNNNNNNNNNNNNNNNNNNNNNNNNNNNNNNNNNNNNNNNNNNNNNNNNNNNNNNNNNNNNNNNNNNNNNNNNNNNNNNNNNNNNNNNNNNNNNNNNNNNNNNNNNNNNNNNNNNNNNNNNNNNNNNNNNNNNNNNNNNNNNNNNNNNNNNNNNNNNNNNNNNNNNNNNNNNNNNNNNNNNNNNNNNNNNNNNNNNNNNNNNNNNNNNNNNNNNNNNNNNNNNNNNNNNNNNNNNNNNNNNNNNNNNNNNNNNNNNNNNNNNNNNNNGUCGCCGGUCCUUGUCCCCGCCGCCAGCGCCUCCCGCUCGCGCCCGGGUGCCCCGCGCCGCCGGAGCCCAUCGGGCUCGCCGGAGCACGCCGGCGCCGCCCCGCCGCUUCACUCUGGAGCUUGCCUCCCCGCGCCUCGCCGGAGCUUCUCACCGCCGGGAACGGGAUCCCCGGGUCCGGAUCCGGCCAGAUCCGGCCACCCCUGGCCUCCUCCGCCCUUCCCCGUGCCUCGCCGGACUGCCCCGACCCACCGGAGCCACUGCCGCCCGCAUUGACUUCGCCCCCCUCUCGAGGUUGAUUUCUGCCAAGUCCCCAAAAACUCAUAAAAUGUUGCAUUCUUUGACCUGCUGUAACUUCAUGUGUGUGGCUCCGUUUGCUGAGUGUAAUAUGUCAAAAUGUUCUUUGUGAGAUGCUAUUCAUUUCAUUCCAUUAUGCCAUGCUUGUUUGAGUCCAUCUUGAUGCCCAAAUCAUCGUCGCAAGAGUGCUAUAUGAUGUUAAUCUGCUGAAACUGUUAUAACUUGAUGAUUGGUCAUUUUUGUUGAAUUUGAUGUGUGCAUCUUAUGAGCUUGAGCCCUACAUGUGUUUUGAGAUACAUCAUGCCAUCUUUACAGUGGUGUCAUCCAUGUAUUUUUGUGAGCCUUGUAGUGAGUGCAUUGAGCUCGUGAAGUAGGGUACUUGCUGUUGCUGGUUUGCUAGGUUGAUUCUGUUAUAUUAUGAGGCUAUGUUAACCUGCUGCUAAAAGUCAUUCUAUGCAUAAUCUGGAGAUGUUCACUAAGGAUGUUUUGUUAUACAUGUCAUGCUCUAUCCAUUCAUGCCCCUAGUUGCAUUUAUAGCCUGCUGUAACUUGUUGUUAUCUUGCUCCAAACUUGCUAAAUAAUGUUGCUGUCACACUGUUAACUUUAAGUUCAAUGUUGCCAUGAUUGUUGUUAGUAAUCCAAGCAUGCUAUGAACUUGCUAUUGCCAUGUAUAGCUUCAUAAAUAUGCCAUCUUGCUGUUGGUCACCUUGGCAUGCCAUGUAAUUCUCUGUGGUGAGUGGUAUAAGCUCACCAACAUGCCUACUUAUUGUUGUUCCUGCCAUGUCUAAGUCUGUCAUAUUACUUGCUAUGUUUACAUGGGUUCCAUCAUAUCGUCUGUGCCUUUUUGGCUCAUGUUCAGUAAGGGACUUUCGUUCUAUGCUUUGAGUAGAAUCAUGCCAUGCUCUAGUUUGCCAUGAUAAGUUCUUGUAACAUGUUGUUUGAUAGCUCUAAACAUUGCAAGCUGAUGUUAUUUUCUGCUAACUCUGAAAUUGUUAUUAUUUGCAAUCUUGCCAUGUCCUUUUGAGCAUGUUCUAGUAGUUUCUGCAGAUGGAUCAGUGUUCAUGUUUUGUCAUGCUUUACCUGUACUUUAUGCCCAUGCCUUUUGUUAUUACGUUGAGAUACUGUAGCAUAUUGUUUUGAUGCUUGCAAUAUGCCUAGUUGCUGUUUUGGACAGCUUGUCCUUUAAACUUGUAUAGAGUGUAUGUGUUGAACCGUUGCUCCGUUUUGGGUGUGCUCUAUAUGAAACUUGCUUAGAUUUGCAUGUAGUUUCAUAUUAUCAUGUUGCAUCCUUGUCUUGAGGUGUUUGCUUGAUGUUUGGAUGCAUUUAGCAUCAAUGCCAUGUUUGACUUGUUUUGCUCAUAUCUUCUAGGCCAUAGCUCCGAAUUAAAUGAACUUUAUAUGUAACUUGACUAGAAUCUCGUGUAGAUCAUCUUGGUGCAUCUUAACUUGCUGUUUAACAACUUGAACAUAAGGUUUAUUCAGAUCUGUACCAACUUUGAAACUUGCAUAUGAGGACUUACCGGAAUUGUUAUAUGUUGUUUCCGGCCUCAUUUAACCUUGCUUUGAUGUGUUGUUCUUGUAUGCAUCAUCUCUUGCCAUGAGUAGUCUCAUCUAGAUUUGUCAUGCAUCAUGCUUGUUAUGCAUCAUGUCUUGUCUAUGUUUGGUGUGUUUACCAUGUUGUGUGCUUCUUCUCGAUAGUUCAUGUUUCAUUGCGAUUGUGAGGAUUCGUUCGUCUACGCUUGGUUCGUCUUCGUGGCUUCAUCUUCUUCAUGGACUCGUUCUUCUUCCUAGUGUGAUUUCAGGCAAGAUGACCGCUACCCUGGAUCUCACUACUAUCAUUGCUAUGCUAGUUGCUUUGUUCUAUCGCUUUGCUGCGCUACCUAUCACUUGCUCUUCAAGCCUCCCAAUUUGCCAUGUCAGCCUCUAACCUUUUCACCCUUCCUAGCAAACCGUUGCUUUGAUAUGUUACCGCUUUUGGCUCAACCCCUCUUAUAGCGUUGUUAGUUGCAGGUGCAGUUGAAGAUUGCUCCAUGGUGGACAGGAUUAUGUUGGGAUAUCACAAUAUCUCUUAUUUAAUUAAUGCAUCUAUAUACUUGGUAAAGGGUGGAAGGCUCGGCCUUAUGUCUGGUGUUUUGUUCCACUCUUGCUGCCCUAGUUUCCGUCAUACCGGUGUUAUGUUCCCGGAUUUUGCGUUCCUUACGCGGUUGGGUGAUUUAUGGGACCCCCUUGACAGUUCGCUUUGAAUAGAACUCCUCCAGCAAGGCCCAACCUUGGUUUUACCAUUUGCCUCACCACCACCUAUACCCUUCCCUUGGGUCGGCCAACCCGAGGGUCAUCUUUAUUUUAGCCCCCCCGGACCAGUGCUUGUCUAAGUGCUGGUCCAAACCGAGUAGACUGCAGGGCCCCCUCGAGGAAACUCGAGGUCUGGUUUUACUCAUAGGAUGUCUCAUCCGGUGUUGCCCUGAGAACAAGAUAUGUGCAGCUCCUAUCGGGAUUGUCGGCACAUCGGGCGGCUUUGCUGGUCUUGUUUUACCAUUGUCGAACUGUCUUGUAAACCGGGAUUCCGAGACUGAUCGGGUCUUCCUGGGAGAAGGAAUAUCCUUUGUUGAUCGUGAGAGCUUAUCAUGGGCGAAGUUGGGACACCCCUGCAGGGUAUUAUCUUUCGAAAGCCGUGCCCGCGGUUAUGUGGCAGAUGGGAAUUUGUUAACGUCCGGUUGUAGAUAACUUGACACCUGAUUCGAAUUAAAACGCAUCAACCGUGUGUGUAGCCGUGAUGGUCUCUUCUCGGCGGAGUCCGGGAAGUGAACACGGUCUUUGGGUUAUGUUUGACGUAAGUAGGAGUUCAGGAUCACCUCUUGAUCAUUACUAGUUAACGACCGUUCCUUUGUUUCUCUUCUCGCUCUUAUUCGCGUAUGUUAGCCACCAUAUAUGCUUAGUCGCUGCUGCAACCUCACCACUUUACCCCUUCCUUACCCAUUAAGCUUUGCUAGUCUUGAUACCCAUGGUAAUGGGAUUGCUGAGUCCUCGUGGCUCACAGAUUACUACAACAACAGUUGCAGGUACAGGUUAUGCGAUGAUCAUGACGCGAGAGUGAUGUUUGCUUGUUUUGGAGUUCUUCUUCUGCUUCUUCUUCGAUCAGGGGAUAGGUUCCAGGUCGGCAGCCUGGGCUAGCAGGGUGGAUGUCGUUUGAGUUUCUGUUUGUGUUUCAUCCCUAGUCGGAUGGUGCUCUUAUGUAAGAUGAUGUUGUAUUUGUGUGGCAUUGUAUGCCUCUUGUAUGUAUCCCCAACUAUUAUGUAAUGUUCAUGUAAUGAUAUCCACCUUGCAAAAGCGUAUCAAUAUGCGGUUCUAUCCUUAGUGGGACCUUCGAAUCUCUUUAGGAUAGUAUCGCAUAUUGGGCGUGACAAUUCUCCUCGUAGCGGGGAGCCGACGCGUCCUUUGACACACGUGCUGGCGAGACUGGGAACACCGAUGUGUCCACCUCAACGCAUCGCGGCGAGGAGCGGAACACCAACACGUCCUCCUCAACUAGUGGCGGCGAGGAAUGGAACGGCGACGUGUGACCGUCCGCUCGGUGCAGCGAGGGGCGCCUAGGCCUUGGGUGGGACGAUGCCAUGGUGGUCGACCUGAGAGGGAGGGGGAGGAGAUAGCGAUGAACAUGAGCAUUCUCCCGAAUGCCAUGGGAGGCACAAUAUUUAUAGCAAGCAAUGGCACACCUAACUAAGAUAUGGACUGAGCUUCACUGACUUAACUGCAGGUGUAGUUGCGUCAUUGACUUGUGGGCCAGAUGCCUGUUAGGCCCACAUGUCAGUGACCCAAUGCACUUGUAGUUGAGUAACUAAAGCAUUGUCCCAUAAGAUAUGUUGCGUGAUUAAUGUAACAACUACGUGGGCAUAUUUGUUGGAGUAAAUUACGGGAGAGGGAAGGUGUGGAAAUAUUGCUGGUCACAACGGAUUGGACGAGUGCGGGGGGAGGAGAGUCAUGCAUGCAGAUUUUUUCCACAUGGGGUGGAGUGGUGGGACUGCCGGAGGGAGAAGGAGAGUCAAGUAGGCGUUCAGAUUUCAAGGUGCACUAAAUUAUUGCACGCGAUGAUUAAGGAUGUCCAUAGUGGUGGUAAUGUGGUAGUAUCUGGUAUCAUGCACACGGGAAUAGCAAACAUGCUGACGUGGCAAAGAAUUAAAGAAGAGAGGGGGGUUCGAGCAACAAAUCUAUAUAGGCCGUCCGAUCUAUAUCUAACGGAUAGGAAGGAAACUAUGACAAUUUACCCGCACUCCUCUCCACAUUUGCAAAUAAGGCCUUCCCUCAUUCAUCCUUUUCUCCCACAAUAUCUUGAUAUUCUGUGCAACGCAUGGACAUCUUUCUAUUGCAUGUAAAAAUCUUUGUCAUUUACUAGUGUUCAUGCAUGCAUGCAAUGCGAUAAUGUAUUGGUAAACACAUUUUUAUGAAGAGCGAGAGCAUUAAUUGAGCAUUUCAUGCAUGCAUGAACACUAGUGAAUGACAAAGAUUUUUACAUGCACUAGCACAUCAAGAUCUUGUGGGAGAAAAGGAUGAACGAGGGAAGGCCUUAUUUGCAAAUGUGGAGAGGGGUGUGAGUAUCUUUUUGCAAAAUUGCCAUAGUUUCCUUCCUAACCGUCGGAUAUAAAUUGGACGGCCUAUAUUGCAGGAUGGCAGGCACACCAUCAUCACCAACUCUGUUUUUAUAAGAGUAGAGAUAAAUAUAAAUAUAAAAUAAAUAUAAGAGUAGAGACAGCAGGGACGUCACGAAAGGAUCGCGCACGCGGGAAAAAGCUGCCGGGCGCGCGUUCGGCGCGCUUUAUAAAAUCCAACGCCCUCCCACCGCUCUGUGCCUUGCCACCUCUCUGUGCCUCGCCACCGCUCUUUGCCCGCUCUUUCUUGCCUUGCCGCAGCCGCGCCACCAUGCUGCCGCGUCGCUGGGAAACUUGGGGAUACCACGGCGUCCGCGUGCGCCCCUCAGAUCCAGUUCCACGGGAUGCGCCUCGGCCUCAGCACUUUUGACACUACCCACAAGGCCGCCCGCGCAUACGACACGGCGGCGUGGUGCCUCCCGUGGCCUCAUAGAACAUUGAACUUCCCCAACGUGCCAACACGGGAGCAGGCAAAGGAGCUCGUGCCUCCGCCGCGGCUUAUCACCGACGAGGAUCGUCAAGACAACCGGAGGCAGGAGCACAAUCUCAGCAUCACCGAGAUGGACGAGGAAGCAAUGGCGCUGUGGCGCCAACACUUCCCGCAGGACAACAUCAACGAGCACGAGUUCUACGCGCAAAGAAGUGCGGAGUGGGAGAAGAGGAGGCAGAGCACGCUGCCUAUCGCGAGGACAAGCGUACGCGGAAAGCGGCCACUCAAUUUAACAUGAGGCUAGGAGCAGCGUCGCCUUGGGACUCUGACGAUUAUCGGUAUCUUGACGCCUACAUUAGACGUCGGAGGAGGACAUCACCGAGGAGGAGGACAUCACCGAGGAGGAGUCAGACGACGAGGAGUAGUUGAUCUAUCUAUUUUCUUAUCUAUCUAUGCUGAGAACUAUCUAUGUCUCUACUCUCUACUCUCUAUCUCUACUUCUCUAUCUCAGCACUCCGGUCCCGCAAAACCUAGCUAUUCCGGCGCUGUAAACGCUUUUUUAACGCGCCGCGUGUUGCGCUUCUGUUGGAGAUGCUCUAACAUGGCAGACGAGUGCUUUAAUGUUGACCACAAGAUGCGUGAGUAUUACUAGUAUAUUUUUCUUACCAUGUUGAUAUUUUAAACCACGGGUGCGAACAUGCAGAGGAGCAAUGAAGACCAAACACGGGAUAUUGGGGACAUCUUCAAGGAGCGUGGCAAGUUAAAGAGGAGCUGCACCAAAGAGGAGCUGCACUAAACACGGGAUAAUGAGAUUUGGUAAGUAACACCCUUUCAAUUACUUUCGUUUAGCCUCGUGUUCUUCGAUGUGUCCAUCUUGUAGCGACCACGAUCCCAAUGGAUCGAAGUCUAUGUGCUUAAGUGUCAACCCUGGAUCAGUAUGCUGACACACACAGUACUCGAGGACUUAUAACAGAGUUCAGUCACACAAUUAUUACAUCGAGGUCCUCAUAAAGAGUAUUUAUUACACAAAUAAUAUGGUUGAAGGCCAUCUAAAUAAAAUAACCGCAGAAACUUCGAAGAUAAAUGAGUCCAUCAACUCCAAUGGCAUAGCUGAGUGCAUGACAACGACCUAUCACACCUUAUUGUUCGUCCGUAAAGUCUACAAUAUGAGAUGUUGCAGCCGUGUAGGUCAGCACAUGGAAUAUGCUGGCAGUGUUACACUGUAUAGCAAUUGAAUGCAAGAAACUAUAUCUACAUGCAUAUUUGGCUGGUGGAGGCUCUAAGUUUAAUGUUUUGCAUAAAGCUAAUUUUUCCCUACAACAAAGGAAUACAUUUUAUUUACUACAAAGUUUAUACCAAUGAUUGAGAAGGUUCCUCCAACUCAAAUCCCAAAAUUAACCAAGUAUUCAUCAUUAAACCCAAUACAUUAAUUAAAGAGUGAUGAGAUCAAUAAUAAUAUCUACCUCUAGAUACUCAAAUUGUCCAUAAUCGGGGACACAGCAAACCAUGAUUAGUUUAUACACUCUGCAGAGGUUACGCACUUUUCCCCAAAAGACUCGACCGCAUCCAUGAUCGGAAGAUCGAGACAUAGUCUUUCUGAAGCAUUAACUCUCUACUCUGGGUAGACCAGUACACCUACUUUCCCCUACAUCUGCUAGUCCACCUCUUCAAGAGCUCACACAACUUACUCAACUAUGCUAGAGCCCAUAAUGGCUUGUGGCUGCACAUGGAAGUUUCUAGGCAUGAAAUAUCAUAUGAUCCCUUUGAGCCUGGGUGGCGAACCGAGGGAAAAUCACACGGGUACUCCGGGAUUCCCAUGGGCAAGCACUGGUUUCUCCAGGUGCCCCAACCAAUCCACCCAGAUGUGUAUUAAAGUUGCCACCUUAAUGUUAUCCAAAAAUUAUUAUCUCUCACAACUUCCAUGAAUCUCAUGAACCAAUCCCCGUCUACGAGCAUGGCUAAGCAUUAUAUGAGCAUAAUGUAUAUUCCCGGGGUGAUCAAAGGUAAUAGGUUCCUACCUCAAGUACUACAACCAAACCACAUGUUCCCAAUCCUACUCAUGCAAAUCUUUGAGGGGCAAAACUAAUGCAUAGUAAAAAAAACUUGGUAUUGAAAAGUAUGAUCAAAGUGUAACUUGCCUUGCUGACGAUCGGAAAACACUAGAGAUUCGUAGUAACAAGCUUCGCACUCCGGAAAAUCUAGCGUAGACAAACAAUAGCAUACAUAAGCAAACAAGCAAACGAUGCAAAGAGAAAAUGAGAAAAGAUCCAAAGAAAACUCAAAAGCAAUCAAAUAAAUAAUCUAAACAGAAAAAAAUUCUAGCAGCAUUAUAAUUAUGUGGAUUAGAUCUUAACAGUGGGUAUAUGUGAUUAGCUACGAUUUGCAAAAAGAAUCAACUAAAACAGAGCUACGAAACUCAAGAUACGAACAAAACAAGAUCAAAUUCAAAUCUGAACUAAACUCAAAUUUUAAAUUGUCAAAAACAUGUUCAAGUUGAUUUACUAGAUAGAUGGGAUCACUCUGAAGAUUUAGGCGUUGGUUUCGUCGAAUUUGAACAAACGAGCAAAAAGUUACGAGGGUUUAAAGAUUAGGGGCUAAUCUGCAAAAAAUAUUCGUGCAUAGGUACCUGGCCGAAAACUAAAAGAAAAAGAAAAAUCUACCGGACGAACGUUCGCCACAGAACCUAAUCUAAUGAAUCUGUUCGUUUCAGAAACUAAAUGAACGAAUGUUCGCUAAAUAAACUAAUAAAAUGAAAUAAACUGAUCUAAAAAGAAAAACCGAAAAAAAUUGAUUGGACCGGUGAUUUAUACCGGUUCGACUGGUUCGAUGGCGGUGGCGGCAAAGUCGACGGCGGCUGGGGCGGCUUGUGCGAGGCAACAACGGCGGCUUGCGGGCGAGGCGAUGGCGGCAGCUUCCAUAGUCGGCGACAGCGAUGACUACGGCAGCGGCGGCGGCGGUGGCGACGGCGGCUUGCGGCGGCGCGGCUAGGCGACGGCAGUGGUGGCAUCAGCUUGGGGUGAGGAGGAGAUGGGCCGGGACGGGCUAUUUAAAGAGGGGGAGGGGAGGCGAGGCCAGCUUGCGGGAGGGGGCAGAGAGGCGGCGGCGCGGUUGGAGUCCGGGUCGGACACGGCCGCCGCCGGCGGCGCUGCUCGGGACUUCGUCCCGGGCGUGAGCGGGAGUGGCGGCUGGCGACUGGGCCGGCUGGGCUGGGUGCGGCCCAGUUCGGUCGGCCCGAACUCUUUUUUUUAAAACAAUUUUUCACAGAGACAAAACUAGCUAAAAUAAAUAUAAAUAAAAUCCUAAAAAUUCUAAAAAAAAAACUCAUGUGGCUAUUUGGCCUUAUUAGUGACCUAAUGAACAUUUUUCUGGGCCUAAAUGCCUAAACUAAAAACAAACAUUAUAGUACUAAUUACUCCGCUAACUAAUAAAUAAACUAGCAAAUAAAAUCAAAUAAACUCUCCAAAAAUUCAAAAUUCGUUUUCCAAUAUUUCUUUGCUGAUUUUGAAGAAGUCAUAUUAUCUUCUCUCUUUAUUUUACAACAAUUGGAAAAGAAUUUUGGAAAACAAUUUGAUCCAAUACCAAAUUUUGAUCAAAAUUGGAUUUUUGUGAAACCUCCAACUCUCUCAAAUUGGUCCUUGAGUUGCAUCAGGCCUCUUGGAUCAAAAUGCAACUAAAACAGAGCAACAAAAUGCAUAAAUCACGGAUGCAUAUGAAUGAUCUAUGAAUAACAUCCAAAUUGAAAAUUGGGAUGUUACAAACCUACCCCCCUUAAGAUGAAUCUCAUCCUCGAGAUUCGGGUUGGCCAAAAAAAAGGUGUGGGUGGUCCUUGCGGAGGUCUUCUUUACGCUCCCAUGUAGCUUCCUCCUCGGUAUGGUGGCUCCACUGAACUUUGCAAAACUUGAUGACUCCGCUGCGAGUAACUCAGCUAGAAAACUUGAGAAUCUUAACGAGUUUCUCUUCAUAGGUCAGAUCACUAUCCAACUGAAUCGCUUCCAGUGGCACUGUAUCUCUCAGAGGAAUGUCAGCCAUCUCUACAUGGCACUUCUUCAACUGGGAAACGUGAAACACAUCAUGAACUCCUGACAAACCUUCGGGUAAUUCCAACUUGUAGGAAACUUCUCCCAUACGUUCCAAAACUCUGCAUGGUCCCCCAAAUCGUGGUGCUAGCUUUCCCUUGACUCCAAAUCGUUCAACUCCUCGAAGUGGGGACACACAAAGAUAAGCUCUAUCUCCGACUUCAUAGGCUACCUCCUUGCGUUUCGUAUCUACAUAACUCUUCUGCCUGGACUGGGCUAUCUUGAGUCUAUCACGAAUCAACUUAACCUUCUCCUUAGAAUCUCUGAUUAAAUCUGGUCCGAACAACUGUCAAUCUCCAACUUCAUCCCACGACAAUGGUGUCCUGCACCUCCUUCCGUACAAAGCUUCGAAAGGGGCCAUCUUCAGACUGGCUUGAUAACUGGUGUUAUAGGAGAACUCUGCAUAGGGUAAAUUACCAUCCCAAUUAGAUCCAUAAUCUAGCGCACAAGCUCUCAACAUGUCCUCCAAAAUCUGAUUGGCUCUCUAGGUUUGUCCAUCUGUCUGCGGAUGAAAGGUUGUACUGAACUCUAGCCUGGUACCCAAAGUUUCGUGCAACUGAUUCCAAAACUUUGAAGAAAACUGUGUUCGUCUAUCUGAUAUGAUGGUCCUCAGAACUCCGUGCAGACAUACGAUCCUGGUCAUGUAUAUCUUCACCAACUUAGCACUCGUAUAAGUUGUUUUCACGGGGAUGAAAUGGGCUACCUUGGUUAAGCGAUCGACUACAACCUAGAUAGAGUCAUAGCCUGAACGGGUUCUAGGUAAUCCGGUGAUGAAAUCCAUGCCAAGUUUAUCCCACUUCCAUUCGGGUAUCGACAAAGGCUGAAGUAACCCUGCUGGUUUCUGAUGCUCUGCCUUAACUCUCCUUCAAGUCCAAAUACAUCUUGGUGUUGCCUGGGUGAAUCGAAUAAGGCGAAUCAUGGGCCUCCUUAAGAAUUAACUUCCUGAUCUCAGGGUCAUUAGGCACAUAGAUACAAUCCUCAAACCAUAAAGUUUCGUGCUUAUCCUCACGAAAACCUUUCGCCUUUCCUUUACUCAUCGUUUCCUUUAUCUCUGCAAUCUCCUUGUCCGUCUUCUGGGCUUCUCGGGCCUUUCGCAGCAAAGUUGACUGAAUUUCCAAUGCAGCAACAUAACCUCUCGGAACUAUCUCCAAGCAAAGUUCUCGAAUAUCAUCGGCUAACUCCCAAGGUAAUCCUCCGGUUAUGAGCGUGUUAACAUAACUCUUGCGGCUCAAAGCAUCUGCUACGACAUUGGCCUUUCCUGGAUGAAAAUGCAAUCUCAUGUCAUAAUCCUAUAUGAGCUCCAACCAUCUCCUCUGCCUAAGGUUCAACUCCUUCUGUGUGAAUAUGUACUUCAAACUCUUAUGAUCCGUGUAAACAUCAUAACGGUUACCAAUGAGAAAGUGUCUCCAUUUCUUGAGGGCAUGCACUACGGCUGCUAACUUCAAAUCAUGCGUAGCAUAAUUCAACCCAUGAGGUCGAAGCUGUCGUGAGGCAUAUGAAACAACUCUUCUGUCCUGCAUAAGAACGCCUCCAAGUCCUUGAAGAGAAGCGUCGCAAUAUCUUGGAAAUCCUUGCGUAUGUCUAGGAGAAUCAGCACUGGGGGUGUAACCAAACAUUUCUUCAACUCCUAGAAACUGGCCUCACAAUCCUCAGUCCAUUUAAACUUGGUGUCUUUCUUCAGUAACUCUGCCAUGGGCUUCGCAAUCUUGGAAAAAUUCUCAAUAAAUCUUCGAUAAUAACCUGCAAGUCCAAGAAAACUUCUAAUCUCUCCAACUGUGGUGGGUGCCAACCACUCAGUGACAGAUGCAACCUUGGUAGGGUCUACUGCUAUCCUUUCUCCUAAUAUAACAUGUCUGAGAAAUCCAACUUCCUUCAACCAAAACUCACAUUUGCUGAACUUGGAAUACAACUGAUGUUCCCUGAGCUUCUCAAGAACCAAGCGCAAAUGUUCCUUGUGUUCUUCUUCAUGCUUCGAGUAGACCAAUAUAUCGUCAAUGAACACCACAAUGAACUUGUCCAAGAACUCCAUGAACACUUUGUUCACCAUACUCAUAAAAUAGGCAGGGGCAUUAAUCAAACCAAAUUACAUAAUCGUAUACUCAUAUAGCCCAUACCUUGUGGUAAAAGUUGUCUUAGGUAUAUCCUGCUCUCGGAUCUUCAGCUGGUGAUAACCUGAUCGAAGAUCAAUUUUAGAGAAAACUUUAGCUCCCUGCAGCUGGUCAAACAAAUAAUUGAUCAUUGAUAGAGGGUAUUUGUUCUUGAUCAUCUCCUCAUUCAGCGCAUGAUAAUCAACAACCAUCCUCAAAGAUCCAUCCUUCUUCUUGACUAGAAGCACUAGGGCUCCCCAAGGUGAUGAGCUUGGUCGAAUAUAACCUUUCUCCAAUAACUCCUUAAUCUGCUUCUUAAUUUCCACUAGACGAUUUGCGGGCAUCCAAUACGGUCUCUUUGAUAUUGGUCCGGUGCCUGGCAAUAACUCGAUCAGAAACUCUAUGUCUCGGUCUGGUGGCAUGCCUGGUAACUCCUCUGGAAAUACGUCGGGAAAAUCCUUCACCACUGGUACUUCCUCCUGAACAACUCCAGAAAGGGAAUUCACUUGAGUUCUCCUUGACGCAUGCCUAGACACAUACUUGAUCCUUUUUCCUUCUGGGGUGGUGAGAAGAAUCGAUUUACUGGCACAAUCAAUGUUUCCCUCAAACUUGGAUAAUCAAUCCAUACCUAGGAUCACAUCCCAUCCUUGUGACUCCAGGAUAAUAAGGUCGGUGGGGAAAACAUGUCUACCUAUGGUUAUUGGCAACUGAUAACAUCCCCGACUAGCCAUAUACUCUGCUCCUAGGGAACUCACUAACAUAGGUGACUUAAGGGCUACAGUUGGCAAUUUAAACUUGUCCACAAAACCCCUUGAUAUGAAUGAAAGAGAUGCACCAGUGUAAAAAAGAACAAGGGCUGUAAAUGCAUUAAACAAAAACUUACCGACACCUGCGUCGAGCUGCUCCUCAAUCUCCUCCACAUUGACAUGGUUCACCUGACCUCUGGUGAAAGGGUUGGGCUUCUUUCUAGAACUUCCAUUGCCAUUUCCAUACUUUGCUUCAGAACAUUCAGUGGCGUAGUGUCCGAUCUUCCCGCACUUGAAACAAGUAAUGUGACUCAGAUCCUUCUUGGCGGGUGUCGCGGGGUUGGAACGGCCCUGACUAUUGCUUCCUCCAUUCCCAUUACCAUUCUUAGGGCCACUAUGGUUGUGUGAACUUCCUCCGUUGUGCGAAUGUCCUCCAUGGUUAGGUCCUCCAUGGUUAUGAUGAGUGUGUCCUCCCGAGUACAGGGAAUAGCGAGGCUUCUGCUGAGCUCCAGAAUUGUACUUCCCCUGUCCAUACUUCCUCUUGCGGUUGUCUAUCUACUGCUGCUUGCCUUCUAUCAUGAGGGCCUUGUCUACCAGCUCCUGGUAGUUGUUGAAGGUUGCCACCAUCAAUUGCAUACUCAUCUCAUCAUUGAGUCCCUCAAGAAAUUUCUCCUACUUCGCGGCAUCUGUGGCCACAUCAUCUGGGGCAUAUCGUGCUAACUUGCUGAACUCAUCCACAUACUGUCCCAAUGUACAACUCCCCUGGCGUAAGUUGCGGAACUCACGCUUCUUCAAACUCAUGGCUCCAGCUGAAACAUGUGCGGUGCGAAAGGCCUGCUGAAACUGAUCCCAUGUAACAGUAGCAAUGGGGUAAGUGGUGGUGAAAUUCUCCCACCAAGAGGCUACGGGUCCAUCAAGCUGAUGUACGGCAAACCGCACUCUCUCCGCACAUGUGCAUCCAGCAAUGGUCAGCUCCCUCGCAAUCUUGCGGAGCCAAUCAUCUGCAACAAUCAGCUCGGUGCUGCUAGAAAACACUGGUGGAUUCAACCUCAGAAAAUGGGCUAGGUUGUCAACAGGGGGUGGUGGCGGUGGGUUGUUGUUGUUGUUGCCUUGGUUCUGGAUCAUCAUCUACAUCAAGGCAUUCUGCUGUUGGAUCAACUGGGUGAUCUCCGGCGGGAAAGUGAAUCCGGGGUCACGUCUCGGAGGCAUCUGAUGGGUUAGAGGGGGUGAGAAAACAGAAUAGAGUAAGGUCUAUGAGAGAUUGCACUACCCAUAUACAUAUGCGGCAAAUACAUUCAAUUCACACCACUCAAUAUCAAACAAGAUUCACACAAAUGAUCUAAACUAGUAUUACAAAUCGGUCAAUUCUAACUACUUGGAAGAAUACUACUUAGUAACAUGGUGGUCGUCUAGAAGUUUUGAUCGGUGGAAGACUCCAUAAUAUCAGCUCCAGCUUCGUCUUCAUAAUCAUCAUCACUGUCAUCAUCUGCAUUACUGUCUGUGUUGGUGUCAUCCAAUAUGAUGUAGUCCUCCGAACGAAUAUCCACUUCAGGUUCUUGCUUUGGUUUGAUACGUCCAUUUUGCAUCAUGCUUUUAUAUCGAUAUUUAUUGCAUUAUGGGCUGUUAUUACACAUUAUGUCACAAUACUUCUGCCAAUUCUCCCUUAUUUUACAAGGUUUACAUGAAGAGGGAGAAUGCCGACAGCUGGGAUUCUAGGCUGGAAAAGGAGAAAAUAUUAGAGACCUAUUUUGCACAACUCCAAAAGUCCUGAAACUCCACGAAAUUUAUUUUUGGAAUUAAUAAAAAAUACUGGGCGAAGAGAGUACCAAAGGGGGCCCACACCCUGUCCACAAGGGUGGGGGCGCUCCCUACCCCCUCGGCGCGCCCACUGCCUCGUGGGCCCCCUAUUAGGCCUUUGGUGACCAUCUUCUACUAUAUGAAGUCUUUUACCCUGGAAAAAAUCAUAAGCAAGCUUUCGGGAAGAAACACUGCCGCCACGAGGCAGAACCUUGGCGGAACCAAUCUAGGGCUCCGACGGAGCUGUUCUGCCGGGGAAACAUCCCUCCGAGAGGGGGAAAUCAUCACCAUCAUCAUCACCUUCAAUCCUUUCAUAAGGAGGGGGUCAAUCUCCAUCAACAUCUUCACCAGCACCAUCUCCUCUCAAACCCUAGUUCAUCUCUUGUAUCCAAUCUUUGUCCCAAAACCUUAGAUUGGUACCUGUGGGUCACUAGUAGUGUUGAUUACUCCUUGUAGUUGAUGCUAGUUGGUUUAUUCGGUGGAAGAUCAUAUGUUCAGAUCCUAUAUGCAUAUUAAUACCCCUCUAAUUAUGAACAUGAAUAUGAUUUGUGAGUAGCUACGUUUGUUCCUGAGGACAUGGGAGAAGUCUUGCUAUAAGUAGUCAUGUGAAUUUGGUAUUCGUUCGAUAUUUUGAUGAGCUGUAUGUUGUCUCUCGUCUAGUGGUGCUAUGUGAACAUCGACUACAUGACACUUCACCAUGUUUGGUCCUAGAGGAAGGCAUUGGGAAGUAAUAAGUAGAUGAUGGGUUGCUAGAGUGACAGAAGCUUAAACCCUAGUUUAUGCGUUGCUUCGUAAGGGGUUGAUUUGGAUCCAUAUGUUUCAUGCUAUGGUUAGGUUUACCUUAAUACUUCUUUUGUAGUUGCGGAUGCUUGCAAUAGGGGUUAAUAAUAAGUGGGAUGCUUGUCCAAGAAAGGGCAGUACCCAAGCACCGGUCCACCCACAUAUCAAAUUAUCAAAGUAACGAACGCGAAUCACAUGAGCGUGAUGAAAUCUAGCUUGACGAUAAUUCCCAUGUGUCCUCGGGAGCGCUUUACUCCAUAUAAGAACUUGUCCAGACUUGUCCUCUGCUACAAAAAGGAUUGGGCCACCUUGCUGCACUUUAUUUACUUUUGUUACUUGUUACCCGUUACAAAUUACCUUACCACAAAACUAUCUGUUAUCGAUAAUUUCAGUGCUUGCAGAGAAUACCUUACUGAAAACCGCUUGUCAUUUCCUUCUGCUCCUCGUUGGGUUCGACACUCUUACUUACCGAAAGUACUACGAUAGAUCCCCUACACUUGUGGGUCAUCAUUUCACCAUGGGUAUUCCUAGCUUCUCCUUCAGAUCUUCAUGCUUCUCUAGUAGCACAACAAUUUCUUCUUCAUAUCCAUCGCGUGUUGACUUGAGUUCCUCUUCUAGCUCGAUAUUCGUCUUCAUCACCUUCUUGGUCUUCUUCAUGAUAGUGCACAUCUAGUUCUCAUAUAGACGAAUGUGCUGAUCCAUCUCAUGAAUGUACGCUACAAUUGAUCCAUCCUUCCUGGUACGAAUCAUCUCCCAUUGCUCGUCUCGGCGUCCACAUAUCUGAUAGACGGUGUCUUCAAGCUCCUUGUGGUACACCUCACAAAUGCGUCCAAAAGUGAUGUGGGCUGCCAUGCUCUUUCCCAAGCUCCAAGUUGGUGCAUCCAAGGUGACCUCAAUGGGCUCCGUUGUUGGUGCAAACGUCCUCCCAGGUACAUGAACUUUGAUCCUCCAGCGCUCUUCUUCUGGUAAAGUUGCAGUGAAGAUUCCAGUGAAGCUUGGUAGUUCAAUGUUAAGGUACUUCGUGACUUCCUUCAAGUGUCGUCCGAAAGGGGUGUCAUCAUCUGGCUGAGUGAACUUGUUCCUGGGGUCCGUCAUCUAUAGAGUAGAAAUGGAGGAGGAUUAGAAAUGAGUAGAGAAGAGUAUCUUGUGGCUUUACCUAGUGGUCACGUCCUACAGUCAGCGUGUGCUCUGAUACCAUCUUGUAGUGACCACGAUCCCAACAUAUCAAAGUCUCUAUGCUUAAGUGUCAUCCCUGGAUCGGUAUGCUGACACACAUAGUACUCGAGGAAUUAUAACAAAGUUCAAUCACACACAUAUUACAUCAAGGUCCUCAUAAAGAGUAUUUACAUGAGUCCAGCAACUCCAACGGCAUAGCUGAGUGCAUGACAACGACCUAUCGCACCUUAUUCUUCGUCGGUAAAGUAUGCAACAUGAGACGUUGCAGCCGUGUAGGUCAGCACAUGGAAUAUGCUGGCAGAGAUACACUUUAGAGCAAUUGAAUGCCAGAAACUAUAUCUACAUGCAUAUUUGGCUCGUGGAGGCUCUAAGUUUAAUGUUUUGCAUAAAGCUAAUUUUUUUUCCUACAACAAAGGAAUAAAUUUUAUUUACUACAAAGUUUAUACCAAUGAUUGAGAAGGUUCCUCCAACUCAAAUCCAAAAAUUAACCAAGUAUCAUCAUUAAACCCAAUUCAUUAAUUAAAGAGUGAUGAGAUCAACAUAAUAUCCACUUCUAGAUACUCAAAUUGUCCAUAACCAGUGAAAGCACAUUUGCUCCCUGGGUGGUUUUGGUAAUUAAUGACAACAUACUUUGUGGUUGGACUAAUGCUUUUAUCAAGUAUGUUUCAGGAAGUUCAAUCACUCUGGCAUGGCAAAAGGACUGGAAAGGUGGACACCUAAGAUGCUAAGACAAGCAUUGGCAAAAGCUCAAGACUCUUUUUUUUGGUUUAGUGAUCCAAGAUCACAUUGAGUCUAUAGGAAAGCCAAUACUAUUAAAAGGGGAUGAGGUUAUGAUAAUGAUCUGGUUGCUCAAAGUGCUUAGUGAUCUAUCUCCCAAACCAUCAGCAAUCUUUCAUUCCAACAUACACUCAUAAGUAAUCUCGGUCCCACCGAUUCCAUAAACUCAGUCACACCGAGAUGAACCACCUCAGCCACAAAGCCAAACCCUAGUAAUUUCGGUUUUUCCGAUUCCAAACUCAGUCUCACCGAAACUAGUGUUGCCAACCUUCUGUAACCUUCUGUCAUCAAAUCGGUGUCACCGAGAUGAUAAAGUCGGUCCCACCGAGAUUGGAAAACCCUAGUCUUUGGAAGAAUCGGACUCACCGAGAUUGUAUUUUCGGUCCCACCGAAAAUCCCAACGUUCACAAGAUUUGAACUUUCGGUCUCACCGAGUUGUCAACUUCGGUCUGACCGAGAUUGGUCAAAUGUGUGUAACGGUUGGAUUUUGUGUGGAGGCUAUAAAUACCCCUCCACCUCCUCUUCAUUCGUGGAGAGAGCCAUCAGAAAGAACUACCACUCCUACCUUACAUUUCUGAGAAGAAAACUACCUACCCUUGUGUUGAGAUCAAGUUGCUCCACUCCCACCAUAUGAAACUUGAUUUCUAGCCUUCCCAAGUUGCUUUCCACUCAAUCCUUUCUUCCACCACAGCCAAAUCAGUGAGGAGAGUUGAGUGUUGGGGAGAUUAUCAUUUGAAGCACAAGAGCAAGGAGUUCAUCAUCACCAACACCAUCUAUUACCUUUUGGAGGGUGGUGCCUCCUAGAUUGGUUAGGUGUCGCUUGGGAGCCUCCGUCAAGAUGUGGAGUUGAACCAAGAAGUUUGUAAGGGCAAGGAGAUCGCCUACUUCGUGAAGAUCUACCCCGAGUAAGGCUAGUCCUCCGUGGGCGUAUGCCAUGAUGGCAUAGACAAGGUUGCUUCUUCGUGGACCCUUCGUGGGUGGAGCCCUCCGUGGACUCUCGCAGCCGUUACCCUCCGUGGGUUGAAGUCUCCAUCAACGUGGAUUGACGAUAGCACCACCUAUCGGAACCACGAGAAAAAUCUCCGUGUCUCCAAAUUGCGUUUGAUCUUCUCCACCUCUCUUUACUUCAUGUGCAAUUUACUUUCCGCUGCCCAUACUCUAGAAUUGCAUGUGUAGUAUGCUACUUGACUUGUGCAAUAUGCUAAAUCUGCCAAGAACUUGUCUUUGUAAAAGGCAUAAUUUUUAUCUUGUCGAGUAGUCUAAUCACCCCCCCUCUAGACACUCUUACCUUCAACGAUCCUACAAUUGGUAUCAGAGCAUUGAUUUCCAUUGCUUUGGUUUGCACACCAUUGGAGGAAGAUGGACGUGUCUACGUUUGGGAGUGUUAGCCAUAGAGUGCCUACUCUUGAUGGAGUGUCCUAUAGCUCGUGGAGGAUUGAAAUGCUUGCUAUCUUUAAGAUGUACAACUUGCGCAAAUAUGUUGAAACCCCAUAUGUACCUCCAUUUGACCCCUUGCACCCUACUAUGGAUGAAGAGCUUGAUUUGCUUCGUAACCUUAGAACUGUAAAUCUUAUCAUUAGAGGUUUACCCGAUAACUUACUUGAGCUUGUCACAAACUUUGAGUGCGCCUAUGCCAUAUGGAAGUUCUUGGAAGAACUUUGUCCUGACUACUCUUUGAGAGGUCUUGAUGAAUUUCUAUACAAGACUAUUGAAUUUGAUAUGAUGCGCCCCAAUGAUCCCAACUUUGAUAAAUGCUUCUUUGAGCUUCGUGAUCUUAUGAAAAAGAAGGGUGAUCCCGGACUUAUCAAUGUUCUAAUUAGAAAUGCUCUUGUAUUGCAUUCCGAUGAUUAUUGUCACUUUGACAAAACUAAUGCAAGUCAUUGUCAAAUUGACCUAGGUGUUGAUGAUGAACUAUCUAUGGGUCAAUAUGAUGAUGAGCAUGAGCAUGAUGACAAUUACUCCGAUUCGGACACCGAGCUAGACAAGAUCAUGAAGAGUCUCAAUCUUAUGGCAAAUCUGAGAGACUACAUAUCCGGUGGAAAAGAGUGGAUUCUUGAUAGUGGAUGCACCGAUCACAUGACCGGAGACGAAGACAUGUUUCGAGAGCUUGCAAAGAACGAUGGUCCACGCAAGUAUGUGACUUUUGGAGACAACUCCAAGGGUAAGGUACUUGGCCUUGGUAAGGUGGCCAUAUCUCAUGAUAGCUCCAUUCAAAAUGUCAUGCUUGUUGAAUCACUUGGAUACAAUCUACUUUCCGUGUCUAGAUUAGCUGACUUUGGAUUCAAUGUGCUAUUCACCGAAAUAGAUUUCCAAGUUUUUCGUCGUGACAAUCAUAACAUGGUAUUUACCGGUAUCCGUAGAGGUGAUCUAUAUAUCGUUGAUUUCACUAAGAAAGCUCAACCUAGAACUUGCUUCAUUGCUAAAUCCGCUAAAGGUUGGCUUUGGCAUAGAAGGCUUGGACAUGUUGGUAUGCGUAAUCUAGAUAAGCUAAUUAAAGGUGAUCAUAUUCUUGGUGUUAAAGAUGUUUUCUUUGACAAAGAUAGACUCUGUAGUGCUUGUCAAGCAGGAAAACAAGUAGGUGGAAGUCAUCCCGUGAAGAACAUCAUGACCACAAGGAGACCGCUUGAGCUUCUUCAUAUGGAUCUCUUCGGUCCCAAUGCUUACAAAAGCCUUGGUGGUAACUCCUUUGGUCUAGUAAUAGUUGAUGAUUAUUCCAGAUUUACGUGGGUAUUUUUCCUUGAUGAAAAAUUGCAGGUUCAGAGAAUCUUCAAAACCUUUGCCAGAAAGGCCCAAAAUCAAUUCGAGGUGAAGAUCAAGAAAGUUCGGAGUGACAAUGGAACGGAGUUCAAGAAUGCCCAUGUGGACUCUUUUCUCGAUGAGGAAGGAAUUCUACAUGAGUUCUCGGCAACGUACACACCUCAACAAAAUGGAGUUGUUGAGAGGAAGAACCGAACGCUCAUAGAGAUGGCGAGAACGAUGCUUGACGAAUACAAGACACCGAAACACUUUUGGGGAGAAGCCGUCGAGACAGCUUGUCAUGCUAUCAACAGGCUUUAUCUUCAUAAGCUCCUCGGCAAGACUUCAUACGAGCUCCUCACCGGUAACAAACCCCAAGUGGGAUACUUUCGUGUCUUUGGUUCAAAAUGCUAUAUCCUUGAUAAGCAUCGUCGGUCUAAGUUUGCUCCUAAAACUCAUGAAGGCUUUUUCCUCGGUUAUGGAUCAAACUCCCACACCUACCGUGUCUACAAUAAUUUCACCCGAAAGGUUGAAGAGACGGUAGAUGUGAAGUUUGAUGAAUCUAAUGGCUCGCAAGUAGAGCAAAUGCCUAUUGAUGUAGGAGACAAGGACCCAUCGGAAGCCAUUCAAGAUCUAUCCAUUGGAAAGAUUCGUCCCAUGGAAGUGAAGGAGAGUACCUCAUCUACAUAUGUGGAGCCCCCUACCUCACGGAGAGAUGAACCUCAAGGCAACAUGGAGGCUUCCACAAGUGGAACUCACCAAGAUGAGGAAGUGCAACAAGAAGAUCCACCACAACCUCCUUCCCCACCACCUCAAGACAACACCAACAACAAUGAAGAAGAAGAGGAAGAUGAGGAUGAUGAGGAAACUCAGCCGCGACCACAACAAAAGCUAUCUCGAGUUCGAGCAAGAAUCAAGAAGAAUCAUCCCGUGGAACAAAUGAUGAAUGACAUCGACUCCGGGAGAAUUACUCGCUCUAAAACUCGUUUAGCUAACUUUUGUGAGCAUUACUCAUUCAUUUCUAGUCUUGAACCUAUGAAGGUAGAAGAAGCGCUUGAAGACCCGGAUUGGGUGAACGCUAUGCAUGAAGAGCUACACAACUUCGAGAGGAACAACGUCUGGACUUUGGUAGAGAAGCCCAAUGAUGAUCAAGACGUCAUUGGAACCAAAUGGGUGUUUCGGAACAAGCAAGAUGAGGAUGGACAAGUCAUCCGCAACAAGGCUCGUCUCGUAGCUCAAGGUUACACACAAGUCGAAGGUAUGGACUAUGGUGAGACCUAUGCCCCCGUUGCUAGACUUGAGUCCAUUCGCAUUCUUCUUGCUUAUGCCAACCACCAUGAUAUUACUCUCUAUCAAAUGGACAUUAAAAGUGCUUUCCUAAAUGGUGAAAUUGAGGAGGAAGUAUUUGUGAAACAACCUCCCGGAUUUGUGAAUCCUAAAAAGCCUAAUCAUGUUUACAAGUUGCACAAAGCUCUUUAUGGUCUUAAACAAGCCCCUAGAGCUUGGUACAAAUGCUUAACUAGCUUUCUUCUUGAGAAAGGAUUUGAGAUUGGUAAAAUAGACUCAACGCUUUUCACGAAAAGGGUUGAUAGUGAACUGUUUGUGUGCCAAAUAUAUGUUGAUGAUAUUAUCUUUGGUUCAACUUACCCUCAUUUUAGCGAGAAGUUUGGAAAGCUCAUGUCCGAGAAGUAUGAGAUGUCCAUGAUGAGUGAACUCAAAUUCUUCCUUGGGUUGCAAAUCAAGCAAUCUAAGGAGGGUACCUUUGUCUCACAAACAAAGUACACCAAGGAUCUCUUCAAGAAGUUCAACAUGCAAGAAAGCAAAGGUAUGAGAACCCCCAUGCCUACUAGUGGACAUAAUGACUUGACAAAAGAUGGAGAACCUGUUGAUCAAAAGGUUUAUCGAUCCAUGAUUGGUUCUCUACUAUAUCUCUGUGCUUCUCGUCCUGACAUAAUGUUGAGUGUUUGCAUGUGUGCUCGAUAUCAAGCAGCCCCUAAAGAAUGUCAUCUUAAAGCCGUUAAAAGAAUUGUGAGAUAUUUGAUACACACACCUAACUUUGGCAUUUGGUAUCCUAAGAGGGCCUCUUUCGAUCUUGUUGGCUAUUCCGACUCGGACUAUGCCGGAGACAGGGUUGAUAGAAAGUCAACUUCGGGUACGUGUCAAUUUCUUGGUCGAUCCCUUGUGUCUUGGUCCUCCAAGAAACAAAAUUCAGUAUCACUAUCUACUGCUGAAGCAGAAUAUAUUGCUGCUGGUUCAUGUUGUGCUCAGUUGCUAUGGAUGACACAAACGCUUAAGGAUUAUGGGAUACAUGCGAGACAUGCUCCUUUGCUUUGUGACAAUGAGAGUGCGAUUAAGAUUGGACACAAUCCUGUGCAACACUCUCGCACGAAACACAUUGAAGUUCGUCACCAUUUUAUUCGUGAUCACAUUGCCAAGGGUGACAUCGAUCUUAAGCAUGUUCGUACUGACAAACAGCUUGCAGAUAUCUUUACAAAACCACUUGAUGAGAAAGUGUUUUGUCGCUUAAGGAGUGAGUUGAACAUCAUUGAUGCUUCAAACUUGGAGUGAAAACUCCAUUGAUGCAUGCAAGGCAUGAGCUUACAUGACUAAUCCUUGAUAUUUCUCUUAUGAUGAUGAUCAUAUGUCUUGGACACAUUUGCCCCCUUGUAUUGCAUCUAACUCCUUGCAGGUACUUGGAUGGUCUACAUUCCACAAGAUUACCACACACUCAAAUCUUGAGUAAUCUUGUCAUUGACCAAGUAUCUAGCCCUUUGGGAUGUUGAGUACAAGGAACAAAAUUCCACAUAUCCUUUUUGACACUGUGUACAUCUAGUAUUUCACUCUUGUCAUCUUGGAUACUCUUGAGUAUUUCCUUGCUUGCCUAACCCAUGUAGGAAGAUGAACUACACAAGUUGAAAUGGUGCUCCAACUUCACAUUCAAUGAGCACCUACAUCAAGUUCACCUACAUGAACAAAGCAACAACAAGCCCAAGGUAUGUUCUUCACAUCUUGAAGGAGCUUUGCUCAAAGUCAUGAGUACAAGCAGCUUCAUAAGAUGUGAUCACAUCAAAUGCUUAAUUGAAAAAUGGCAACCCCAUUUUGAGCUUAAACGAUGAGUAUGACCUAUGAUCAAAUGUUCUCAUUUGACUCCUAAGUCAAUAUACUCAAACAUAGGUGACUUUGUCGCCGACCCUUAUCUAGAUGAAGUACAAAUGUUUUGGAGUUUUUCUAUUUUCUCUUAUGUUCUCUCAUUGAGUUUUCUUUUUUAUCAAAAAAAAACUUCAUCUAGCAAUCUUUUUCAUUUCUAUUCUUCUGUCUUUGUGAAUAUCUUUUUGGCUCUGAUCAAUUCCUUGAAAAUCAUUUACAAAUUCAUUACAAAUCUUUUGGAACAUUCCUUGCAAAGUGAGCUGAAUUAUUUCUGUAUUUCCUUGGAAUUAAACUCGGCGUCACCGACCCAAAACUUUCGGUCUGACCGAAAAAGGAUCUGCCCUAAGUCCCAGACUUUCGGACCCACCGAUCCAUCUAAUUCGGUGUCACCGAUUUUUCCUUUAGGAUAGCAUCUUCUGCAGCUCAACUCAAUGAUUCUUUAUGCAUGUUUCUUAUAGCACAGUUGUGAUUCUUAAGGAUCCCACUUCUUUCCUUCCAUCUUUCCUGACCUUCCUAGUUUACUGUCCUUUUCGGCACUUGAUGUCAAAGGGGGAGAAGAUUUAGGGGGAGCUUAGGGGAGAUUGGGAGAUAAGGGGAGAAGAGAAGAUUUAGGAGGAGAAGAAGAGCAAUCUUACCUUAAGGGGGAGAGAAUCACAUCAAAGCUUUGCCGUGUUCCACAUUGGAUAUUACAUUUGGCAUCAUUCUUUUGAUUUUGCUUUCCUCGCUCUCACAAUUGAGAUCUUAUGAAAAGCAAAAUCUCUCAGAGCUCAUUGAAAAAUCUUUCAGUCUUGGGAGACAUGUUUGCUGAUUCAAGCUUGUGCUCAAUAUGAGACACUCUUUACACAUGUCAUCCCUGGCUUGGUACUCUUGAUGUUCUUGCAGUUGGAUGAAGAAAUACUCUUGUGUUAUCUAACCUUGUUUUCCCAAGUUUAUUUCUUCAGGUACAAUGCCAAGGAACUUCAAGGUAAGUAUAUGCAUCUUGCAUAAUGUACAUGAUGGUGACUUGCUUGUGAAUAUCUGUUGCAAGAAAUCACCAUGUACAUAUGCAUUAUCACUCACUUCUUUUCAGCUGCUCUGAUGCAUAUAGCCAAGCUGCAUGUAGCACAUCUUGCUGUUCUCUCUUGUGUGCUUGUGGUAGUCCAAAACCAUAAUCAAUGAAAAUCUUGCACACUUGUAGGGGGAGUCUGUAUACUACAUGUUUGUCAAAGCUUUAAUGAUAAUUCUGUCUUUCUUUCAGUAAGCUUUGAUGUCUUGUUUUGUGUGUUGCCAUCAAUUACCAAAAAGGGGGAGAUUGAAAGCACAUUUGCUCCCUGGGUGGUUUUGGUAAUUAAUGACAACAUACUUUGUGGUUGGACUAAUGCUUUUAUCAAGUAUGUUUCAGGAAGUUCAGUCACUCUGGCAUGGCAAAAGGACUGGAAAGGUGGACCCCUAAGAUGCUAAGACAAGCAUUGGCAAAAGCUCAAGACUCUUUUUUUUUGGUUUAGUGAUCCAAGAUCACAUUGAGUCUAUAGGAAAGCCAAUACUAUUAAAAGGGGAUGAGGUUAUUGUAACGACCAAAUCUCGAAGGAUUUGAGUCUCUGUGCUUACCGUGCUAGUCCCUGGAUCGAACUCGCUAGCACACACAGUAUAGAUGAAUACCAGAAUAGCAAGUGCAUCAUUUAUUACAACGUAUGAUCCAGAAUGUAUAAAAUAAAACAAUCUGCAUAGCACUUGGCUAGCUUUAUUCAAUCAAACAGCGGAAAGUAGCAGAAAAUAACGAUGAGUCCCAUCAUAGCCCACUGGCGAUGCUGAGUGCAGACUCGCGACCCUAACGGUACCUUACUCUUCGUCUGAAUAUCCUGCAACAUGAGACGUUGCAGCCAUAUAGGUCAAUACUUUGAAUGUAUUGGCAAGUUACACAGGAGUAAUAAUAUAGCAGACCUACAUGUAUAUGCAUAGUACAACAAAGGAAGGCUUGAGGGUUUAUUUUUGCAUAAAGCUGAUUUUAUCCUAAUAACUACCUAAUAGUCAAAUUUUUAUUUAGUUCUUUUAUUACUACAAUUAAAUACACAAGGUUGAGUUGGCAAAAUCAACUCCAACCUACCCUUUAUUAAGUUGCCCACAAUUAUUAUUAAGUGUCACAUCUGUCAAGAUCAUCCAACAACUGUAAUGGCAUAGUGGCUCAAAUUUACCCAUAACCGGGGGCACGGCUAAUCAUGAUUAGUUUUAAUACUCUGCAGAGUUUUGUACGCUUUACCCACUGGACCCAAUCCGAAGAUUGAGACGAAGUCUUUCAGAAGAGGUUCCCUUAACCACCUGACGGUCACAUCCCACCUACAUAUACUACAUCUGUCGACACAGUCUGGGCAAGGGUUCCAACAACUGAUCAACUAAGCCAGAGCCCAUAUAGCCAGUGGCCGCACAUGGAAGCUACUAGUCACUAAGUCUGUCUGAUCUUUUUGAACCUGGGCGGCAUUCCACUUACAUUCAGAGGGUAAAAACCAUGAUGUUCUUGAAACCACCCUUCAACACCAAUUCCGCCCAGAGGUGAAUUAAGUCCUCAAUUACUACUCAAUUUGAUUAUAUUUAUAAUCCUCACAUAAUCUCAAUGUAUACACGAACCACCCCCGUCUACAAAGCAUAGCAAACUACAACUACCACGAUUUGCAAAAGACGGGAAGAUAGCUCAACAUCAUAUAGCAAAAUAAUAUAGUAUUCCUAUACAUGCAUAAAUUCAUAGUGUGAUAUAACUACAUGCAUAGAAAACAAUAGGUAAAGGAUGAUCAACAUGUAACUUGCCUUGGUUCUGGUUCAGAAAGUCACACUCCUGACAAUAGUUCGCGUCGCACUCCGGACAAUCUACACGUUUCACACAAUUCAACAAAUCAAUCACCGAAACACGAAUAGAACCAAAAUAUAAACCAACAGCAAGAAAAUCAUUUUCAAAAACACAACAACAGAAGCUUAACAGCACCUAAAUUGCACUACGGUCACAACGCAAAAAGAAUCACUCGAAUCCGAUAAACGGUUUAAGAGUUAUGGCCUCCGGAAGAUUUAAUUCAAAUUUAAACGAAUUCAAAUUUAAACAGUGCAAACAUGUGCAAAGUCGGUACUGUGAUAAUCUGCUGAUUUUCCUGAGUGCACAGGAAAAAGAAUUACCUAAAUUGGCUAUAUAGAAUAAAAGAUAUAGCUAGUUGAAGUUAGAGUUGAAAUCUGAAAAUAAAACAAAAGAAAACAGAAAUCCCCUGCGUUACUGUAGCAACUCCUGUGCGUGUCCUGUAGCGAAGUGCCAUGUGGCAGCACCGGAUUGGUCAGCGGCUGCUGUGCGCGUGUGCUCACCAGAAGCAGAGGAAAACGGCGGCGGCUUCGGGCGUCGGCGGCGGUGGCUCUCCGGCGAGUCUCCGGCGAAGGUGAAGCGACGGAUGGGUGCGGCGGUGAGUGGCGGAGGUGGUGGUGGUGUUCAACGGCGGCGGGGCGUCCUCUGCGGGCGGUAGCGACGAGGUGAACCACGGUGGUGCCCCGGCGAAGUUGGGCGUCGGCGGCGGCAUCGUUCUGGUGAUCUGCAGGUCACCCCGAUUGGUAAAACGAGUGCGGCGUCGAGAGGGGGUUCGAACGGUGACAAGCGGAGCGGCCGGGCGUCCUUACAGCGGUGGAUUCGGACGGUCAACAACGGCGGCCUCGGAGCUCCUCCGGCGAGAUCCAGACGGCGCAGCGGCUUCGAGCAGACGAGAAAAGAAAGGGGAGGGCGUGCGCUAGGGUUCCCGAUGGCCUUUUGCUCGAGCGGGGAGUCCCAGGGGUGCACGGGGUCGGACCAGGCAUCGGAUCGAUCCGGAUCGGCCUCGGCGUGCGCGCGGCGGCGCGUCCGGCUCGGUGAAGGGGAUGAACAGGGCGCGGGACCCGCUGUCAGCGGCUGGGGCGAGGUGGAUCGGGCGCGGGCGAGCGAUGCGGGUCAGGUGCGGGCGUACCGCUUCGCUAGGUUUAGCGGGCUGCGGGCGGUGGGGUUUGGUGGGCCGCAGCGGUGUGGUGCGGCGCUGCUGGGCCGUGCAGUGCGCUGCGGCGCUGCGCUGCGUUUUCCUUUUUUUUAAACAAAAACUACAGCAGCAAGACUAAAAAUAAAUAAAAUAAAAUACACAAUAUAAAUUCUAAAUAAAAAUACCUAGACACACAGUAAAAAUAGCUCUACAGCUAUAAACUACGGGAACACUAGUUCCAACUCUAAUGCAAUUUUGUAAAAUAUUUUUGAUGCAAUAGGCCACUCAAACAGCAAUAAAACAAACAAAUAAAAUAUUUUGAAGAUCACAAGAAUUACCAGAACAUAUCAAAUGAACUGGAAAUAAUAUUCUGCACAUUAUGAACAUUUUUAAAAUAGGGGAGAAGUCAUGUUAUCUCCACUCCAAAUAAAUUGCCUUUUGUUGCAUAAUGAUUUGAAUAUUACCGAAAAGCAAAUAAUGCAUGGAAAAUAUGAUAUGCAUAUGUAUGAUCUAAUAACAUCCUAAUUUAUGAAAAUUGGGAUGUUACAAACCUACCCCCCUUAAGAUGAAUCUCGCCCUCGAGAUUCGGGCUGGCUAGCAAAUAGGUGUGGGUGAUCCUGCUUGAGAUCUUCCUCUCGUUCCCAGGUAGCUUCCUCCUCGGUGUGAUGAUCCCACUGAACCUUGCACAACUUGAUUGUCUUGGUGCGAGUAACUCUCUCUGCUGUCUCCAGAAUCUUAACAGGUUUCUCCUCAUAUGUCAAAUCACUCUCCAACUGAAUUGCCUCAAGUGGCACUGUGUCCCUCAAUGGAACAUCCAUCAUCUCUGCAUGACACUUCUUCAACUGAGAUACAUGAAACACAUCGUGAACUCCUGACAAGGAUUCUGGCAACUCCAACUGAUAAGCUACCUCUCCUCUACGCUCCAAGAUCGUGUAAGGCCCCACAAAACGUGGUGCUAACUUACCCUUGAUUCCAAACCUCUUAAUUCCACGAAGUGGUGAAACUCUAAGAUAUGCACGGUCUCCUACCUCAUAUGUCACCUCCUUAUGUUUCGCAUCUGCAUGACUCUUCUGUCUGGACUGUGCUAUCUUCAGCCUGUCACGAAUCAACUUGACCUUCUCCUCAGCAUCUCUAAUCAAGUCUGGCCCAAAGAACUGACGCUCUCCAACCUCAUCCCACAUCAACGGUGUCCGGCACUUUCUGCCAUACAAUACCUCAAAUGGUGCCAUCUUCAGACUAGCCUGAUAACUGUUAUUAUAUGAGAACUCUGCAUAAGGUAAAUUAUCAUCCCAACUGGACCCAUAGUCCAAAGCACAAGCUCUCAACAUAUCCUCCAAAAUCUGAUUUACCCUCUCUGUCUGCCCAUCUGUCUGUGGAUGGAAAGCUGUACUGAACUCCAGCCUGGUGCCCAAGGAUUCAUGCAACUGGCGCCAAAACUUAGAUGUGAACUGAGUACCUCUAUCAGACACUACCUUCCUCGGAACUCCAUGCAGACAAACAAUUUUAUACAUAUAAAUCUUUGCUAGCUGAGCACUGGUAUAAGUAGUCUUUACCGGGAUGAAGUGAGCAACUUUAGUCAAACGAUCAACAACUACCCAAAUAGAAUCAUAACCUGAUCGAGUCCUGGGUAGACCUGUAAUGAAAUCCAUACCAAUCUCAUCCCACUUCCAAUCAGGUAUAGGCAAUGGCUGUAACAAACCUGCUGGUCGUUGAUGUUCUGCUUUAACCCUCUGGCACACAUCACAUGUUGCAAUAUAUCCAGCAAUUUCCCUCUUCAGGCUAGGCCACCAAAAUCUUUCCCUCAAAUCCAAAUACAUCUUAGUAUUACCUGGGUGAAUAGAAUAAGGUGAAUCAUGGGCCUCCUGAAGAAUCAACUUCCUGAUGUCUGCAUCCUGAGGUACACAAAUACGCUUCUCAAACCAUAUGGCCCCAUGUUCAUCCUCAUGGAAACCUUCUGCUUUACCUUUAACCAUGUUCUCUUUUAUCUCAGCAAUCUCCUUAUCACCCUUUUGAGCUUCUCUAAUCCUAUCAAGCAAAGUAGGCUUUACCUCAAGUGUUGCCAAAUAUCCCUUAGGAACCAUCUCCAACCUGAGAUUCCUGAAUUGUUCACAUAACUCGGGUGGCAUAUUAUCAAUAUUAAUUGCAUUAGCAUGCCUCCUACGACUCAAUGCAUCAGCAACAACAUUAGCCUUACCAGAAUGAUACUGCACAUUCAAAUCAUAAUCCUUGAUAAGCUCCAACCAUCUCCUCUGCCUGAGGUUCAAAUCUUUCUGAGUAAAGAUAUACUUCAAGCUCUUAUGAUCAGUAAAUAUAUCACAACGAUUACCAAUAAGGUAUGGCCUCCAAGUUUUCAAUGCAUGCACAACUGAGGCUAACUCCAAAUCAUGUGUAGGAUAAUUAUGCUCAUAAUUCUUAAGCUGACGUGAAGCAUAUGAAACAACUUUACCUUCCUGCAUCAAAACACUCCCAAGUCCUUGACGAGAAGCAUCACAAUAUACCUGGAAGUCCUUAUGUAUAUCCGGCAGUGUUAAGACUGGUGCUGUAACCAAACGCUGCUUCAAUUCCUGAAAGCUGGCUUCACAUUCAUCAGUCCAAACAAACUUCUUCUCCUUCUUCAACAAUUCAGUCAUAGGCUUUGCAAUCUUGGAAAAAUUCUCAAUAAACCUCCUGUAAUAACCUGCAAGGCCCAAAAAGCUGCGAAUCUCCCCAACUGUCGUGGGUGUCUCCCACUCUGUAACUGCAGCAACCUUAGAUGGAUCAACUGCAACUCCCUUACUUGACACAACAUGUCCAAGGAAAGCUACCUCAUCCAGCCAAAACUCACAUUUGCUGAACUUGGCAUACAACUGAUGUUCCCUCAAUUUCACCAAUACCAAACGUAGAUGCACCUCAUGCUCUUGCUUUUUCUUGGAGAACACCAAUAUAUCAUCAAUGAAAACAACCACAAAUUUAUCCAAGAACUCCAUAAACACCUUGUUCAUCAUAUUCAUGAAGUAUGCAGGAGCGUUAGUCAAUCCAAAUGACAUAACAGUAUAUUCAUACAACCCAUACCUCGUGGUGAAAGCAGUCUUGGGAAUAUCUUGCUCACGAAUCUUUAAUUGAUGAUAACCAGAACGAAGAUCUAUCUUAGAAAACACAGUAGCUCCCUCCAACUGGUCAAAUAGAUCAUUUAUCAUAGGCAAAGGAUACUUAUUCUUAAUGGUAACCUCAUUCAGAGAACGAUAAUCAACACACAUCCUCAAGGUUCCAUCCUUCUUCUCCACAAACAAAACUGGAGCUCCCCAAGGUGAUGAACUUGGGCGAAUAAAUCCUUGUGCCUGCAAUUCUCUUAUCUGCUUCUUCAAUUCCUCCAACUCUUGAGGAGGCAUUCUAUAUGGUCUCUUUGCAAUAGGUCCAGUGCCUGGUAUUAAAUCAAUAAGAAACUCAAUAUCCCUAUCUGGUGGCAUACCUGGCAACUCCUCUGGAAACACAUCUGGAUAAUCCCUCACAACUGGCACCUCUUCCAGGCUACCCCCCUUAAGAGAGUUCACCUGCACCUGAUUAUGCUUAUACUUACACACAUAUUUGAUCCUCUUCCCUCCUGGUGCACUGAGAGUAAUAGAUCGACUGGCACAAUCAAUACGACAUUUAUAUAACUGCAACCAAUCCAUACCCAAAAUAAUAUCCAGACCUUGUGACUUCAAUAUAAUCAAAUCUGUAGGAAACUCAUGCUUCCCAAUAGACAAAGUCAACUGAUGACAACCAACACCUGCUAUCAUCUCAGCUCCUGGGGAACUCACUCUAAUAGGCAUACUAAGGGUUUUGGUUGGUAAUCCAUGUUUAUCAACAAAUACCCUCGAAAUGAAUGAAUGCGAUGCACCAGUAUCAAAAAGAACAACUGCAGGUACUGAAUUAAUCAAGAACUUACCAAUCACUGCAUCAGGUUCAUUGUAAACCUCCUCCACAUAAACAUGAUUUACAUGACCCUUUUGGAAGGGGUUUGGCUUGCUGGAUCCUGAGUUCUUCGCACCUGGGCAAUCUGUGGCAUAGUGCCCCAUAGCCUUACACCUGAAGCACUGCACCUGACUCAAAUCCCUUGGCGCACGUGUAACCUGGUGGUUCUGGUUAUUGUUCCCUCCAUUGCCAUUACCAUUACCAUUACCAUUACCAUUACCUCUGCCAUUGCCAUUGUUACUCUUGUGCCCAUUAUGAUGAUGGUGGCCAUUAUGGUCGUGGCCAUUCCCUCCAUGAUGAUUAUGAUCAUUACCUCCAUGAUGAUUAUGAUGCCCAUUACCUCCAUGAUGAUUAUGUCCAUUACCUCCAUUACCAUGAUAUGAAGUGCGUGGCUUCUGCUGUGGUCCUGAAUUAUACCUGUUACUAUUGUUGUACUUCCUCUUGCGAUUCUCUAUGGCCUGUUGCUUUCCCUCUAGAACGAUAGCCUUAUCAAUCAGCUCCUGGCAAUUAUUAAAAGUGGCCACUGUCAACUGAAGGCUCAACUCAUCAUUUAGGCCCUCCAAGAAUUUCUCCUGCCUAGCUGCAUCAGUGUUAACAUCAUUAGGAGCAUAACGUGCAAGAUUAUUAAAUUCAUCCACAUAAGCAUUAACUGUGCGACCACCCUGGCGCAAACUGCGAAACUCCUUCUUUUUCAGACUCAUAGCACCAGCAGACACAUGUGCAGCACGGAAAGCUGUCUGAAACUGCACCCAAGUGACAGUAGCAAUGGGAUAAGUGACCAAAAAGUUGUCCCACCAAGCUGCGGCAGGACCCUCCAACAAAUGUGAGGCAAACCUCACCCUCUCUGCAUCUGUGCAUCCAACCGUAUCCAGGUUCUUAUUGACUGCACGGAGCCAAUCAUCAGCCACAAUAGGUUCAGGGGAACUGGAGAACCUCUGAGGAUUCAACCUCAAGAACCUGGUAAGCAUAUCCACAGGUGGCGGUGGUGGCGGAUUGUUGUUGUUAUUGUUGUUGUUUCCCAUGUUCUGAGCAAGCAACUGGAUCAACUGAGCCUGUCCCUGAAGCAACUGCUGCAUGUAUGGCGGUAUAUCAUUGCCAUUGUUGUCUCCUCCUGCAGCAGUGCGUCUAGUAUCACGCCUCGGCGGCAUCUGGUGGGCAAGCAUAGAUGAGUUAUAGAUAUAAUAGGGCCAAAAGCUAUGUAUAUAUAAAUAUAUUCUACCCAAAUGCAUAAUAUGAUCAAGCCAACAAAACACAACAAUGAAUAACACCAACAACAAACAACAAACAACAAACAACAAACAAUAUUAUAUAUAUACGUAUAUAGUCGAAUAAUUUCGACAAGAUAUAAAUUAACAAACAAACUACCAAUCAAGCAAACAAUCUAGUAUCGUCAUACCACAAAAGUGGGUAUAAUCAGAUACGCUAACAUGAUAACGCUGCAAUAUAAAAAAAACCUGAAUGGUGGUCUCAGCACUAGUUCCUACUUAACUGGUCAAGAUACUUGAGGGGCUUAACUAAUAAAUAGUAAGAAGUAUAACUAGUUGAUAAAUAAUUUUCACUCCUAUGGCUUUUCUAAUCCAUUUUCUAGGGUCACGUCCUACAGUCAACACACUGCUCUGAUGCCAUCUGUAACGACCAAAUCUCGAAGGAUUUGAGUCUCUGUGCUUACCGUGCUAGUCCCUGGAUCGAACUCGCUAGCACACACAGUAUAGAUGAAUACCAGAAUAGCAAGUGCAUCAUUUAUUACAACGUAUGAUCCAGAAUGUAUAAAAUAAAACAAUCUGCAUAGCACUUGGCUAGCUUUAUUCAAUCAAACAGCGGAAAGUAGCAGAAAAUAACGAUGAGUCCCAUCAUAGCCCACUGGCGAUGCUGAGUGCAGACUCGCGACCCUAACGGUACCUUACUCUUCGUCUGAAUAUCCUGCAACAUGAGACGUUGCAGCCAUAUAGGUCAAUACUUUGAAUGUAUUGGCAAGUUACACAGGAGUAAUAAUAUAGCAGACCUACAUGUAUAUGCAUAGUACAACAAAGGAAGGCUUGAGGGUUUAUUUUUGCAUAAAGCUGAUUUUAUCCUAAUAACUACCUAAUAGUCAAAUUUUUAUUUAGUUCUUUUAUUACUACAAUUAAAUACACAAGGUUGAGUUGGCAAAAUCAACUCCAACCUACCCUUUAUUAAGUUGCCCACAAUUAUUAUUAAGUGUCACAUCUGUCAAGAUCAUCCAACAACUGUAAUGGCAUAGUGGCUCAAAUUUACCCAUAACCGGGGGCACGGCUAAUCAUGAUUAGUUUUAAUACUCUGCAGAGUUUUGUACGCUUUACCCACUGGACCCAAUCCGAAGAUUGAGACGAAGUCUUUCAGAAGAGGUUCCCUUAACCACCUGACGGUCACAUCCCACCUACAUAUACUACAUCUGUCGACACAGUCUGGGCAAGGGUUCCAACAACUGAUCAACUAAGCCAGAGCCCAUAUAGCCAGUGGCCGCACAUGGAAGCUACUAGUCACUAAGUCUGUCUGAUCUUUUUGAACCUGGGCGGCAUUCCACUUACAUUCAGAGGGUAAAAACCAUGAUGUUCUUGAAACCACCCUUCAAUACCAAUUCCGCCCAGAGGUGAAUUAAGUCCUCAAUUACUACUCAAUUUGAUUAUAUUUAUAAUCCUCACAUAAUCUCAAUGUAUACACGAACCACCCCCGUCUACAAAGCAUAACAAACUACAACUACCACGAUUUGCAAAAGACGGGAAGAUAGCUCAACAUCAUAUAGCAAAAUAAUAUAGUAUUCCUAUACAUGCAUAAAUUCAUAGUGUGAUAUAACUACAUGCAUAGAAAACAAUAGGUAAAGGAUGAUCAACAUGUAACUUGCCUUGGUUCUGGUUCAGAAAGUCACACUCCUGACAAUAGUUCGCGUCGCACUCCGGACAAUCUACACGUUUCACACAAUUCAACAAAUCAAUCACCGAAACACGAAUAGAACCAAAAUAUAAACCAACAGCAAGAAAAUCAUUUUCAAAAACACAACAACAGAAGCUUAACAGCACCUAAAUUGCACUACGGUCACAACGCAAAAAGAAUCACUCGAAUCCGAUAAACGGUUUAAGAGUUAUGGCCUCCGGAAGAUUUAAUUCAAAUUCAAACGAAUUCAAAUUUAAACAGUGCAAACAUGUGCAAAGUCGGUACUGUGAUAAUCUGCUGAUUUUCCUGAGUGCACAGGAUAAAGAAUUACCUAAAUUGGCUAUAUAGAAUAAAAGAUAUAGCUAGUUGAAGUUAGAGUUGAAAUCUGAAAAUAAAACAAAAGAAAACAGAAAUCCCCUGCGUUACUGUAGCAACUCCUGUGCGUGUCCUGUAGCGAAGUGCCACGUGGCAGCACCGGAUUGGUCAGCGGCUGCUGUGCGCGUGUGCUCACCAGAAGCAGAGGAAAACGGCGGCGGCUUCGGGCGUCGGCGGCGGUGGCUCUCCGGCGAGUCUCCGGCGAAGGUGAAGCGACGGAUGGGUGCGGCGGUGAGUGGCGGAGGUGGUGGUGGUGUUCAACGGCGGCGGGGCGUCCUCUGCGGGCGGUAGCGACGAGGUGAACCACGGUGGUGCCCCGGCGAAGUUGGGCGUCGGCGGCGGCAUCGUUCUGGUGAUCUGCAGGUCACCCCGAUUGGUAAAACGAGUGCGGCGUCGAGAGGGGGUUCGAACGGUGACAAGCGGAGCGGCCGGGCGUCCUUACAGCGGUGGAUUCGGACGGUCAACAACGGCGGCCUCGGAGCUCCUCCGGCGAGAUCCAGACGGCGCAGCGGCUUCGAGCAGACGAGAAAAGAAAGGGGAGGGCGUGCGCUAGGGUUCCCGAUGGCCUUUUGCUCGAGCGGGGAGUCCCAGGGGUGCACGGGGUCGGACCAGGCGUCGGAUCGAUCCGGAUCGGCCUCGGCGUGCGCGCGGCGGCGCGUCCGGCUCGGUGAAGGGGAUGAACAGGGCGCGGGACCCGCUGUCAGCGGCUGGGGCGAGGUGGAUCGGGCGCGGGCGAGCGAUGCGGGUCAGGUGCGGGCGUACCGCUUCGCUAGGUUUAGCGGGCUGCGGGCGGUGGGGUUUGGUGGGCCGCAGCGGUGUGGUGCGGCGCUGCUGGCCCGUGCAGUGCGCUGCGGCGCUGCGCUGCGUUUUCCUUUUUUUUAAACAAAAACUACAGCAGCAAGACUAAAAAUAAAUAAAAUAAAAUACACAAUAUAAAUUCUAAAUAAAAAUACCUAGACACACAGUAAAAAUAGCUCUACAGCUAUAAACUACGGGAACACUAGUUCCAACUCUAAUGCAAUUUUGUAAAAUAUUUUUGAUGCAAUAGGCCACUCAAACAGCAAUAAAACAAACAAAUAAAAUAUUUUGAAGAUCACAAGAAUUACCAGAACAUAUCAAAUGAACUGGAAAUAAUAUUCUGCACAUUAUGAACAUUUUUAAAAUAGGGGAGAAGUCAUGUUAUCUCCACUCCAAAUAAAUUGCCUUUUGUUGCAUAAUGAUUUGAAUAUUACCGAAAAGCAAAUAAUGCAUGGAAAAUAUGAUAUGCAUAUGUAUGAUCUAAUAACAUCCUAAUUUAUGAAAAUUGGGAUGUUACAGUUAUGAUAAUGAUCUGGUUGCUCAAAGUGCUUAGUGAUCUAUCUCCCAAACCAUCAGCAAUCUUUCAUUCCAACAUACACUCAUAAGUAAUCUCGGUCCCACCGAUUCCAUAAACUCAGUCACACCGAGAUGAACCACCUCUGCCACAAAGCCAAACCCUAGUAAUUUCGGUUUUUCCGAUUCCAAACUCGGUCUCACCGAAACUAGUGUUGCCAACCUUCUGUAACCUUCUGUCAUCAAAUCGGUGUCACCGAGAUGAUAAAGUCGGUCCCACUGAGAUUGGAAAACCCUAGUCUUUGGAAGAAUCGGACUCACCGAGAUUGUAUUUUUGGUCCCACCGAAAAUCCCAACGUUCACAAGAUUUGAACUUUCGGUCUCACCGAGUUGUCAACUUCGGUCUGACCGAGAUUGGUCAAAUGUGUGUAACGGUUGGAUUUUGUGUGGAGGCUAUAAAUACCCCUCCACCUCCUCUUCAUUCGUGGAGAGAGCCAUCAGAAAGAACUACCACUCCUACCUUACAUUUCUGAGAAGAAAACUACCUACCCUUGUGUUGAGAUCAAGUUGCUCCACUCCCACCAUAUGAAACUUGAUUUCUAGCCUUCCCAAGUUGCUUUCCACUCAAUCCUUUCUUCCACCAUAGCCAAAUCAGUGAGGAGAGUUGAGUGUUGGGGAGAUUAUCAUUUGAAGCACAAGAGCAAGGAGUUCAUCAUCACCAACACCAUCUAUUACCUUUUGGAGGGUGGUGCCUCCUAGAUUGGUUAGGUGUCGCUUGGGAGCCUCCGUCAAGAUGUGGAGUUGAACCAAGAAGUUUGUAAGGGCAAGGAGAUCGCCUACUUCGUGAAGAUCUACCCCGAGUAAGGCUAGUCCUCCGUGGGCGUAUGCCAUGAUGGCAUAGAUAAGGUUGCUUCUUUGUGGACCCUUCGUGGGUGGAGCCCUCCGUGGACUCUCGCAGCCGUUACCCUCCGUGGGUUGAAGUCUCCAUCAACGUGGAUUGACGAUAGCACCACCUAUCGGAACCACGAGAAAAAUCUCCGUGUCUCCAAAUUGCGUUUGAUCUUCUCCACCUCUCUUUACUUCAUGUGCAAUUUACUUUCCGCUGCCCAUACUCUAGAAUUGCAUGUGUAGUAUGCUACUUGACUUGUGUGAUAUGCUAAAUCUGCCAAGAACUUGUCUUUGUAAAAAGGCAUAAUUUUUAUCUUGUCGAGUAGUCUAAUCACCCCCCCUCUAGACACUCUUACCUUCAACGAUCCUACAA
rnacentral:lncRNA from 1 species